rnacentral:lncRNA from 1 species
CCACCACCACUAACAACACAAAUGCCAUGUUGAUGAUGCCACCACCACCAUCACCACCACCACCAUCACCACCACCACCACCAACAUUAACACUGGCACAACCCUUAUGCGAUAGGUCUGUUGAUCUACCUCAAGAUCUAACGGAGGACCAUACCGCAUCCUCCUCCAAGAAAACCAGAGGUAGACCCAAAGGCGCUAAGAAUAAGCCUAAACCUGUAUCCAUCGUUACUAAUGAAAAUACCGAUGACAUCCUAAUGGAACCAUUUCUUAUCGAGGUCCCUAUUGGAAAAGAUGUUAUGGAGACUCUCAUCAACUUAGCUCGUAGUCAACAAGCUGGAAUAACCGUGUUGAGUGGUUUUGGUCUUGUUUCUGAUGUUACACUUCUUGAAUCGAUGCCUUGCACCCCUGCUUUCCGCGUCGAAGGAUUGUUCCAUAUGACAUCCCUCUCCGGAACUUACAUCAAUGCUGACGGCGUUCAUGUUCCUCCUCGGUUCAUGAGAACCAACCCAACAUAUUCCUCUUUCUCCAUUAUCUUCUCCGGCACUCAUGGACAACUGUAUGGUGGAAUUGUUGGAGGAAGUAUUAAGGCUGCUGGUGUUGUUUCGAUUACGGCCAGUCUUUUCAAGAAGCCGUCAUUUCAUAGGAUGGGUGUCGUCAAUGGAAGUGUUCGUGAAAUAACGGAGGACGAUCCAAUAUAUGAUAAGGGUUUUAUCAUGAACUUUGAUCAGGGAUCUUAUGAACGCAUCACUCGUACUAGCUAGUCAAAGACUCUAAUGUGUUUUCCUUUGUUGUUGUUUAUUUUUUUAGUAUUUUCAAUGUUUGAAUAAAGUGAUAUUAAUUUCUUAUUGUUAUGUCCUUUUUAAUAGUUGAAAUUUUAUAUCUCACAUUGCAUAUGUCUCGUACUGUUAUAUCAAAUAUUUUCAAUAUAUUUUCAUAAAUGUUAAUUAUAAUUAUGCAUCAAUUCAUGUUGUCAGCUAAGUUAUUAUAAACCUAGGGUUUUCAAUUCGUGUUGUGUGCACUUUGUUUUGUUCUAAAUCACACUCAGUAGUACAAUCACAUCAGAUAUAUUUCUGAACCCUAGAGAGUGGUCCUUUUAUUUAUCGGCAUUGUUCAUACAUAAGAUAAUAAAAAAUAUUUAAAUAUUUAUGAAUUUGACUUUUUUUAAAAAUGUCUAAUUACUUAUGAAUUUGACUUUUUUAAAAAAAUAAUUAUGGAUUUGACUUUUUAAAAAAUAUUUGAAUACUUAUGAAUUUGACUUUUUUUUAAGUCUAUAUAUGCAUUAUACGUAAAUGUAUAAAUAAUUAAGAGGUUUCUUAAUUUUUAAAUUAUUAAAUUAUGUCCAUAAACAAUUAUUAUAUUAAAAAUUAAAUAUGAGUUUUAAAAUUAAAUAAUACUAUUUUUAAUAUCUUAAAUACAUUUUAUAAUUAGGUUUUCCAUAGCUAUAGUGAAACAAUUUUCUGUGAUGAUGCUCUUGAAAAUUAGGUUGCAGUUUGGGUUCUUCUUUGAAUUGUUAUGAGUCAUGUCCGACUCAAAUUAGUCAUUUGUUAUUAGCUGAUUCUUGUGUAGUUUCUUUUCUCUUUUGGGCUUAGGCCAUCUUUUUUAUCAAAAAAAUAAAUAAAUACAUUUUAUAAUUUUAUGAUAAUUUGAAUACUAAUUGUUCAUUAUUUUAUUUUUUUAAUUUAGAAGCUUUUAUAUUUGAAUGAAUUUAAAUUAGUCUUUACAAUUUUAAUCUAUUAUAUUAAUAAAAUAAAAAUUACUUUAGUCAAAGAUGAAAUUAAAAUUUUAAUAUUAAAUUUUGUUAAUUUUUAUUAGAUAUUAAUUAUUUUUGUGGAGGAUUUGAUUUAUUUUUGACAGAAGGAAACACGUAUAUUAUACUUAUCUCUGUUCAAUCCUCCCAUAUCGCAACAUUUUAACUAGAUAUGCAAAUCUUUCAACAACAAAAAAAAAACUAGAUAUGCAAAUAUAUAAUAGCUCAUAGGAUUUAUUAGUCAAAUCAAUAACAACUAUGUAGAAUAUGGUAGUUUAUCAUAUGCAUUUUUUAUAUAUGAAAUCUAGCAACUAGAGUUAUAUUUUCAUAUUGUUUUUGUCAAAAAAAAUAUUUAGAGUCUCAUAAGUCCUAGCUCAACUGGUAAAAAUUAGGUCGGACGUCAUGAUCUGGGUUCGAACUCCGGUAACUCCACUUUGUGUGUAUGAGUUAUUAUGACUUUGCUAUCUCGUCUAUCUACCAAAUAAAAAAGAGUUAUAUUUAGAGAGAGAAAUAAACAUCCAUUACAUUAAUCUUAUUAUUUAUUUUAUGUUAGGUAGUCUAGCGACAAUAAUUCAUUUUUUAAGGUGAAUAAGUGAGGUGUUCAGGCUUUGAAGGUCGACCUAUGCAUAAAAUAAUGCAUUCUCCAUGUCAAUAGAAUAUGUGUUUCUCCACUAAUAAAAUGACAAGUUUUCCUAUUUAAAAAUAAGAAUCCAAACCCAUCUUUUUUUUUUUGUCACUAUCAAACAAACCCAUUAUGCAUAUGGAUUUAGUACGCGUGUACAUGUACUAGAUUUUGAAUCAAAUAAUGUAUAAUUUAAUGCAUGUUAUUUAGACUAUAUGUUGACUCUCAUUUUAUUUAUUUAUAGAUAAAAACAUAUUUCAAAUUUAAAAUUUAUUUAUAUAAUUAAAUUUAAAAUAUUUACUUUUAUUUUCUUUUGAAAAUUAAAUUUUAUAUAAUUAAAUUUCGUCCAUUAAGAUGAAUUAUAAGUGAGAAAUUUAAAGUUUAAACAUAAAUCUCUUUAUAUUAUUAUAAUGCAUUGUCCUUAUCAACUGAAUUAAGCCCACAAGACCAAUAUCAAUUGAUAUUUAAGAUAUAUCGAUAAUUAUUAUUUUUCAUACGUGUUUAAGUAAAAUGGUUAUGUUACUAACUAAUUCCAACGCACCUUGAUACAUAUGCAUAAUUUACCAUUUGUUUUAUAACUGGGAAAAUUCAUUUACAAUAACUUUUUCAAGAAUACAAUAACGAGAAUUAUAUUUCUAAGAAUUUUUUCAAAAAAGUUUUGUUUGUGGUCCAGCUAUUUUUCUUUUGUGAUCCACCGAUAAGGGACUUAAUUAAUCCCUCAUUCUAGAAUCCACCCAAAUAUAUACUUGUUUUUUAAAUAAAAAAGAAAAGGAAAAUCAUCAAUUAACUAAUUUACAUUGCAAUAGAAGGGAACAAAUGCAGAACGUGGAGGUAUAAGGCACUUUUCAAGCAAAACUUGGGUUCAUAUUUUUUGGAAUAAAUUGUUUCCAUCUCCCUUGGGAAUAAAAAUGGCUAGAACAAUCCACAAGUUCUAGCUCAACUGAUAAAAUGCUGAAAUUGUUAGGCCGGAUGUCAUGGCUGGGGUUCAAACCCCGGUACCUCCACUUGUGUGUGUGAGUUUUAUAAUGACUUUGUCAUUUCGUCUAUCUAAAAAAAAUGGUUAUAACAUGAAUAAAAUAGAUUCAUGGUAUUAUUUUUUUCUAGACAUAUUAUUUUUAUUCCUUCCUACCAAAAACAUGAAUACUUCUUUCCCAUUCUCUACUUUUAAAAAUGUAUUUUUUAUCUUCGAAACAAACACCCUUUUAUAAAAAAGGAAAAAACAAAAGAUUGAUGGGACAUAAACCUAACAUAGCAGAAUAAACCUAAGAAGUCCCGAGUCCCAUCUCUAAAAACUAACAUUUCAUUUCCUUCAAAUAGUUUACUAACAACUUAACAUUUAUCUAUCGAAAAAAAUAUAGUCAGAGUUAUACUCAAAUAUGAACCGUAUUUUAAACAGUUAAAAAGUUUAUAAUUUUAAAAUACGAUAUCAUUUAUAAAUCUGCGUCUAGAGAAGUGCUAUAUAGUUGGAUGUAGAAGAAAACCCUACAAAAGAAGUACACAAUGUGCAUGCGAUAUCAUUUAUAAAUCUGCCUCGUGAAAUUUUAGUUUGCACUAUUUUAUUGAGCAUUUUCCAAAAGAGUAAAUAGUUUCACAAGUCACGUGAACUUAAAAAAAUUAGAUUAAGCAUUCAAUUGUGUCAAGACUCAACCUUGCCUCAGUCUUUUCAGAGGUUGUUUUUAUAUGAAAGAGACAUUUAGACUUGGGUAUCCUAUAUAUACCUAUGUGCAUAAACACAUCACAUUAGAGAAAGAAAUUUAACUCAUUUUAUUAGAUAAUAAGUCGUUAAUACAAGACGGUACAUCAAUAAAUAAUUGGAAGCUAAUUUCUAAGCUGCAUGUGCUAAUUCAUGAGCAAUCCCAUUUAUUUGCUUCGUGUGGAACUAUACCUUAGAGUUGCUAAAAAGGAGUGUUAAACAGUUGUCUACAAGAAAAAAAUAAUGUUAACAAAGUCAUUAUUACUGUUAUUGUUACCAUUGAAAUUAGCCCAGAGAAAAAUCCGUGUUAUGAAAACCUAACUCAGCCACCCACUGCAACGCUUCACAAAGUCAUAACGCCUCACCAACAUCCACCGAGCAUAAUAGGGUGAGCCAAGUGUUUUUUGCCAGAACAAAACACAUGUCGGCAUCACAAACGCACAUACCAAUACCAACAUAAAAUUAGUUAGUCUAAUUGGAGUAAUUUAUUAUGAAUUUCAAAGUUUUCUCUUUGUUUCAACCUAUCAAUAUCCAAAAUCACGUUUAAAAUCAUAGUAACACAUAAGAUAUUUAGUAGUUUCACGUGUUUAGCGGUGAGGGUGUAUUGGAACGCGCUAUUGCACCGACAAACAUGUACCCAAACAUACACUACAAUCUUUAAAAAUAAAAAAUAAAAAAAAAUAAAAAAAAGAAGAGAGAGAGAUGUCGACACUUAUUUUGGUAAGCGGCAACAAUUUGAACCAACACAUUAUGAAACUAGCCGGGAAUACAUAGGCCACUGAAUUCACUGUUGGCAAGCAUUUUGGAUGAUUUUGAAAACCUAGUAAUUUAGGAGGUCUUUUAACAACAUUUAUAAAAAAAAUUUGACUAAAUUGAAUUUUUGAUCCCUUAACUAUUUAGGUAGUAUCGCUUUGGUCCCUUAAUUAAAAUUUGAAUUAUUUUGGUCCCUUAACUUCUCUCCGUUAUACAUUUUGGUCCUUUCCGUUAGUUUUAAUUCAAAAACGUUAGAUUUUCUUCAUUUUCUUCUCCUCUUUUUCAUCUUCAUAUCAUCUCCAUCAACCUUCAACAACAAGAAUCCAAGCAAAAAGAGGAGAAGAAGAUGAAGAAAAUCUAACGUUUUUGAAUUAAAACUAACAGAAAGAGCAAAAUGUGUAAUGGAGAUAAGUUAAGGGACCAAAAUAAAUCGAAUUUUAAUUAAGGGACCAAAGCGAUACUGCUUAAAUAAUUAAAAGACCAAAAAUGCAAUUUAGCCUUUUUUUUUUUAACAAGCCGGGCUUCAAAGGUUAUAAGUUAACAAUGAAUGAAAAAUGCUCUUUCUCCCAACAAAAAACACUUCCUCCCAACUGAAUGGACGAAAUGCGUGACUUAAGUCACACUAGAUACUCUCAGCGUGACUUAACUCACACACUUUUGGCCAGCUGCGUGACUUAAGCAGGGCCCCAUGUACUGUCGAAUACAACAAAAAUAAAAAAAGAAAAAAUGGAGUAGAUUAAAAAUAAUAAUUAAUAAAAAAAUUAAAUUUUUUUUUUUUUUAUAUUUUUUUAAUAUAAAAUAUAAUUUGAAUAAAGUUGCGUAUUGAAUAAAUUUGAAUAAAGUUACGUAUUGAAUAAAUUUGAAAAAAGUUGUGUAUUGAAUAAAUUCGAAUAAAGUUGCACAAGUACGCAAAAUCAAUUUAAAAAAUACACAAUUUUAUUUAGUUUUAAUUUCAUCUACAUUACAUUACAUUUUCCUUAAAUAUAUGUGGUAUCAUCAUAAUGUUGGAUUUAAGUUUAAUUUUUGAGAGUUUACUAAAAAUCUUGGCAUUGAAGUGUCUUAUACUUAGUGUAGUGAUUUGAAGCGAAUGAAGAGAACAAACACAACACUAGUAUUAUACCAAAUCAACUAUGUAUGUUAUCACAUCGAAUCCCUUCAUAUAAGAUGAGUCAUCACAGAAAGGAAUGCAUUCCAAGAGGUUGUUUUGAACUUAAUUUUACUGCCUUGCCAAAUGAUAAGUUUCAAUUGACGGAGGAGCAUAAUCAAGCUCAAAAGAACCUCUUAGAGGUGCAUUCUCUUCUGUUACACUCAUCCUAUAUGAAGGAAUUCAAUGUGGUAACCUAUAUAGAUGAUUUGGCAGAAUACAUGUUGUGUGCUCUUAAUCUUUUGACUUUUCAAAGAGGCUUGCAAAUCACUACAUUCAGUAUAAGACACUUCAAUACCAACAUCUUCAGUAAACUAACAAGAAUUAAACUUUAAUUCCAACAAAAUAAAGACUCUACAUAACAAUGAUGCUAGCUACUUCAACAUAAUUUUCUGGCAGAAUCAAACUGUUUAGAAUAUCUUCAGGCGAUCUCAACAACGUGGCUUGCAUCUCAAUUACUGGGAACAUGUGUUCCUUAUAAUAUAUGGAGAACAUGUUCCUCUCGCAGUCAUCGUUUGUCAGCAUUAUCUUUUUGGUAUGCAAAUAAACGGAACUUGCAUACAGUAGGUCCUCCAGCCUCCUUGUGUCUCUGAGGUUGAGUCCUUGAUUGAUUUCAUUCAGUUGAUCAUUCUGAAAUUUAUUGAAGAGAAAAAACUUUCAACUAAUCAAAACUAACUUCGUAAAUAAGUGCACUAUUAGACACACUUUAUUUUUCAAUUCCUACCAAUAUUUUUGAAAUAUCACUAACUUAACGGGGGUGUGUGAGCAAACACAAAAUAUUCAACCUUCACUAAACAAAAACAUUAGGAAAGUGGGGGCAGCUCCCAUACACCUGCAUUCGUAACUGAUUAAGAAGUUAUCACUUUUCAUAUUUUCAGAAAAAGCUAAAAAAAAAUUGUAUUAGUUUUAUUUAAUUUUUGAAAUGUUUUGGUGAUAUUUUUAUACUUUUUAUUUAUUUUAUUUGACAGUUUUAUCAUUUUUACUUUGUUUUUUAGUUGCUUUUAAAAGUGAAAUUCGUAAGUGCUGAAAUGUGAGUGAUUCUAAUUGGUUCAUAUAUAUAAACAUAUUUCAGAAUCUAUAAUCCGAAGACAUCCGAAACCACACGAGCAUUUUUGUAAAAUAAAAUAAAAAUAUAAUGCAUGAAAAAUGGUUACUGAGAAAAAAUUAAUAGUCUAUUAUUUAUUGGACUACACUAACUUUGGGCUCCAUUGCUAUCGUAGGCUUACAAGGAUCUUCCUGAUAUCAUCUCAUGGAAGUUUCUUUUCCGACCUCUCAUAAUACUUACGAAUGCAAUCUAGUCUAUCGAAAUUAGCGUUGAAGCCAAUCAAAUCUGAGACAUUAAAAGGAACACAGUCAAAAAAAGUAUCAAAGCAACACAACCAGACUAACUCAAAUACCCAUUAGAGAAAUAAAACACCAUUUUUUUUUUUUAGAUUACAUAUCCAGACACAAGAAAUAGAAACAUUUUUUUCUCUGUCAACGCAAUGACCGACUUAUCAAACAAGAGAAGAACAUACAUGAAAGAGGAAAAAAAAGACUCAUGUCAUUGAUGCUAAAAAUCAAAACACACUUGCAACAGUGGUAAAUAUAAAUUACAGUUGAACAAAACAUAUUACAGUGGAAGAGAAAAUUCAAGCUAACUAAAAUUGUACAUUUGAUUACUAAAUUCAAGCACUGACACAGAUAUUAGACACGACACUAACACGUAGACAUCGGUAGUUACAUGUCUCAAUGUCAUGAUGGUGCCGGACAUGCACAUUAAUUUGAAGUGUCGGUGCUACAGAGGACUUGAAUAUAAAACAUCAUUAACAAUCAAACUACUCUUCCCCAAGGAAGAAAACUGUUGGUUUCUUAGGAUCCAUGAUCUCCACAGUCCCUUCUAUCAUCUUAGCAACUUUCCCCAUUGUUGGCCUUGCCUCAGGCCUAUCUUGCAAGCACCACAUCGCAGUCUUCACCAUUCUGUUAACCAAUUGAAAAUGUGCUUUACUAUCAUAAGCAUGACAAAUUUGACUAUCAAGAAUUUCUUCAACUCUCAUUUCCUUAAACAUCUUAUCAAAAGCCCAUCCAGGAAAAUACCAUUCAUCACUCCUCGCCACAGAGCCUUGAAUCUCGAAGUUCCUCACUCCACUCACAAGCUCCAACAACACCAUACCAAAACUAUAAACAUCAGCUUUAGAAGUUAUUGGAUCUGCUGUUAUCCAUUCAGGUGCCAUAUAACCAGGAGUUCCUCUCCUUCUUGACAUAGUCACCAUGUCUUCUUUUUUCCUUAGUUUCGCCAAUCCAAAAUCCGAUAUCUUAGGACAACAAUCAUCGCCUAAGAGAAUGUUUUCUGGCUUAAUAUCACAAUGCAAAACCCAUUCCAAACACUCCUCAUGUAGAUACGCAAUAGCCCUUGCCAUACCAAGUGCAAUUCUAUACCUCAUGUUCCAAUCCAAAACAGGUUUAUCUGAGAUACUUGGAUCUGGUAGGCUAGUAUCAUGACUUAGAUCAGAUUCUGACUCACCAGUACCACUACUCUUUUUAGACUUGACCCUGAAGAGGUACUUGUCCAAUGAUCCACCCGGGAUGUAUUCAUAAACAAGUAUUCUUUGACCUUUCUCGGCGCAGAAACCCCACAAUCGAACCAAGUUAAGAUGAUGCAUCCUCGCAAUGAUUGUAACUUCCGCCCAGAACUCAGCGUCACCUCCAGUAACAUUCUUUAAGCACUUCACCGCAACAACACGGUGAUCUGGCAACUCGCCUUUAUAAACAUCUCCAAAUCCACCCUUCCCAAUGAGAUUCGAGAAAUCAUUAGUAGCAGCUUUGAUCUCCGAGUAGGUAAACCUUUUCGGACCACCUGCAGGUAAAAGCUCAAGACCUAAUGUGGUAGCCAUGUCCCUAUACUUGAUAUACCUCUUAAGGAAAGACCAAAAGAAAGCCACACCAGCAAUGAGUUCAGCCGCAAAAAGCGUGCAGAUAAUAACAAUAUUUCUCGUGGUAGUGUUCGAAUCCUUCGGCGGCAAAGGCAAACUUAUCCUCACAGGACAAGUUGUUUGCAUAACUUCUGUCAUACCAAUGAAAUUAGGAGCUUCUGUUUCCUUCUGAUCCACUUUCAAAAACAAAGCAAGUUCAGUCCCCGGUGACCAAUAACCAUACUGAAGCUGUUUACCUCGUAGCAAAACACAAAGUCCCGAUCCAUCGUAUUUGAAUCCAAAUCCAAGACAGUCCACAUUUCUUGUACAGUUUGAUUCACAAAUUGAGUAGUUAUUAGCAGUAAUUUGGUUCAUUGAACCAUUACUCGUAUAGUUUACAUAAUCAAGCCUAAGAAAAUGAAUAUUACUAGAAAGUUGAAUUUUCCUCUUACAACCCUUUUCACUUCCACCUUCAACAGGCUCAAAUCCAGAAGGACAAACACAAUAAGUUGAAUUAUAAAAAUCUUCUCUAGGCAUACAUAUCGAAUUAGGACCGCAUUUUCCUUUGAUUUUACACGAUUCCCAAAUCGCUAACCAAACAACAACCCAUGUAUUCUUUUGUUCAGGAUAAAAACUAUAAAUUCUCAAAUUUCCAUCAUCAUCAAGAACAAGUUUUCUAAUCCUAGAAUCACCAUAAUCAGAAGUAAGAAAAGAGUUACUUUGAUAACUCAUUUUUCCAAGAUCAUCCAUACUCACCAAAGGGCUUUGUGUGUUAUAGUAUUGAGAAGAUGAAUUAUCAUUGAGAAUCAAAAAACUAGAAUUAAUCAACUUAUACUUGUCAUUACUUGAAACAAUUUCAAUUCCACUAAUAUUUUGGCUUGGUACAAUAGUAUUAGUAGGAUUCAAAAAACUAGUCCAAUUUCCAAAAACUAAGUUUCCACUAUCAUGAAGAACAAGUUGUGAGGAAUUGGAAUGAUUAACAAAGGAAACAUUGUUGAGUAAAAGUUCACCUUUUGAAGUGAUAACAAGAGAGGAAGAUGAACUUAGAUUUGUUGGUAUGCUCCAAAUAAGAGGAUUUGAAGAUUGAGGUAUUUUUGUGAACCAAAUAGAGAAAGUGAAGAGGUUUUGUGAAUUUGGUAUAGGAAAAAAACCAGCUGAGAAAUUUGUGUUUGGUGAGGUUAGUGUUAUGUUUUGUGAAGGAAGCCAUGGUGAGUUUGAGAUGUUGAAUGAUGUUAGUUUUUGAUGUUGUUGUUGGGAAAAUGAAGGUUGAAGAUUUGUGAGGAAAAACAAAAGGAGGAAGAAAAUAGAGAGAUGCAUGUUUGGAAGAUGAAAGUGUGUGUUUGGUUGGAUUUAGGUGUCAUUUUUAGAUGAGAUGAGAUUGGUGGUGGCGGCUAUGUUUGAGUUGACUAGAGAAGAUUGGACUUUGGAUUUGAUUGUGUCAUUCUUUGUUUUACAUUACACGGUGAUAUUGAUAUUGACUUGUUCAAUUAUGCACUACCAUUUGCACUUUAAUAUACUUAUCUCUAUGCCCAAUUAAGACAUUAUAAGUUUGUAAAUAAUAUCAUUGUUUUUUGUCACUUUUAUAAAUUCUUUAAACACUUCGAUUGUGCCAUUUUUACAAUUGAUUCUUACUAUUUCUCCAUAAAUAUUCAUAUGGCUUAAUUCGAUUGGAUGCGGGUAUGAAAAAAGUUAAUAAAAUUCUAUCUUUAUUACUUCUAUAAUUAUAAUUUAUAAAGAGUGACUUUGAUAUGCUAAAUAACAAAAGACCCUGUUUUCUUUAAAAAAAACAAAAAACCUGGUCAACAAUUUUGUUUGGUUUAAAAAUUAAUUUUAAGAUGAGAUAAAACAAGUAGUAAAAGAUUGAACAAAGCCAACAUUUAUUGUCUUUCGUUAAACUGUGAGAUAACUUUUUUUUAAAAAUAAAGACAAUCGACAAUCGAGUGAGACAACUUUUUCUCAAAAAUAAAGACAAUCAACAAUCAAAAUUCGAAAAUAGCAUUUUCCUUCUAUUCCACCCAUCUCCUCUCACCCGCCUCUUAUCUAUCAGGUCUCCCUCCUUCUCUCUACUAUCUUGUCUCUCCCUCUAAUCUUAAGAUAGUAUAAAACAAGUGGUAAAAGAACUUUAAAUUAUACAUUUAUUUUGAAACUUAAAAAAGAUGCUACAUGUACUUGAAAAAAAAUGUAGCUGAAGCUCAUAAAAGAAAAAAUAUUAUAUCGUUUCUCAGUUGGUCUCUUAUGUUUAAAUCUGUCAAAAUAAUACAUUAUUGAUAGCAUGCUCUCAGAAACGAGUGAACAAAAUUCCAUAACAUUUUUUAGCAAAGCCUGGGAAUUUUAGUCCGUACGAUGCUCAUAAACCACCAAAGAAGUAAUUUGAGAACCGUCCUUAUUUGUAAGAAAAAGGCUAAAAUUCUAGUCAAGUUGAAGAUAACGCUUAAUUCUCCAUACUAGACUUGAAUUUCCAGCUAUAGAACAAAGCCUUGAAACUCACCCCGACAAUAUGGUUUAAUUUUUCAAAGUAUCUGUUGAAAAAUGUUCUCAAAAUCAACAAUUGGCGGUACACACCCAUCCUAAACCACGAUGCUUUGAAACACCAUCAAGAUUAAAUUCUAAGUCUAUAACACCAUCAAUAUUAAAUUCUAACUUUAUAAGUUGGGUUUGAGGACUCAUCAGAGUCAGAGCAGAUCUCAAAUUUUAAAGAGCGUUUACAGAAGUACUUACAUAUCACAUAUUAAGGAGAUCAUCACAUCAAUAGGGGGAGUUGAACUCACGACUUUGAAGAUGAAUGAACCUUUGUUAACUUAAUAUCAAUUUUUCAACACAUUAAUUUGAUGAGGUUAAAAUUCAAGCGAGACCCUAUUAAAUUGUUUAUGUUUUACGUAAAUUUGAUAAUUGAUGUAAAUUUUAACUAGUAGAGAGACUUUAUCAAAACAUGUCUAUUAUAUGAUGUGUUGCUCGUAUUUCACAAACACGCUUAGGGUCUGGUUGAAAAAGAGUUUGCAGAAAAGAGUUUUCGAGAGUUAAUUCCAUUAUUUAAAAUAUAUUUUAUAUUUAAAAAGUUUUCAAAGAACAAUAUGAUAAGUGAUCAUAUAAUACUUCGAAUGCACUUAUUGAUUUAAAAAAUAAAAAUUUAUAGUAUGAGUAGUCUAAAAGAGAAAAGUAAGUCACUCUUUUCCCCUUUUAAACCCUCCAUAUAUUGAAACAUAUCAACUUUGGAAGUUUAAGGGGGAAGAAGAGGCUUCUGGGACAGAAGAUCAGAAAGAAAAUAUAUAGAAAUCUUAUCCUUCAUUUGAGAUUAUACAUUUAUACAAAAUAAUAAAUAAAUACUUAUGAUUAAUAUAUAUUUUUAAGUUUGAGAGUAUUAUAAAAGCAUAAAUUGAAAAUGACGAAGUUAUCUAAAUCCUUCAAAAUCAUCUUUAGAGUAUAAUUUUGAGUUCUUCAUUAAAAAAAAAGUAUUAUUAUGAAGAAAAAAAUUCAUUCAAGUUGAGGACUAUAUUUUUUCUUUUUCUCUUUUCUCAUUAUUUGUAGUCCAAGUCUUCCUCUUCCUCAAAUGCAUCACUAUUGUAUUAAAAAUAAUGCUAUUUAUACCAUCAUUUUAUAACAACUUUUUAAAACGAUAUUUUUAUUCUCUUUUCUUAUUCGUCAAAAACAAUAAAAUAAUUUUUUUGUUUUUGAUUGUCAAAAAGAACCAAAGGAGAAAAAAAAAAGUAAGAGAGGAAGAGAAAGAAUAAAAUAAAAAUAUAAGAGUUUGUCCAAAUUUUAUUUAUCAUUUUUUUCUCAUUUCUCUCAUACUUCCUCUGUUUCUUUUUAAGUGUCGUUUUAGAAUAUUAACGCUAAAAUAUUGAAGAGUAUUUUUGCACAUUUUCUUCAUAUUAUACCCUCAUUUUAAUCCACCAAUAUAUUACUUUUUUUUGCACACACUUUCUCUUUCCAAUAAAUUUAAUAUGUUAUAUUUUUCUUAUAACAAACAUUUUUUAGUUACUAUCUUUUUUAACAUUCAUAAAGUCUUUUAUUUUAUUUUUCUCUCAAACAUGUUCUUUACUUUGCACUUGAAAUUUUUAACACUCAUCUUAUUUAUAGAAUCUUAAAUUUUGUAACAAAAUAAGUAACAAAAUUUUGUUUAAAUUUUAAGAUUAACAAGAAAUAAACUUUAUUUAAAAAAAACGAACAAACUUUAAUUUUUCAAAUACAUAAAAGUAAUUAACAAAUUAUAUCAUACUCUUAUAAUAAAAAAAUUAUAUUAUACUCUUAAAAUAUCAAAAUGAUAAUUAAAUACUACCUCCGGUCCUAUUUAUAAGAGAAAUUUAGGUCAACAAAAGUGAAUGCAUUUGGACUGAAUUUUUAACUAGAUACAUCAACUUUUGUUGACCCAAAAUUCUCUUAUAAAUAGGACCGGAGGGAGUAAAAUCGUUAAAUUCACGUUACACUUAACGAGAAACAAUGGGAGUAUUAAUUAGUGAUUCAGUGGCGGCUUCAGCUGAGUUGACAUUGGAAUGACGACUCUUACCAUGUCAUUGCCAUUGUUUUUUUUUAAUUUUACAAUAAUUUUUUGGCGUUAUUAUAGAACUUUGUUGAUUUUCUGCAACCACUUGCAUACAAUUUCCUUGUAAUUAUGAUGUGAACGUGUGACAACUUUCUUCAUCACAAAUUAUGAAUUGAGAAAUGAUAUUUGUACAAUUAAUUUGGUAUAAUUUUUGUACAACUUCUUUCUUAUAUUUAUAUUAUAUUUUUAUUCUUUUUUUUUCUCUAUUAUUUUUGACCAACGAAAAGAGAACAACAAAGCUAUCUUAAAGAUUGUAUAAAAAUAGUUGUCAAAAUAUCAAUACUCUUAUCAAUCUAUCAAAUAUUUACUUUCAUAUUAGUGGUUGACGGACGAAUUUUCUCAAAAUGGCUUUGGUCUUUUCGAAAAAAGGAAAGCACUUUUAUUUUCUGGUCAAGAAAAAUGAUACGUAGUGGUAGUUUUGGAAAGUUUGAUUUUACCAGAUUUGGUUGCUUUGCCGUGUUAUUUGGUCUUACAUUUUCUAGAGGAGCAAGAGAAAAAUAGUUUUUUUUUAAUAGACUAAACGAUAAAUUCCUUCAAGAGAAAAAAAAAAAAGACUAAACGAUAAAUAAUUAUUGAAAGUCAUUAGUAUAUAACUUGGAGGGAUUGAGGUUUGUACUCUCAGUCAAGUAGUCCAACCUAACAAUUUAAAGAUUUUGUAAAUUGAGAUAAAAUUUGUUGACAAACACAUAUUAAUUGUUUUAUAUGUCGUCAGUCGAGAUAGAAUUUGUGGAUAAAAAAAUACUACUCAAGACUCAAGUACAUAUAAAAGGGUCAUGCUAACCGGUGUCCUGGGGCACUAGUUAAGGAUACCAAAAAAGGAAGUUAUUACCAUAAAACGAAACUUUUUUAACUUUUCAUGUAUCAAUUACACAAUUUUUAAUGCAAUAGUAUCUUUAACCAGUGUUUCGGAGGCACUGGUUAGCAUUUCCUAUAAAAAAAUAUUUGCUAAAUUGCAUUUUUGGUCCUUUAAUUAUUUAGGUAGUAUCGCUUUUGUCCCUUAAUUAAAAUUCAAUUUAUUUUGGUCCCUUAAUUAAAAUUCGAUUUAUUUUGGUCCCUUAACCUCUCUCCGUUAUACAUUUUGGUCCUUUCCGUUAGUUUUAAUUCAAGAAUGUUAGGUUUCUUCAUUUUCUUCUGAAUUUUUUUUGGGAUUCUUGAUGUUGAAGGUUGAUGGAGAUGAUAUGAAGAUGAAAAAGAGAAGAAGAAGAUGAAGAAAACCUAAAGUUAAAAACUCACACACAUAAGUGGAGGUACCAAUGUUCGAAUCCCGGUCAUGACAUUCGGCCUAACAAUUUCGACAUUUUGCCAGUUGAGUUAGGACUUUUGAAUUAGUAGAUGAGUUUUUAUUAUCCUUUAAUGAGAGAAGAUAACAUUAAUAAAUAGGAAUAGAAUAAUAGUUUAGUUGGUAUGCACAAUCAACAUAUAUGUUUUUAUUUAUUUAUUUAUUUAUGAACAGUCAAUAUAUAUGCUAUUAUAUACAUUUUAGAUAUUUUAUCUCAUUUUAUGGUAAUUAUGAAAUGUAUAAUAUGAUGGAAUAGGAUAUAGAAUAGGACGGAAUAAUGAAACAAUAAUUAUAAGGUAGCUUGACAUGUUCUUCAAAAAGGUAGCUAGAGAAUAUGGAAUUACUUUUGGCUUGUCCCCAUUUUUGAGAAGUUGUCUUGGACUUUCUUAAAAUGCACUCUUUAUCAAUAAGUUCCUCUAUUGAUAUCAAACUAAUGCCGAUACUCUUGUUGUUUCUUCAUUUUCUUUAUCUAUUCAUGUGGCUUUUCGAAUGACUCUAGAAGUUCUUUCGACCUAUGAGUCAUAGAGUAAGUCACCUGAAUCUACACCUCGCAACAAAAGCAAAAUUAAAAAACUUUUAGUAGCAUUGCACUAAAGAAAAAGAUUUAAAUAUACUUUUUGUCUGUAUGUAUGACUGAAAAUAAAUAACAUAUUAUAAAGAAAAUAAAGUGUGUAAGUAUGUAUGUAUGAUUACUUCAAGAUAGAGUUCCAACCAGAGUUAAUUUGGUGAAAAGACAUGUUCUACAACCGAAUGAUAACCUGUGUGUCGAUGGGUGUGGAAAUUCAGAGACGACGUAUCAUCUUUUCAUUGGUUGCAACAUUUUUGGGAGUGUUUGGUAUUUGAUUUGUAAUUGGCUUGACAUUUCUUAUGUUCCUUCAGGAUUGGUAACUGAUCACUUUUUACAGUUUACUAACUUGGCGGGUAUGCCGAGAUCUUCCCAUAUUUAUUUUAAGGUGAUUUGGCUCGAUUCUAUUUGGGCAAUUUGGAAAAAACGGAACAACCGUGUCUUCAAAAAUGCGGUAAUAGAUCCUCAAAGCAUCCUUGAUAUAGUGAAGUUUAAUUCCUUUCUUUGACUCUCUUCGAAUGGUAUUCCAUUUGCUUUUAGUUUUCAUGAUUGUUGGAUCAAUCAAGUUUCAAAUACCAAUUAUUAUUUGAUGUUUAUCCUCACAAUAACUAACAAAGUAAAACCUAUUCUAGUUUAUGAAAUAAUGCUCUCUAUGGUUAGUAGUGGAUAUCGAUACUAACUCUCUCCAUUCUCUCGUUUUCAAGAUUCGACCUUCGAAUCAAGGCCCUGUUUUCAAAGAGAUAUGGAUCAAGGAUUUUGUACUUCGAAGAGGCUUGAAGAAAGGAGAUGAAAUUUGCAUGCAUUGUACAAACAACGGUUCGAUUUCUCGGUUCUUCGUGCCUAUCGCCAUCAAGUUUCAGACAAGCAUUAGUUUUCAGUUUUAAAUUAGUUUAGGGCCCCUUUAGGAAAACAUAUUCAUAUUCACACCAAGCAUUAACAUUCAAAACCACUAAAUGCAUGAAUAAUUAUGAAAAUGAAACACACAUUUUUUAUAAAUUUAAUACCACAACUACUAUUUUUAGUACUUUUGAAUUUAUAAAUGACUUUUAUAAUAAAUAUUUUAGUAGUAUCAUAAAGUCUCAUACAAUCUUUCAUACAAUACCAAACCAAAUAAAACCUUUUUUUUUUUAACAAAUUUUAUAUUUUUUGUUUUGAACUAGGAAGAAGCAGAAGCACCAAAACAAACCAUCUCAAUGCAUCCAACUGAAAACAGCUUUCAACAACUAUGCACUUGAAACCUUUAUCACCUUGGAAAGGCAAUUGUCUAUAGGCUUGGAUAAUGGUAAGCAAGUAAUAGGGCAUUCUGGAUUUACUCGCUCCAACCUACAUAAAAUAGAAAAAAUGGUAAAAAGAAAAACUUGUUCUAAAAAUAUUGUUCCAUUUUAAAUUAAGUGUCAUUUUAGCUAAAAAUAUUGUUCUAAAAUGAAUGUCAUUUCAAGUUUUCAAUACAAUAGUAAGUUUUUCUUUUUAAUUGUAAUAUUUAAUUAAUACUAUGUGCAUUACUCUUAAAGUAUUACUUUUACUUUAAUGGAAAACAAAUCAAUAAUUAAUAAGGAUAGUGUGGUAAAAUAACAAUUCUCUUUCUUUUAAACAUUGUUUUUCUUAAUAUGUGUUAUAAAAUCUUAAACGACAUUCAUUUUAAAACGGAUGAAGUGUAUGUUAUUAUUUGGGCUUUGGCCCUCUUUUGUACCAAAAAAAAAAUAUGUUAUUAUUAAAAUUAAACUAAUGACAAAGUUAUUUUUUUAAAAAUAUAAAAAUGUUUAAUUCACAUUUAAUUUAGUGACUAAGAAAUUAGAUACCAAUUUGACCUUGGAGACUUUAAUUUUAACACAAAUUCUAUUGAAAGGAACGACUAGUGUAAGAGUAAUGUAAAUAUUAAGGAUUUAGAAGUUAAUAGAAAAAAAAAUGUGAAAUUGAGUGCUUACCUAUAAUUAAGAAGGAAAUAAUGUAGAAAUACAAAAAUUUCAGGUUUUGCCAAGUCACUCGCAGGACAAUGCAUACUUCCUGCUCCAAAAGGAAUAAAGGUUCCAACUUUUGCUUUGUGAUCCUGAACAUGUAAUAUAUACAAAAAUCAUUAACACAAGUAUUUUUUAAUUUUUUUUAAAUUUCUAUAGGUUACUAAACAAUUAAUAGAACUCACAUCCCAUCUCGAUGGAUUAAAUUCAUCUGGGUUUGAAUAAUAUGUAGGUUCAUGAUGAAUAGCUCUUGACCAUGUUAGCACUUUCCAUCCAUUCGGGAUGAUAUAACCUGGAAAUAUAUAAAAUAGUUAAGAGUUUUUAUUAUCCUUUAAUGAGAGAAGAUAACAUUAAUAAACUGGAAUAGAAUAAGAGUUUAGUUGGUAGUUAUGACAUGGAUUUUAUCUUUAUUUUUUGUUUAUUAUAUAUAUUUUAUUGUUAACUUCGUCAUUAGGAGGAUAAUUCAGCUACUAAGUUUGUUAGAUGAACAACCGAUUAUCCCCCACUUUACCUCUUGAAGCAUGUUCUGUGUUUUAAGAGUGUUUUGUUCCCUUAGCUAUAUAUGCUUCAACUAUAAAUGUUCAUCGCACUAAAUUUCAUUAGUUAGAAAAUUAAUUCAUUUAAGACACAAAGAUGGCGUCGAAGUCUAUAUUUAGGAGGGUUAUUAAAAAACACUCUUUUAUUGGAUGAAUUAAUGUAGAUCCAAUACUUUAAAAAUCUGUCUCAUAAAAUGUAGGAUUCACAUGGAUUUCAUCAAAUAAAAGAGUAAAUUGUUACAGAAAAUGUUCAAAAGAGAGUGUUCAUAAUACUCCUAGGGCUGGCAUGGGUGGACCAUUCCAUGUGACUUGUAAUACUUUACUACCAACUAGCAAGAUCUCACUCAACAUUGGUUUGACUGUUCAAGUCAGGCAGCUCAACUCUUCCUCAUCCUCACCGGUUUGAUUGUUCAAGUUAGGCCAGCUUAGCUCAGCUCAUCUCCACUCAACGCUCAACUCGUCUCCACUCAACACUGGUUUGACUGUUCAAGACAGACCAACCAGCUCAGCUCAUCUUCACUUGAUACUAUUCUGUUUUAAGUUAACUAUGCUCUAUUUCCACGUGGCAUGGACGAAUGAUCAACGUCUCUGAAAGCGCAUCUCAACUCCACGCGCCCAGUACGGACGAGUUGCACCCUAGUCCACACACGACCGUACUCAAAACAGACAACCAAUGGGAGGCUCUGGAUCACCACUUAAUGGGAUUUGAAUGAAUAGAGAAAGGUCCAUUAAACCAACACUUUGAAGGUUAUAAAAGGGGGCAACUUAGGAGGUUUAAUUUGAGGGCACCGAUUCUAGAUGGCGGAACAGUGUAUUUUUUAUCUUGUCUUAUUCAAAAUGCUCUUGAAAUUCCACCUAAGACAUUUCACUGAACCGCUCACCUGUUAUAAUUAACUUGUGUUCACAUACGUGAACACUUCUAAAUAUAACCUUUGUCAUGCAUUGUUUACCAAGACAAGUGGGUUUUUAUGAAAAUAUUCAAUUACCUAGUUAUGACUUAUGAGAUAUAUAUUAUUUUUCAGUUUUAUAGUUCGUUACAUUUUAUUGUUUAGUUUUUUAUUGUGAGGAUAACUCGAUUACAAGAGAGCUAUUAUUUAAACAACCUAAAAAUGGACAACCGUAUACGACAACGUACCAUUUCAUGGGGUUAUACUCACAUUUUCUCUAAGCAUGCAUCCUAAGAUACAUAAAAAAUUGUAAAAACCCACAAUAUCGUUGUAUAUAUGGUGUGGUUGUUGAUUGUUAGAUGAAUGACUUAUUAACCUCACUUUACCUGUAACGUAAAUACAAGUAUUGGCCUUUUAUCAAACUAAACAUAGUUUCAAAACUAAUAUUAUUAAAGACUUCUGUUAAUCCACUCGCAACUUGUUGCAAAGAUAUUUAAGCAGAUAUUUUAAGAACUAAUAUAACAAAGUAACACAUUCAUGAUUGGACACAUGUGUCAAAGUUUUCCGUUUUUUUUUCAGUAGUCUAGUGACUAGAAUUUACCUUAUAACGUGAAUAAAUGAAGUGUCCGGGGUUCGAACCCCAACCCCUACAUAUAAUAAUGCAUUGUCCUACCAACUGAGUUAUGCUAACAGAACUGUCAAACUUUUACGUCGGCAAUGCGAUAGAUGAAAUUCAAAGAAUCAGAAUUUUGACAAUAAAUAAGAACAUAUUACCAUUCAUGUUAACAUCUUUAGUUGCCUCCCGAAAAAGUGCGAAAUUCAAACCGACAACACGUAACAUUUCGUUGAUUACCUGUAUAUAAAAAUUACAACAAUAUAAAUUAGUUAAUGCCUUAUUUGUACAAAAAUCAAUUAGUCGAGAUAAGUUUUUUUGAUUUAACGUAUAAUUUCUUCACGAAUUUGUAAGUUUAUAUAUGUUUAUGGAGAGAUCAAAUAAAUGUCUAUGUUAAAAAAACACUUCAGAAACAUAUGAGUGUGUGGUUGGAGACUUUAACUCAAUACUCAAUAGUCUCAAACUUAGAAAGAAUUGGGAGCAUAUCAACUUCUACGAGUUUGAAGAUGCCAAAAAUCUUUGAAUUUAUUCAAAAAUGAAAUUGUUAUUGAUAUAUAUACCAUGCAUCACUUGGUGGUAAAUUUACCUGUUACAGUUCGGAUGGAAACACCAUGAGAAGACUGGACCGAUUUUUCACUAUCAGAGGGAGAAGUUGAUCAUUGGAAAAUCUUAGGGGGUUGGGGAUAGAGACAUCUUAGAUAUAAGAGUAGUAUAUGACACCAUGAUGUCAAACUUAAUAACAUGACACAUCUGACAAUUUUUUAUCGCAUAAUCGUAUAUUUUAAAAGUGAUUGUUAGAUUGAAAGAUAUUAUAACAUAGGAUAUCAUGUAUUUAAAAUUGGACAAUGUUAACCAAAACUUCCGGGGAAUUGGUUAAGCAGCUAAAAGACUAAAGAAUUUAUUAAAAAGUAAUGUAAUAAUUAGUUAGUCAAAAGUAACAGUUUAUAUUUCCAAAACAAUUUUUCUACUUUUGGAUUCCUUAACCGGUGCCCCGAGGCACCGGUUAACAAGAUCCUUUAAAAUUUGACACUAAUACGAAAUCAUUUGAUAUAUAUAUUUCAAUAAGAUAUACAUCAAAAUUAACUUGUUUUUUAAAUUGAUAAGACGUUAAUUUUGAUGCAUCUCAUUGACAAAUCAACUUAUUUUCGAUUAAUGUCAAAUUUUAUAUACAAAGAUCUAUAUUAUAAUAUCUCUCAAUCUAAUUAAAGGACGAUUUUGUAAGGCGGUUAUAUGAUAGAGAAUAUCAGAGAUGUCAUAUAUUACAUUUAGUGUCAAUCGAUCAUGUAUAUAAAGUUUGGGAAAUGCUAAAUAGUACUAUUGGGGCAUUGGUUAAAUGAACAAAAAUAGAAAUAUCUUGUUGGGAAGUUAAAUAGUGAUGAAAAAUGGUGAAUUCAACUUUUUAAAAGUUAAAACAUUGUUAUUUCCAAUACAAAAAUAUUAUUUUUGGUUUCCUUAACUAAGUGUCCUUAUGACACUAGUUAGCAAGAUCCAUAAAGUUUUUAUAUAUUUUCCCUUGUAAGUUUCUAUUUUUUGCAAGUCAAUGAAUUAUGCAUGAUAUGUGUAACCAAAAAAAGAAGCAUUAUGCAUGAUAUGAUGAUCAUAUGAUUUCUGAUCAAUUAAUAUAUUUACCUGAGAAAGAUAAACCAUUUGCUUAAUCUCCUUAUAACUUAAUUGUUUCUGUGUGGACGGUCUAGCCUUUAUGAUUUCCUCUUGUUCUUCCUACAAAAUAACUUCUCUAUUUGUCAUCAAGAUAACAAUAGUUUUCUUUAGCAUAUUGUUAUCUUAGCUUUUUACAACUCAAUUUUAUACAAAUUCAACGUGAUAUCAUGUUAAUUUACCUUAGCUUUUUUCAAGAUGUGUGGAUGUUUUGUAAGAUAUAUAAGUGACCACAUAAUGCCAUAUGCAGGUUCUUCAACACCAGCAAGUACAACACCUAUCCACAUGUCAGUAAUAUUCUCAUCCUUAGUAUAAAACCAUCUUCAUCCCUUGCUUCCAAAAGAAUAUCAAGUAGAUCUUUAUCCUUUGUCUUUUCACCAUUUUUUAUCAUCAACCUCCUUUCUUCCACAAUAGGUUGAAUUAAUUUGACCAGCUUCUUACGUGCCUAUAUCAUACAUGCAUGAAAAUGUGUGAUCAACACCAAAAUAAUCUCCUAAUAAUGAUUAGUAGAUUCUAAAAUGUAAUAUAUUCUAGGAAUUGCUAAAAUGUGCCUUAAGGGCACAUGUUAAGAUACAGCAGAAUUAGUGCUGGUCUGUACGUAGUAAAUAACAAUAUUAAUUCGCACAUUAGUUAGGAUAAAAAUAUUUACCUUGAGUCCUUUAUGGAAAGCAAAGCCAGGAAGGUCAAUAGGCAUACAGUAUAAAGCAGCAAAAACAUCAGAAAAAGAAUUCUCUAUUUUGGUAAGGAUGUUUUUAUUGUAAGAGCCCAUAAUAAUAGAAAUUAUGAUAUCAAAGGAAAUGCUCUUCAUCUCUUUCAAAAACUCCACUGGGUGAUUCAUACUAGAAAUUUCCUCCAUAGAAUUGAUUACAAUGUCCUCAAUACGUGGUAGGUACAUUUCUAAUGUAUUGUGACCCAUGGUAAGGGCAGAGACUAGACGUUUUAAACCUUUAUGUUCUUUUUCAACAGAACUCCAAAAAGAUUUAAAUCCAAUCACUUCCAUGGUGGAUUUUGGAUAACCAAUCUUAAACGUCUCAUAAUCUAACAAGACACGCCGGCACAUGUCAGCCUCACAAAUGAUGAUGCUUGGACUCCCGAAUAAGUGCGUCUUGUAGAUACCAGUCCGUCCAUUCCUAAAAACCAAAGAUAACGAGUGAGUAUAGAAAAUAUAAAAUAACAUGUUUGUAUGUGCGCGCGCAUGUGUAUGUGUGUGAAGAUGAAUGUUAAGUGAAGAAAAAGAAAGAGACUUGGAAACAAGGUUGGUGAUGAAUGAAUCAGGAUGACCAGAUGAGAAAUCUUUAACAAAAGCUAACAUGUUGCCAAUGAGAGGCCAUCCCAAAUGACCAGGAGGUAGAGGGUAUUGUUUUUUUUUGAGUUUCAUAUUAUAAUACCACUCAUUCAAUCUCCACAUAAAAUUGAUCAAACAAAAAUAGCUUGCCAACAAAAUGGCACACAUCCAAACCCAAUAUUCUAUUUCCAUCUUUGAAUAAUUGGAUAUAUCUAGUUUAUUUGCUUAUUAUAUCUAGUUUUGGAAGUGGGUCGUUGAAGAGGGACUUGAAUAUAUCUAGUUCAUUUGCGAGUUGCAUUUAUCUCCCCCUAGAUCUUGUGUCAGAGUUGGUGAGGAUGGGAUGGUUCACCAUUGAUUGUAUUUGCUUGGUUGGUUGCUAUAAUUGGGUACGAUCGAUAAAAGGAAUUAAUGGAACUUGUGGAUUUAUGGUCAUGUUGGGAUACAACUUUAUGAUUGUACUCUUGCAUCCUAGCACAUGACAUGGGUGGUGAAUGGUCAAUGGUGAUUUGAUUUAUAAAAGAAGAGGAUGCUAACUCGUUUAACGGUUAAAAAUACAUUUAUAAGUGAAUAAAUAACACUUCCGUGACGUAGAGGAGGAUGAGGAGGAGGAGGAGGAGGAGGAGGAGGAGGAAGCUAAAGAAGAUGAAAGAAUUAGAGGUCUUUCAAGGUUAGGUUAAGGCGUGAUAUGUUUGGGAAAAUUAGUUUAAAAAAAAAGAAUUAGAGAUAGAUAUAUGAUAUAGAUCCCUAAACUUUUAAACAUGUCGAACAUUCAAUUUGUUUGCUGGAACAACAUAGGUUCUAGUAGAACUACAUUUUCAUGUUUAUUCUUUUUCUUUUCACUUUUUACUUUUUUGCUCGUAUUUGAUUUUGUGUAUACUAGAUUUUUAUUGUUUAGUCUACAAUUUUAUUUCAUUUUUUACAUUCAUUAAUUUUAUAGUAAUCAAGUUUUACAAAUAUCCCACUGCAAACUUAAGUUAUUGUAAAUUUCAAAGAGGAGCUCCAAACUUAGUUGCAAACCAAUAUCAAGUAAACUUAUUAUUCUAACUAAAUGCAAAGAAAUUAAACAGUUAUAACAUUUUAAGUUUAAAACUUUUGUUAUGGUUUAUCCCCAAAACAACGAAUAUUGCAUGGAGUCUUGAAGUGAGUUAGCAUAGGGUAAAAUAAAAUAAGGAAGGCUUGAAAAGACUCCGAGUAUCAAACAAAUGUGUCUCAUGUGUUUGAAAAUACAACCAACAGUGUUUAGAGAAGAAAUGCAAUCUCGAAGAAAAUAACAUUUUAACAUAGCCACUCAAUUGUUUUUGGAUUUUCAAAUUGUUAUAUUUGGAUUUCCAGAUUUUUUGUUUUUAAAAAAAAAAUAUCUAUCGAAGUUGUUAUUAGGUUGAGUCACAACCAGAUCGCUCUCUUUAAGAUGUUUCGUGACACUGCGCAAAGUGGUACAAGGCAGACUAUCAACCACGCCGCCUUCAGAAUAAAAGAAGUUCAACUACAAUUGUGCGGUUAAAUACUGCAGUGCAGAAAAUCGUUUGAGAUUUACACUUUCAAAUAUGGCACUAAGAUCACUCUUUAAUACUUAAGCAACUUUAAUAUGGUAUUAUUACCACUCUUUUAUGGUGUCAGCACCAUUAUAACUUUAAGUUCUCCAAAAUAUCAAUAUGGCACUACGACCACUCAAAUACAGUGAUACCACCAAUUCGACUUUUUAAUUUUUCUUCAAGUAGAAAAAUAUUGAAAGAAUAUUUAUAUACUGCUAAAAUAAUUCUUAUUUCUGACGGGACAUUAUUGUUCCAAAAGGGUUUAUGAUUUUAAAGUAUUCUUUAUUCCGAAGGGGCGUAUAUUAUCGAAGGGACAGAAAAAGGAGAUGAGGAGAAGAAUAGCUCAUCAACACAAGAUGGAGGAAGAAGAGAGAAAUAGUUCUCAAUAACUCAAUAGAAACUCUUUGGCGUAAUUUUUGAAAUGAGUGGAGUCCUCUAUUUAUAUAGAGAUCAAAAGGGAACUUAUCCAUUAAUAAGUUCGACAACGCUUGUGGAUAAGAUCAAAAAGAAACAAAUCCACAAAAGUGGAUGAAACAAACUCAUUGGAUUUGAAUGAAAGAAAGAUAAGAAUUCAAUUGAAUUCUUAUUUUUAUUCUUAUCACAACCACCAUAAGCUAAAUUUAUGGGAAAUGAUAUUCCGGAAUAAAAAUAAUAAUUAAUAUUGUUUUUAUCAUUAUCAAGUAUUUAAAUUUAAAUACCACAAUUUAAACACUGCUAAUGUGUGUGUUCUAUUUUAUGUGGAAUCUCCGCACUCUAUUUUUUCAAUUCACACAACACUUGGUAUUUAAUCUUCCAAUUUUCCUUCCCACUUCACACCAAUGUUCCAGCAAUCCCCACUUGAAUUUAAAAAGUGGUUUCAAUAAUAACGUCAAAAUGUUUCUAUAAGGUUGUUAAUAAACAAAUGUGUUGCCUACAACUUGAACAUUUGCAUAGCGGAUAAUAUUCUGAUUUAACAAAAGUUGCUUACAACAUUGAACUCUAUCUCAGACAUAGAACCCGCACACAAACCUUUUCCUAUGAUAUAUUCUAAAAGCCUGUGCGUUUUGGCCCUGCACAUCUAUCCUAGUUUUAACGAACACUUUAGGUAUUCUGCCCUGAAUCCUAUGGGAACCGGCCUCAGUUCGAUAUUCGUAUCGGUCAGUCUAUCAAGAGUACUCCUGUAGCUAUGUAAUCCACUUAACAUAAAGUAUAGAUCUCAUUAAAAGUUUCUAUUAUCUCAUCCUUCUGUCACAGUAGGAACCAUGCUUUCUUAUUUUUAUCAUAGCAUGUUUUAUCACUUGUGACUUGUUAUUACCCACAUAACAUAUUUCUUAGGAUCACCAGUCAUGUAGGUCGGGUUUGUAACGCCCCAAUUUUAUUUAAUUAUUAUUGGUCGAUUUAAAAUCUUUUUAUAUAUGAUUUUAUAUUAUUAUGUUGAGUGUUAUAUUUUAUUAAAUGAGUUAUGUUACUAUUUAAUAGAAUAAGUGAGAGUUAGUAUUAAAUUUGAGUUUUGGGGGUUAUGUUAGAAUUUAUUAGAAUUAAGGGGGAAUAAAUAAAAUAAAGAGAAGUUAAGAAAGGAGUUAAGAAAGAAAGAAAGAGUCAGAAUACGUUUUUACGUGUAACCGUCAGUUUUAGGGAGAAAAGGAGAGAAGAGCAAGGAGAGCCAAGUCUGUCAAUUGUUGUGCAUUUCUUUCUGCAAUCCAAGGUAAGGGUGAGACUAACCUUCUUUAAUCAUAAGUAUGUAAUUUAACCUUGUAGUUGUUAAUAGGUUUUGAUGUUUCAGAAUUAGGAUUUGAAACCGGUUAGCGGACUGUUCUUGUUUUUGAAUUGAUGCGUGAAUUUUGAAUUAACUAUUUAUGACUAAUUGGCUUCAUAUAAAUUCUUUCGAUGCAUGAUUAACAAGUGAAAUUUUACUAAUACUGUCUUCGAUUAAUUUUUCAUCAAGAUUGGUUUAUUGUAUAAACUAACUAUGAGAGCUUUUCUAAUAACCAUUGUUUUUAAUUUAGAAUUAAUUGAAUGCAUUGCUAUUAAAAUUAAUACCGCAAACCUGUUUUGAAAAGGAUGAUAAUAGUUUCUUUUCAAAUUUGUAUUGAAAGCAUCAAUAUAUAUUUGCAAGAUUCGACAAUACACGUUCUUAUUUAUAUAUUUGUUUGAUUAUAAUCCAUUAUUUGUGUACAUGAUUUGUCUACAUAGUCAAUUUGUCUUAGUACCUUGUCUUUUAUACUUGAGAUGUACACACAACUUGUUUUGUUUUCUGAAUUUCAAUUGCUAUAAUUGGAGAAUUAAAACUAGAGAAACAUGUCUAGCUACUGGCCGUAGGUCUUAUGAGUUUUAGUUUAUAUGACAUCCUUUUCUUAUAAUAAUUUAAAGAGAGAUAAGUACAUUACUCUUAUAGCUAUAUUCAUUCUAAGAAUUAUAUUGAUUGAGUGAAUCCUUAAUUAGCCACUAGCCUUAAAACCUUUUGGUUCAAGUGUUCCUCUUUGAGUCUUUGUACUUAGGUAGAUCAACGUUAAGUUGAUGUCUCUAAAAAUCUCUAUCAAAACGAUUUAUGAUCUCUAGUUAUAGAAGAUGAAAAAGUGAAUUAUCAUAAUAUAGAUUAAAACUUAUACCCCACCUUACAAGUUAUAAGCUACUCGGGUGUGUGUAUAUAUAUCCUUUUAAGAUUUUAGUACUUUAUCCUUACCUGAAUCAUAGUCAUCAAAAUUGUUCUUUAACCUAUGUUGUGAUGAAUCUAACUUGGGUUGACGUGAAUAUCAUUGUUGGAUGAUUUAAUAUUUAUAUGAAUGUAUAUGUUGAGGAAUAUGAUGUUAUAUGAUGUUGUUUACGAUUGAUGAUUUAUGAUGAGUGUAUACAUUGAUGAAUUAUUGUUGUUGUCUCUGCUGUUGUUGAUUAUUAAUAUCAUUAAGUUGCAAGUGUUGGUCUAAGUUACGAAGUUGUAAGAUGUUGAUCCAAAUUAUUGGAGUCAUAUGAGAUGUGUAAGUUGUCUAAGUUGUAAGUUGUAUUUCCAAAGUAUUGGAGUCUUAAGUUGUUAAUGUUGUCUAAGUUGUUGAAGUCGUAGUUGAAGCUGUUGUUGGUGACUAUUUAUGUUCAGGUGUUUUGUGAGAGGUGGUGUACUCUUACGUUGUUGUUUUAUAAGAGGUGGUGUACUCUCACGUUGUUAUUUUAUAAGAGAUGGUGUACUCUUACGUGUCGUUUUCAUAAGAGGUGGUGUACUCUUACUUGUCGUUUUAUAAGAGGUGGUGUACUCUUACUUGUUGUUUUUAUAAGAGGUGGUGUACUCUUACUUUAUCGUUUUUCUAAGAGGUGGUGUACUCUUACUUUGUUGUUGUCGAUGAGAGGUGGUGUACUCUUACUUUGUUGUUGUCCAUGAGAGGUGGUAUACUCUUACGUUGGUUAUGUUGAUGAGUAUGACGAGGUUAUGAUGAUCAUCUAUAGUGUUGAAUGUGAGGUUGUUAUGAUAUUACAUGAUGUUACCUAUGAGUUGUUAAAUGUACUUGAUGAGGGUCAUGUUAAGUUGAUAAGUCGUCUUCUAUUCACGAGCAUUAAGGGGAUGUUAAGAAGAAUUAAUAUUGAGUGUAUAUGAUGAUGUUUAUGUUGUUAAUUGUAAUUAAUGAAUUAUAUGCUUAUUAUUAUUGAUUGUGAAUCUCACCCCUUCUGUUUGAAUGUUGCCUCGACCGUGGGUAACGUGCAGGUGAUUCCGAGUAGUAGGUGUGGUGGCUCAACUGUCUAGGGCUCUGAUACGUACGGGAUGGGAAUUAGUUAUCUUUAUUUUCAUUCCUUAUGUAUCAAUUUUGGAAUUAUGCUGUGGAGCCUUUUUAUUGUUAUUUGAACAAUGUUGUUGACUUUAUGUUGAGGCCUUUCGUGCCAUAAAAUGUUGUUGGAUGUUUACGAUGUUAAAGAUUUGAAAAACUAUUCCGCUGCUAUGUUUUGAUAUUUUAUGAAGUUGUUUUAAUUAAAUAGUAUUUUAUUCUAUUUAAGAAAUUUUGAAAAGUAGUGUGACAUGCCCGUUCGGGUUUAACUCUGAUUAUUUAUUAUUAUUAUUAAGUUUGAGAUAACGGGGUGUUACAGGGUUACCAUCACUCGUAAUCUUUAGGCAUUAGCCCCAUCCUAUUGGAUGUGUUUAGGACUUUCUUAGUUAUUCAUUUCGUCAAAGGAUCAACUAAUUCUUCAUCAGUACGUACAUGAUCUAUUUUAACCGUUCCUUUUAAGAGUAGCUAUCUCUCUAAUCCUUUAUGUGUUCGUUACUUAAUUAUCGUCUCUUUCCAUUGUAGUAACGAUUCUCAAUUUUUAUAAUAGCUGCAAUACUAUCACAAUGAAUUAACACUUGUAGCAACAGUUUCAUCCACUAAGGGUUCUCAACUAACAAACAUCUUAUCAUCUUGCUUCUUCACUAGUUUUUUCUAGUGUUUUCAUCUCAAAUUAAUUCCAUAGUGGACUGAGUCAAUAUCAUUUGUUUCAAGAAAAAACUUCAGUGAUGCUUAAUGUAUAGUCAUUGGUCUCUUAAGACUCAUCUCAAGGAUGUUCUAUUUUAUAUCUUGUAUCAUUCAAGUACAAUAGGAUACUCCUCAUAAUGUAAUCCUAGAGUCAUAGUCUUCUUAAGGAACCUCAUGAAUCUUUCAAUAGCAUGCAAAUGCUUCUCAUCUGUCUAGUGGUAAACAUUCACAAGAUUUUCACGACAUAUGCAAUGUCGAGUCUAAUUAGUGGCAUACCUAAGGACUGCCAAUGAUGCUCGCAUAUUCUGUUUGUCUAACUCCAUCUCAAGUGUUCUUGAAGAUUUUUACAGUUGGAUCUUAAGAUAUGCUUGCAAGUUUACAAUCAAAUAAUUACAUUUCCUUAAGAUCUUAUCAACUUUGUGAGACUCAUCAAAAAAGUUAUCUUUUCUGAUUUAGUAAUUUUGAAACCAAGAAUUACUUCAACUUUGUCUAGGUCUUUCUUAUCAAUGUUGUUGAUAAACAAUGAUUUCACAUAAUUUACAACAUGGAUCUUUGAACCAAAUGUGAGCAAGUCAUCUACAUAUAGACAUAUGAUCGUGCAAAUGUUAUUUCUAUUUUUGUACCAAAUACAUUUGUUACUUUCAUUCAAUUUAUACUCAUUUGAUAACAUUUGAAUGUCAAGUUUUUCAUGCAUUUCUUAGGAGUUUAUUUUAGACUUAUCUAACUUACUAACCUUGUCUUCUUGUCCAUGAAUAACAAAACCUUCAGGUUGUUCCAUAUAGAUUUAUUAUUCUAGUUCACCAUUUAAAGGGCAUCGUUCACAUCCAUUUAGAGUAUUAUCAAGUUAUAAACAACGACUAAAGGGACUAGUACCCUCAUGAAUAUGAUUAUAGUGACUAGUGAUUAAGUGUCGAAUAAAUUUAUAUUUUUCUCUUUUCCUAAAACCUUUUUCUACAAGGUGAGCGGUGUAUUUAGCAAUCGAACCAUCAGGUUCUAAUUUCUUUAUCCAAAAUCCAAAUACAAUUGAUUGUUUUGCAACCAGGAGGCAAGUCAACUAGGUGGCAUAUUUCGUUAGAUUCUAGCGAAUCCAUUUCAUCGUUUAUUGCUUCUUCUUUUCAAAAAUUAGCAUACAAUGAAGACAAAGCUUCUUGAGGGCCAAAUGGAUCCUCUUCCAAUAUACAAACCAUAUAAUUAGAUUUAUAUUCUUUAGCAAUUAUAGCUUUCUUACCUCUUUGAGGUUCUAUAUCAUCUCAUACGAUAUUUUCAUAACUAUUUAUGUUUACUAGAAUGUGAUCAGAUAUAAUGCCCCCACUACUAGACGAGCAUGAGGAUAGGGUGCCACCUGAUGGGGAUAAACUCAUUCCCGAGAUACCGAUACUAACUUCCAAUCCUAACUUUCUACUCUAAGGUUGUUGGUAAUGCUGUUCAUAAGGAAAUAUCAUUCACACCUUAUAUUUUAAAGAAGAGAAAUGAUAGUUGUACAAUCAUUUUGUGACAAUUUUUUGACAACUUUAUUUCUCAUACUCACAUGAUGUUCUUUUUCUCUCUCUUACUUUUUCUCUCUCCAUUGAUUUUUGUCAUGAAAUGAAUGUACAUAUAUCACUACUCUUUAAAGAAUCAGAGGAAGAAGAUUAAAUCGACAAGCAUAAAUAACAACUGCAACACCCGUUCUAGGGGUGCACCAUUUCAUCAUUUCAUAUGAAUUCGUUUUUCUUAGGUUUUUCAUUAGGUUUGUUUUCCUUCUAUUAUUUUUUUAUUUCUUUAUUUUUUUUUCCUUUUCCUUUUUUUGUUUUUAUUUAUUUUUUUGUUUUACUUUUACUUUUUCUAUGGGUAAGCUUUGACCCCCCACAUGUUCUAGAUGUAGUUAUUUGUCUUUUUUUAAUAUAAUAUUACGUAUAUGCAUGCAUCUGAUACUUGUUUCAUGGGGGUAUCGAUCUAUCUGAGAUGUCUAUCGAUCAAACAUUUUGGUGCAAAUUAAUACUCUUAACUUACUUAAAAAAUCAUCUACAUUUCAAUUUUUGGUUACAAUCUAUAUUUCAAUUUCAUCUCACAUUGAUGUUAUAAUUUUUACAUUAAUUGUUCCUAAAAAUAAAGUAUUAUUCCUAAAAUAAAUAUUUAAUUUUUACAUUAAUUGUUCCUAAAAAUAAUUAAAACACCUGUUUACUUUUUUGACCAUAUUUAAUGCACUUGCUAUUAUUUUAUAAUAUAUAAUUUUUUACUUUCUUGACCAGAAUUAAUGCACUUUGUUAUAAUUUUAAAAUAUAUGCUUUUAAAAAAAGUAUACUAAUACAGUUAAUUUCAUCAAAGUUAUUUUGUUUCGUUACUUUACCUUCUCUCCCAAUUUCUCUAAAUCAUUAUAAAUUGGGAACGCAAAACUAUCUUUAUUUCACUCUCAAAUUAUCCCUCCAAUCUUACUUUAGGGUAUGUUUCGCCAUCCUGUUUUUCCUUGCAUCAAUCAAAUUAAAACGUGUUUGUGUCAAUUUUUUUCAUGUACUAUCCAUUUUUUUUUAUUUAUAUCAUUGCAUUGAUUGAUUGUUAAAUGAACUUCAUAAUGCUCUUAAAUUUUUAGGGUUGAACUAGUGAAAUAUGAGUUCUGAGAAUUUGAGGAGUAACCAACAAGGAAAGACAACUUCGCCGCCUAUGAAGCCUUUACAGGAGAAAGGUCCCUCUGAACAACUUCAUGUUCCCAUUGUUGAUUUUGACGAAAAAGAUGAUGUCGUCAUUGAAAUUUCACCUGUAGCUUUUGCAGAGGUUUCAAUCUUUUUAGUUUUCUUAAAUUUUAUUUUUGCACUUUAAAAUAGUAUUGCAAAAUGUGCAAUUUAUACAUACACAACAAUAUUAAAAGUUAUCAUUUUUUUAUAUCAUUAGUACUUUAUUAUUUAGUGGAUGUUUAAGAUUCAAUUGUUAAAACUCGUAUUCUCUUUUUUUUUUUUUGUUUUUUUUUUUGUACUUCUUCAUCUUAGGCGCUGGCCAAUGCGAGGAGAACUCGCAGGAGGACCCGUAGAAGGACUAAAGUUGAAUUGAAUAUAGGUAACAUCGUACUCCAUUUUUUUUUAGCAAUAAUCAAUUUCUUUUUAUAUAAAUAAAAAUGUAUACAUAUUUGGACCAAACAAAUGUAUGCAUUAAUUGUCUGAAUAUUAUUUUUUUUCAAUAAAAUGAUCCAACCGAGAAGUUGUUUUACAUAUAUUGGCCCAUACGUUGAAUUAACAAAUAACAUACAUUAAAUAUAUACUUUUUUUUUUAAAAAAAAAAAAGCUAAAAUGAAAUUUAUUCAAAACGCAAAGAAUCCUAACAAGCAGAAGGAAAGCUUGGCUAGGAGACUUAAAUAGCAACAUACAAAGGAACAUUGUGCCUUAUAUAUGCGAAACACCCAAACAAACACCCUCCAUUGAGUUCCCCGGAAACCAAUAAAAAUUAAAUACCAAACUAAAAAGUGAUCUCCAAAAACCUAAGUCUAAACGCUUGCGCAAUAGCAGAAAUAAAUCUUGUGCCUAACUGUUGCAAAACCCCUCCAAAGUAACCAUCAAACCUAGCAAAAAAAUCCGUGUAACUGCACUUUGCUUCUCUUCUGCAGUUGAUUACAGUUAACCACGGGUAAAAUCACUACCUAGAAAACACAUAGCAACCCACAAAAAGGACAAUGAACAUGUAACUCAAUUCUUGAAACAAGCUACAUCGUCUAAGUAUUUGAAAACCCUAUUAACAACAAACUCAUAGAAGAAAACCCACAAAAAAACAUAACCACCACUAACUACCACCAAAAACCACCACACAAAACUACCAUUAACCAUCACAAAAACCACCAUUAAUCCUCACCAAAAACCAGCACCAGCCACCAUGAGCAUCACCACCAAAAAUCACCACGAUUACCACCAUUAAAAAACCAGUACAACACCACCAUGGAAACCACCACGAAGCACCACAAACAAACACAACCAAAAUUUCAUCAAAACCAUAACAGAUCAUAUGCAGACACGUUGGAAAAUAAACUUGUGUAGUAUCUUUGUAACUUUUGCAAGCCAAAUGUUUAUUAUAUGAUAUAAAAUACAGUUAUAGAUUUUUAUUUAGGCGUUUCUCAGGGUAGUUUCCUGCCCCCAUAUUUGCCAAAAAAGAAAAAAACAGAAUCCCCAAAGCAAACGAAAACAAUCUAAAUAAAAUAUAUAAUUAAUAAGGUCUCUCGUUGUAAUAUAUAAGAAGCAGCACUUUAAUUCCAAUCAAGAGGCUUCGAAACUUUAGUACUUUAAUUGCAAUAACUAUCCAGUACUUCAGAUCUUUAUCACCCUAGCAAGGCAAUUGUCUAUGGGCUUUGAUGAUGGUAAGCAAGUCAUAGGACAUUCUGGAUUCACUAUCUCAAGCCUGUACAAAAAUUGAGCUUGAUUUCAAACUAAUUCCUUUCUAUGAAAUUAAUUUAACAGCAAAAAUUAAAAUGUAUUUUGGACACUACUAGAAACUAACGUUUCUCCUGUGGAUUUUUCAGCGGAAAUUAUUCCGCAGGAAUUCCUGAGGAUUUUACUGUCAUUUCUUUUACUUGAACAAAAUUUCAUGCGAAUCCUAAAAUCUUAAGGAAACAAUUACCCACGAUGGUAUUACGUACUUGUGAACCUAAAUCCUUGGCAAAAACUGCAGAAAACGGGUUACCCAUUGAAUUUUCACCAAAAUCCGCAUGUAAUUCCGUAGAAAAAUUGAGAGUUUGUAGCAGUGAAAGUUUUUAUAUAUAACCGGUGUCCAGAUUUCAUUUCCGUGUUUAACUUUAGCACUAGUUCUAUUUUCUUAGAGUAGUAAAUAUUGAAAACUAGUUGGCAAGUAGAUAUCUCCUCCAGGAAACUGGUACCAAGUGUAAGAAUAAUAUGAAUAAUCUAUAUAGUAAGAAUUUAAUAAAAAUGAAUUAAAACGAGAGCUCACUUGUAAUUAUUAAGGAAAUAAUGUAGAAAAAUGGAUAUUUCAAUUUUAGCCAAGUCACUCCCAGGACAGUGCCUACUUCCUGCUCCAAAAGGAAGGAAUGUUCCAACUUUAGCAUUGUGAUUCUGCACAUAUGAAAAAAAACACUAAUAUACACAAGUACUUUUGUUUGUAUCUUCCAAAAAUAGGGUUUUAGAUUAUACAAUACAAUACAACUCACAUUCCAUCUCGAUGGAUUAAAUUUCUCCGGGUUGGGAUAAUUUGUAGGAUCCAUAUAUGAAUAGCUCUUGACCAAGUUAACACUUUCCAUCCUUUUGGUAUUAUAUAGCCUGAAAAUAUGUAGAUUACCUCUUUUAUUCCUUUUGUUUCAAAUAACUUUCGAUUUCGCAUAUAAAAACUAGGGUUAAAUAUUGUUUUAGUCUCAAUAACUAUAUCAUAUUUCUUUUAUAAAUAAACCAUUGAUGUUAACGUCUAUAGUUGCCUCCCGAAAAAUUGCGAAGUUGAUGCUGACAAGGCGUAACACUUCGUUGAUUAUCUGUAAAAAAAUUGAGAUGAAUUAACGCCUUUUUUUUUUUUUUAUAAUUAACACCUUUUUUUUUAUAGAACCUUAAUUAGUUAAGAUGAAUCUUUAAAAAAAAUUGAGGAAGGAUAAAUUAUAUUAUUAAUUAAGGCAAUACUAAUGACUAUUUCAGAAAUGUUUCAGAGAAAAUUUGAACUUCAUCAAUUAAGCUUACAAUGAUGAACUCUAUGGAAUUUGUUUUGGUGAAUUGAACUCUAUGGAUUAGUUGAGAUUAGUUUUUUUUUUUUUUUUUAAUUUAUAAUUUACAUCACAAAUUUGUAUGUGCGUACAUAUACUUAUCUACCAAAAAAAGGUGUUCCCUAUAUAUUGAUAUACAUAGAUGAUUUUUUAUACAUUUUUAUUUUAACUAGUAUUUACUAAUUAGUUUCGAUUAAAAUAGUAUUAUUAUUAAAAUUAACUACAAACUCAAUUUUUUUUAGAGUAAAGUCAAAAUAAUAUAUAUUGGUGUAUACAUACCUGAGAAAGAUAAACCAUUUUCUUUAUCUCCUUAAGACUUAAUUGUUUCUGUGUGGGCAGUCUCAUCUUCAUAAUUUCCUCCUGCUCAUCCUAAAACAUAUACAUUCUCUAAUUAUGAAUAUGACAAUAGUUUUCUAAACAAAUGAUAUAAAAAGAGAAUUUAACUUAUGAUAAUGAAUAUCCUAAUUUCGUUUUUCAUCCCCAUAUAAAAUAUAUCGUUUAGGCCUACAAAAUUAUCUUGCAGACAAGUUUAGUUUCUGUAGUAAAGUUAACAUAUAUUGUAGUCAGUUACUAAUUAAAAAGUCCAAAUUGUUUAUAAACACAAGAAACAAAUCAUGAUAUUAUUUCAUGUUUGAUUUUGCAAUGACAAAAAAUUGAGUUUGAGUGAAUUGAUUUUGUAAAAUUGAUUCUAACUAAAAGCGAGUUGAAGAUAAAAUGAUUUUUAUUUGAAUACAUUAAUGUAAAAGUUAGUUGAACUAUAAAUUUGUGUAAAAAAUCAAUUUUAAAAUCAAUGGCUGCAAAUCUUUGCUUUAAGUAGAUUCAAUUCUGAAACCAGAAAUAAUUCUACAUCUCCGAAAUCAAUUUUGGUCUAUUUAUAGAAGUGGAGCAAAUGAAUAUGUAUACUCCCUCCGUUUAUUUUUAAGUUUCUUUUUAAAAAAUUAACACCAAAUUAGCAAUGCGUAUUUUUGCAGAUUUUUUUCCUAUUAUACCCUCAUUUUAAUCCACCAAUAAAUUCAUAUAUAUAUAUAUAUAUAUAUAUAUAUAUAUAUAUAUAUAUGAAAAUUACACAAGAAUUGAAGUGGAACUACAUAUACACUAAAAAUAUAUUUCUUCAACAAAAAACAAAAUUAAUCACCUUUGCUUUUUUCAUGAUAUGUGGAUUUUGUGUAAGAUAUAUCAUUGACCACAUCAUAGUAUUGGCUGUGGCUUCAUGACCAGCAAGUACAAUGCCUAUCAACAUAUCAAUAAUAUCAUCAUCAUCAGGUUUCCAACCAUCUUCAUCCCUUGCUUCUAAAAAAAUAUCAAGUAGAUCUUUAUCCUUUGUCUUUUCACCAUUUUUUAUCAUCGACCUCCUUUCUUCUACAAUUGGUUUAACUAAUUUGGCAAGCUUCUCCCGUGCCUAUUAUACCAUGUGCAUGUAAAUUAUAAUCAGCAACAAAAUAAGAAUUUUCCCUUAAAAAAAUAAUUAGAGUUUUAAUAUAGACCUCAAUAAAGAAUCAUGGGUUGAAAGUUGCAAAUUUUAGUAAAAUAAUGGAUUUUAUAAAUAGAAAAAUGGUCUUACUAACAAGUACUCUAAAGGCAUUGUUUAAAGAACCCAUAAAAAGAAAUCUUGUCUUGAAAAUACAAGUCAAAAACAUGUAAAAGUCAUAACUAUACAAUUUUCAAUAUAAUGCUUAAACAAUGCCCUAGGGGCUAUUUAUGUCAAUAAUAUCGUUAUUAUAUGAAGGUAAAACUGAAAAUAUAGGAAAUAGUUACCAUGAGUCCUUUACGAAAAGCAAAACCAGGAAGGUUAAUGGGCAUAGAGAACAAAGCAGCAUGCAUAUCAGUAAAAGAAUUCCCUAUUUUCGUAAUGAUAUGUUGAUUGUAAGAGCCCAAGAAAAUAUCAAUGAUGAUAUUAAAGGAAAUAUUUUUCAUUUCCUUCAAAAAUUCAAUUGAGUGACUCAUGCUAGAAAGUUCCUCCAAAGAAUUGAUCACAAUGUCUUCAAUACGUGGUAUGUACAUUUCUAAUGUAUUAUGGCCCAUGGUAAGAGAAGAGAUUAAGCGUCUAAAACGCAUGUGUUCUUUUCGAGAGAAACUCCAAACUGGUUUACAUCUCAUCACUUCUUUGGUAGAUUUUGGAUAACCAAUCUUAAAGGUCUCAUCAUUUGUCAACACUUGCCUACACAUGUCAGCCUCACAAACGAUGAUGCUUGGACUCCCGAAUAAAUGUGUCUUGUAGAUACCUAUUCGUCCAUACCUAAAACAAAAGCUAGCGAGUGAGUAUAGAAACUAUAAACAUAUGCUUGUGUUUGUGCGCGCGCAUGUGUUUGUGUGUAAUGAAGAAUUGCAAUCGGAGAAAAAUAAAAGAGACUUGGAAACAAGGUUGUUGAUGAAUGAAUCAGGAUGGCCUGAUGAGAAAUCUUUAACAAAGGUCAACAUAUUUCCAAUAAGUGGCCAUCCCAAAUGACCAGGAGGCAGAGGGUACUGUUUCUUUCUUAGUUUCACACAAAAAUAGCUUGCAAAUAAAAUGGCACACAUCCAAACCCAGUAUUGUAUUUCCAUCUUUGAAUAAUUGAAUAUAUCUAUCUAUCUAGUUCAUUUGCUUAUUAUAUCUAGUCUUGGAAGUGGGACGUUGAAGAGGGACUUCAAUAAAUAUAUCUAGUUGCAUUUAUCUUCCCCUAGAUUUUGUGUCAGAGUUGGUGAGGAUGGGAUGGUUCAACAUUGAUUAGCAUUGCCUUUGUUGAUAGCUAUAGUUGGGUACGAUCGAUAAAAGGAAUUAAUGGAACUUAUGGAUUCGAUAAAACUUUAUGACCGUACUCUUGCCCUAGCACAUAGGUGCCAGGUGGUGCAUGGUGAUUUAUAAAAGAGUACCAUUUGCUUUGUCACAAUCUCAUAUCAUUUUAAUUUGGACGCAUGUAUUUUUAGUUAAAUAGUUUAACGUUUAGAAAAUUAUCUUAAGUGAAUAAUUAAGUUGUUUGAGAUUCGACUUUCGACUCUUACAUACAUUUAUGUAUUAUCUUUAUCAACUAAGUUAAAUUUACAGAGAACAUUUUGACGCAUGUAUAAGUGAAAAUAAAUUAUAAAAAAUUAAUUAAAUAAUAUAUUUAAUAUGUAUGUUUAUACGAGUAUCCAAAUAAUUUAUAUCUAUGAUUACGUUCAUGUCGUGUCGCUCUUGAUAAAAGAGAUUAAUGACACUGUGAUCAUGUAGGGAUACAACUUUAUCAUUGUACUCUUCUAUCCAUCUAGGGUUUGUAAUUCGGUGUCUUCACUCCUGCAUAGGACAAAUAUGCAUUAUUUCCACCAAAAGAAAUAUAUGCAUUUGACAGUACAAACAAUAGUUGAAUAUCUCAAAAAUGAUAAAAUGAAAAUUCUUAUAUGAAAGGCAUUUAUAAUCACCUAUAAAGAAAUAAUGAUUGGAUUAUGUUUAAAAAAUUACAAAAAUACGUGAACAAUGAAGCAUGUCAAAGUUGAAUAUCGUUGUUAGAGGCGGAGCUAGGUGGACACAAGGGAGGGGCAUGGCCUUCCAAAGUCUCAAAAAGUACCACAAACUAGUACGCAAGUCUAAAAAAUAUGCACUUGUCUUGAUUCGUCCGAUUCAUCAAUUUCCAUGAAGUUAAAGGGGAAUAUUUAUGCCAACUAAUUCACAAAAGUACCACAAACCAGUACGCAAAUACCAAUUUGCGGUUCACAACAAUGUUAAGAAAAUUAUGUGAUUAUGAUCUAAAUGUGCUUGUAUGUGUGCAUGUAAAUGUGUGUGUGUGAAGAAGAAUUUCAAGGGGAGAAAAAUAAAGAGACCUGGAAACAAGGUUUUUGAUGAAUGAAUCAGGAUGGCCUGAUGAGAAAUCUUUAACAAAGGUCAACAUAUUGCCAAUAAAUGGCCAUCCCAUAUGACCAGAUGGCAAAAGGUAUUGAUUCUUUCUUAGUUUCAAAUUAUAGUUACCACUCAUUCAACCUCCACACAAAAAUAUUAACACAAAAAUAGCUUGCCAACAAAAUGGCACACAUCCGAACCCAAAAUUGUAUAUCCAUCUUUGAAUAUAUCUAGUUCAUGAUUUGCUCAAUUUUAUAUAUAGCCUUUGAAUUUAUUUUUUUUAAAUGCGGCUUAUAAUUAGUUAGUUAGAAAAUUUUGUCAAAUAAAAAAUUAGUUAGUAAAUCCAAGUCUGGUAGUUAGCUUGGCUAUGUUAUUUUACUUCUUUUGGACUUUGGUAGCCUAACAAGUUAUAAGUUACUUACUUUAAAUAGGAAGUUAGAUGUAGUUAGCAUCAGUUACUUUAAAUAGCAUCAGUCCCUUGGCACACCCCAUUGAUGAUGAUUCAGACCAACUCAUCUCCCUGCUUGCCCAUUGCUACACCAACAAACUUAAAACGCAAUUGUUCUUGUUAAAGCAGAAUUUUCACGGCACGGCAAAUCGUUGUUCAUGCACCACCAUGUGAUUUAUGAGGCACCGAUGUUGUCUCUAGCAAACUUCUCAGUUUAAUAAAUAGUUACAUUGUACUUGCAUUGAGUACAAUAUCUGAAACUAGGGUUUAGUCUAUUUAGGUCAUACCUUGAGAAUGAUCUCAAGAGGUGUAUUUAUAACUCUUCGGAGGCUUGUUUUCGCAUGAAUUCUGCUCAUUAUCCAAAUGGUUUCGUUCAUUCCCAAAGUAAAAGUCCAAAAUGCUCCUAUGCAUGUUAACUUACGUAUUGUGAGUUAACAUGCGCUAUAGUUAUAAGAGAAACGUAACUUAAGUCACGCUACGUGCAGUAAUUAGCCCAGAACCUCAUUCUGCAUCAUUUUCAAACAACACACACAUAAAUCUCAAUUUUCUCUCAAAUUACCCAACUCUAAAAUUCCUUCAACUUCAAAUUAAACAAGACUCCAACAACAAGAAUAAGUAAGCUUUCACUUAAAUUAUGUUGGUAUGAUAGAUUUUUUCACUUAAUCUAGAAUUUUUUAGGUUUAUUGUUUUGUUAAAAUUUUAAUUUUUUUUGCAAGAAAUGAUAGAAUGUUACAUGCAAAUGACUUAUAGUACUUAAUUGUUAAGAUGUUUACCGGUGUUUUUGGUAAACAACAUGACUAGUUUUGAUUAUUACAAGAUUCAAACCAGAAAUCUAGGACAAGUUGUGCAAUCUUUUUUCAUAAAAUACAUGAAUAUUCAUUCAUCAUAUUCAUAGGUUGCUUUAUAAACAAGAUAAAUAAAACUGUUUUUUGUAUGAAGGUAAUGUCUUUCGAUAGAAAGCACUAAAGAGUAAAGAAAAUGCAAGUAAAAAUACUUAAAAGUUUAACGCAAAAACUUAAAGAAAUGUAAAUUGCAUUGCAUUUGAAUGUAAAGGUGGUUCGAUAAAUCAAGUUACAUACAUUUUGUGACUCUUUUCUCUAGACGCUGGUACUUCGAAUGCUAGAAUUCUAUAAAUAAUUUGUGACCCGUUUUUCCUAUAAAAAACUAUUAUUUAUACAUAGAAGAAAGGCUAAAAUAUGGUUUUAGUCCCUGCAAAUAUGCCUCGUUUUGGUUUUAGUCCUUGUAAAAAAAAAAUUGUUUUUGGUCCUUGCAAAAUUUUUUGUUUUUGAAAGUAGUCUCUGACCCCAUUUUUGUGAUGAUUUGCAUACGUGGCACAUGAUGACUGAACCCAUUUUGUAGUUUUUGAUCCUUGCAAAAUAUUUUGUUUUUUAAAAAGGUCCCUGCAAAAUUUUUUGUUUUUGAAAAUAGUCCCUGGGACUAUUUUAAAAAACAAAAAAUUUUGCACGGACCAAAAACAAAAAAAAAUAAAUUUACAGGGACUAAAAGCAAAACGAGACAUAUUUGCAGGGACUAAAACCAUAUUUUAGCCUAGAAGAAAUGACUGCAAAAAUUGAACCGCUAAGAAUUGCACUUCCUCGACCAUAAAUUGUCUGUCUCCCUCGUCCUUGACGUUUGAAAGCAACCUUUUCACUAAAUUAACUGCAUGUCAAAUUGUCGUUUCUGUCGAACGAUCUCAAUAUCAAUUGAACCCAGCAACCUCCAAUCAUGGAUUUAGAGAAUUUUGCAGUUUUGAACCUUCUUUUACCCUGUCGAAUGUACAUAAGAUAAAAUACAGUCCAACAGGUUCAAACUGUCUCUGACAUUAAUGUUAAUUCACAUUCUAAUAUGGAGCAUAACCGUGAAAAGGAUCCUCUUGUUGAUGAAAAUGAGGAGACCAUGUGUAACAACAAUCACAUCAAAGAGAUCCCUGUGAACAAUGAGGUUGGUAUUUCAAUUUCCCGUAAUAAUUUACUUGAUCGGAGUUAUGCACGUGUUGUUACCGUUGAAAUGGAAGUGAUUUUUAUAAGUACGGAGGUGGAAACAAUAUUGAUGCUAAUAAGAGGACAUAAUGUUAUUGAUAAGGCAUCGGGUAUUCAACUACUAGACGAGCAUGAGGAUAGGGUGCCACCUGAUGGGAUAAGAGAAAUGAUAUUUGAACAUCUAUUUGAAGACAAUUUUUAUGACAAUUUUAUCUCUUAUAUUUAGAUUAAUUUUUAUUUUAUCUCUCUAUUAUUUUGAUUUCCGUGCAACUAUCUACUAUUUCUUUAUAAAUUAUCGUUGUCCGAUAAAUUGUCAACCAAAUUGAUGGUUCAAAUAACACUCAUCUGAGACUAAACUAAUUCCCGAGACACCGAUAGAUAUUCCAAUCAGAGAAAGAAGAUUAAAUCAAGAAGCAUAAUUAACAACUGCAACACCCGCUCUAGGGGUGCACCAUUUCAUCAUUCCAUACGAUUAUGAAUUCUAAAAUACUUAUGCAUAUCAUUAACUAAGAUGUGUUUAUUUAUUUAUUUAUUUGUGGCUGGCCAUUAUCUAGAGCAUGUAAAGAACGUAGUUUGAUUUUAGAGGCUUGUUGAUAUUCUUAUUUUUAACUUAAAUAUAUUUGUUCUAGAGUGCAAAACUUGAUAAGGAAACCUCCGAGACUCGAGAAAAAUCUUUAAACUGCCAAAUAUGUAUGGGUCCUUUUGUAGAGGAAAUGUCAACAACGUGUGCCCAUGUUUUUUUGCAAGAAGUGCAUCAAAGUUGAAAUAACUUCUUCAAAGGGUAAGGUUGUGUUUGGUAACACAAAAAAGCUAGUUUAUAGCUUGUUGGAUUAGCUUAUAAGCUCGUUAGAUGAAAACGUGGCGUGUUCGGUAACAAGUUUUUUUCAUGAGCUUAUAGCGUUUUUUGAAAAGCUAUUUCAAGUAGCUUUUUAGCUUAUAGCUGGUAGCUUUUUAUAUUUUCUUCCAACUUUAACCCUAUUAACUUGAAUUAAUUAUUUUCUUAAUUAAACAAAUACUCAUGUUCAUCUUUAUAACCGCCCCAUUUUUUCCCUUAAAAAAAAUGCCACGUUGUUUUUUUUUAAGGAGCACUUUAUAUAUAUAUAUAUAUAUAAGGAAAUGUUUUAUAUUUUGCUAUAACUAACCUGCCAUACACCACACAAAAAAUAACUAGGCUAUUUUUUUUAAAGAAAAAAUAACUAGUCUAUUGUACGUUGUAAAAUUUUAUAUAUUCUAGCUCACAUUUUGUUUCCAUCUUUCUCUUAUUUUUGGGAUUCAUAAAGCAGAGAUCAAAAUUGUCGGUGAAUUUUUUUUUAGGAUUAAAGGUCGAAGAAUUUUUUUACGGAGACUAAGACCAAAAGUUUGAAUAUUUAUAGGGACCAAAAACAUAUUUAACUAUAAUUAAAAAUAUUAAAAAAUAAAUACAUUACAAAAAAAUGUGUGUGUCUAUAUGUAUAUUAAAAAAAAAAAACAUGUUAUUUUAUGUCAUUUUAUACUUAUCAGCCACUUCAACAUCUAAUUUUACCAAACACAUUAUUUUUAAUAAGCAAGCUUUUCAGCUAUAAGCUAUCAGUCAUCAGCUAUCAGCUAUCAACUAGCUUAUAGCUUAUUUUUACCAAAUAGAGCCUAAAUGUCCAACAUGUGGGGAAAAGGUUAAACCGAAACAACUAGUAAGGGUGUUUCUUCCAUCUUUCAACCGAAGGUAAUUCCAUAAUUUAUAAGUUGGUUUUAAAUAGUAUUAUGAUUUUCCCUAAAAAAAAAUAUUAUGAUUUAAAUAAAUUUAUAUUACAACUAAAUUGAUAUUACAUAUUCAAAAAAUUAAUAAAUUGAUUCUCUAAACUUAAUACGAACAUACUUUCAUUCAUAUUAAAAAGUAUUAGAAUGUGUAUCAAUUUUCAAUAGAUUCCUAAAGUUAUUUGAUGUCAUUUAACUCCUUAUUUUCAAUAAGUAGUGUUAGAAAAAGUUGUAACUACUAUAACCUUAUGUUGUUUCUCUUUUUCUAUACAAUAGGAUCAUCCAAGCAUUGUUGAGGAAAAGUAGGACUGAAUAAUACUUCAUUGUGCUACCUUCAAUAUUAAUAUCGUUGAUGGGUUCUUGUAUUUUUAAAUGUUCAUUGUAGUGCAUGUGUAUUGUCAUAUGUAUCAUUUUUCAUACCUUGUUUUUUUAUGCCAUUACUUAGAUAUGUUUGUUGGUACUUUGGAUGCACAAUACUUACUUUUUUAAUAAUGCAAUUGGUGUUUGGUCUAUCUUCACAAUAUCAUUCACAAUAAUGCCGUUGGUAUUGGCUAUUUAAAGAGAGAAUCACAAUAUCAUUCACACGAAGAUAUAUAUCUUCAUGUGAAUGAUAUCUAUCUUCACAUAUAUACGAAUGAUGUAAAUACGAUUUCGGUAAGGGUUUUGGAAAUUUAUAGCUCUCAAACUAUAUAUUUCAAAUUAUCUCUUCAUAUAUCAAAUCUCAAGCCACUCAAUCUUUGGCAGUUAAGAACCUUACUAAUUCGAGUAAGUUGAUCAUUCCAAUAUCUUUUAGUUGAUUUAGAGUUAUUAGUUAGUACAUGAUUCUAAUAUUAUUCAUUUGGUUGGUUGAUUUAUUGGAUCAUAUUGCUACAACCUAGAUUUUGUGUCGAAAAAAUCAACACGUUUGUAAAACUCAAGCCUACCGAAUUCAUAUAUUUAGUUCUGGAACCAUUCCGUUGACUUAGACUCGCAAUUUAACUUAUUCCGCAAAAUACGCGCCAAAACCCGUAAGCAUUUUUCCAGCAGAAAACCCAACUUCAAAAGCACUUUCCGAGUUCGUUUCUAGUCCGAAUCACACAAAACUUAUAUUCGAAUUGAAGGGAAUUAAGCGUAGAAUCCAAAUAUCCAAUAAUCACUUAAUUACUUGGUCAUAUUGUUGAAAUUUGAGUUUCUUGACACUAACCAGUAGAGGAUCAUCAUAUUCAGAAAUGGCUUGAAACUUUAGCACAUAUAAUUUACGUUGAUAAUCUAUUGAUCGAAGAAGCUCAUUGUAAAAUCAUCAACUAGAAUUGUGUUUUCGAACGUCGUGAAUGAUCUCUAUCAUCAUGUGCACGAAGAUAUCUAUUAUAUCUUAUGAGGUCUUAUAUAUCAAGCUUUAUAACAUCAAGUCUUGUCUCUUAUACAAGAUAAACCAAGUCUUAUAUAUUUUAGGAUCUCUCUCCUUCUCUCAUAAUAAGAAGCAACAAGUGAUUAAUUACCAACCAAGAAGGUAUAUGAAACUUCAAUUUCCUCUUGUGAACAACAAUUAUGCACUUGAAACCUUUAUCACCUUAGCAAGGCAAUUGUCUUUGGGCUUUGGUGAUGGUAAGCUAGUAAUAGGACAAUCUGGAUUUACUCGAUCAAGCCUACACGAAAUAGAUAAAUUAGUAAUACAACUUACAUUCCAUCUUGAUGGGUUAAAUUCAUCCGAGUUUGGAUAAUAUGUAGGAUCCAUGUGAAUAUAUAGCUCUUAACCAAGGUAACACUUUCCAUCCUUUCGGUAUUAUAUAACCUAAAAAUAUGGAGGAGAUGAAAGUUUUAUUUUUCUUUAAUGUCCAACAAUGACAAUAAUAAAUAGAAAUAUAAAUGUUGACAUUGAAUAGCCACAAACCAUUGAUGGUAACAUCUCUUUUUGCCUCCCGAAAACUUGCGAAGUUCAUACUCACAAGGCGUAACAUUUCUUUGAUUAUCUGUAUAUAAAUAAAUACAUUGCAUUUCUUUGAUGUUUUUAUUUUUAGAAAAUAUACUGAAGCUUUAAUGUAAGCAUAUAUUAACAUUUUUUUUUAAUGAAAGCAUAUACUUCAAAGUGAGGACACUUCAAGAUCUCAAGCCAACAUCACCAUUGUAUUAUAUUACCAGAAGUCCUUUAUGGAAAGCAAAACCAGGAAGGUUAAUGGGCAUAGAGAAUAGAGCACCGUAAAUUUCAGUAAAAGAAUCCCCUAUUUUUGUAAUGAUGUGUUGAUUGUAAGAGCCUAUGAGAAUAUCUACGAUGACCUGAAAGGAAAUAUUCUUCAUCUCUUUCAAAAACUCCACUUGGUGAUUCAUACUAGAAAUUUCCUCCAAAGAAUUUAUCACAAUGUCCUCCAUACAAGUUAGGUACAUUUCUAAAGUAUUGUGGCCCAUGGUAAGAACUGAGAUUAAGCGUUUCACACGCUUGUGUUCUUCUUGAGAUGAUCUCCAAAAGAAUUUACAUCUAGUCACUUCCAUAGUGGAUUUUGGAUAACCAAUCUUAAAAGUCUCAUCAUUUGUUAGGAUUUGCCUACACAUAUCAGAAUCACAGAUGAUGAUGCUUGGACUCCCAAACAAGUGCGACUUGUAGAUACCAGUUCUUCCAUACCUAAAACAUAUAAGCUAGUAAGUACAUUGGGAGUGUUUAAAUCCAACCUAAUCUAAAUAAAAACUGUAAACCGAUCCAAAAAAAAAAAAUGAACACCACGUACAAUCAAAUAUUAUUAAAUGUGUUUGAAUGUCACUUUGUGAAAAUCGUUUGGAUUGGAUGGGAUUUUGAAUUGAUUUUUCAAAAUCUAAUCAAACAGAACCGCAUACAUAUAUUUAAAUAGAUAUUUUCAUUUUUUAUAAGCAUGAUAUAUUAUAUUAAGAUAUUAAUAUUUUGCUUUUAAAUUCUUUUAAUAAAUCAUAUUAAAAGAUAAUCAAUCAUUGUUAUUCCUUACUAUUAAUUUUUAAUAAAUCAUAUGUUAUAUUUUGUAUUAAACUUAAUAUUUUACCAUAUUUUAAUAUUAUUAUUAAUAAAAAAAGUUACAAUUUGUAAUUUAUAUAUCAAAAAAUCGAUUUAAAUUAAUCCGCAUUAAUUGAAUCAAAUCGGAUCAUUUUUUUAAUUUUAAAAAUUAGUCAUAAAAUCUAACCGAACCAUGUAUAAUUUUAUCUUUAUAUUAGAUGAAUUUUUGCCUCAAAAUUGAUUCCAACUGCUCCACAAACACCUCCACAAGUAAUUAGAAAAUCUAAAUGUGCAUGUAAAUGUGUGUGUAUGAAGAAGAAGAAUUUCAAGGGGAGAAAAAGAAAGAGACCUGGAAAUAAGGUUGUUGAUGAAUGAAUCUAGUCUUGGAAGUGGGACGUUGAAGAGGGACUUCAAUAAAUAUAUCUAGUUGCAUGAGAAAGUUUUGGUAGGGCACAAAUUUAACACUUCAAUAUUGGGCACACACACAAAAGCAAGAAAAAGUUAAUAGAAAAUAAAAUUAUAAUAUAUCAAUUGAUUUGACUAAAUACUUUUUAUUUAAUUUUGUUAGUUUUAUGUGAGUAUGUGCCCAAAAUUGAGGUGUUGGGUAUCUGCCCAAGCAAGACUUUCUCCUAGAAACAUCAAUGAAAUUAACUAUAAAUAAUUAUGGAAAUAUCUCCUUAUUAAAGAAUUAAAUUUAAUUAAGAAAAAAUUUAGGUGUAUUUUCUUAUUUAAUUUUCAUCGGCAGUUAACUGCCGAAGUUUUUCUCGGUAGUUAACUACAUCGGUUCUAUUUUUCUCGGCAGUUAACUAUCGAAGGGUAUUUUUGUCUUUUAUAUGUGUUUUUCAGCCUUAUAACAUAUGUAUACGGCAAUUUUCCCGAAAUUAAGAGUAUUGUUGUUCAAACCAUUUGAGUUUAACAUGAUGUACCACACGAGCUAAGAUAAAGACAUAGAUGAAUCUAUUUGAAAUCAUUGCCAGAGCGUAUAUAUGGCAAACAUCAACGUUUGUAUUUCUCUAUAUUUUGCGGAGCAAAGUAAUUGUUGAGCAAUAUUGAAUGUAAUUAAUGAACUAAAUGGUAUAUGAUUAAGUGACCUUAAUUAAAAGAGAUUUAGAAAGGGUUUAAAGAGGUUAUGUGAUUUUUGUUACCCUAAUUGGUUAAUAUGUAUGCUUAUUUCUUAGUAAAUGAAAUUCUGUGCUUGUUGUGAAUUGCCUGAAAACCUUAAUAAGUAAGGCAAGGCAUGUUUGUGACAUGUGAUUUGUGGUUUUUGUUUGUGCUUAGUCUUGAAUAGGCACUAUUGUUAAGCUUUUAACUCUAUGUUUACAAGAGCCUCUAUCGAGGGAAGAAAGACAAUUAUAUAGGAUUGAUGAUCCUUUUAAGAGAAUUGGACUUCUAUUCAUUCUCGUUUGUUCAUUAAAGAGAGACACAAGUUGAUUCUAACAGGAGAGUUCCACGGUUAUGUUAUGUGUUGUUAUAAUAUAGGUAGGGUGUGACAAGCUUAAUGACAGGGAACACAAUGUGAUACUAAGGGGAAACUCAUAAGUGUGUUUGGUUUGGCUUCUUUCCACUAAGAAGCACUUCUACAACGCUUCAAAAGUGAAAAUUGAGUUUUCAAUCAUGUUUGGUUUGCCUUUUAAGAAUUGCUUCUAUCCUCCAAAAGCAAUUCUGGAUGAAGGUAUAAUUCCUAACUUUUGAGUUAACUAGAAUCAAUUCUCCAUUAAAUUUUAUAUUUUAGUUAUUACAACCCAUUAUUUUCCUUUAUUGUCCUUUAUCAAUUUUUAUUUUUUUUUUGUAUUUAAUUUGAGGAACCAAAUUUAAUCAAAAAAUUUAACGAACCAAAUUAACCCCAUAAAAUAUUUAUGAAUCUGAGUUACCAAGUUUUGGGUUUUUUUUUUACUGUAUUUCCGUUCAGAUUUGUUGUAUGUAUUUUUUUUUAUGCUACGUUUUAUCAUUUUUGCCAACCAUCUCUAUUAUUAUUUUCUUUAAAAAAAAACCCUAUUACUUUUUAAAUUAAUAUAUAGAAAAAAUUAUUUAUUUACAUUAAAUAAUAUAUAUCUACAUUUAAUAUUGAUCUGCACAUACAUUCAACUAUUUUGUUUGUUUAUUUUUAUUUAGAUAUGUCCAUUUUAGUAAUUAUACAUUUAAAAGCAAUUUUGAUCAAAACUAUCCAAACGACAUUCAUUUUGUUUAAUCAAUUCUAUGUUAUUGUAUCCAAACAUAAAUCAAUUCUUUCAAAAUCAAUUCUGACAGAAUCAAUUCUAUUAGAAUCAAUUCUGUCAUAAUCAAUUUUAUCCAAAGCUGAACCAAACACACCCUAAGUCUCAUUAAAGAUAAAACUUGGUUGUCACGGGUCACUAAGCAACUUUUUUGUACUAUCUCCGGUCACAUUAGAAGUAAAUAUUGGUUUUUAAAUUCAUUAAAUGACUAAUGUAUCAUACAUCAAUUAUUAAAUAAAUCGAGUAAAUGGCCUCUGACUCUAUAUCUCGUUGUCACAAAGGUCACUAACUCAAGAUUAAAUACAAAUUAGUCCUUGUAUAUGCAUUUCCGUUAUUAGUUUAGGCUUUGACGUUAAAAACUUAUGUUAACUGAUGAGGUGGUGUGCAUGAGGUGUCACAUGGAUUAAAGUGAAAGUAGAAAAUGGUCAUUUUGAUCCUAGAACCAAAAAUCAAUAUCCUAAAAUUGAAUCUCAAAUUCUUAAAUUUUGAAUUUAAUCAUAAAUCCCUAAAUCUCAUCUAAUUAUCUCUUCUGUUCAAAAUCAAUUUCUUUUGUUUUUGUUGUUGUCAAUUCUUUGGAUUGUACUGAAUUCUAAUGUUUAUAAGAAAUCACCACAUUUUACUCCUCAAUUCCAAAAAAUUAUAAUUUUUUUUCCUUAUUCUACGGUGUAAGUGCAGUGAAGUUGAUUAAUAUAUUUCUACAUGCAUGUUUGAUAGAUGUGUUUUAGUAAAAAGUAAGUAAUGAUUGAAGCUAUUUUCAAUCAUGUUUAGUUAAGACAAAAUUUGAAGACAUUUUACAUGAGACAUGUUAUUAAUUAUAAUAGUCUACACCAUAUAAACUAAACUCCUUUGAUUGGCAAAAGGUUUAGAGUUUACUACGUUCCUUUCUUACCACAAAUCUUUCGUGAUUAACAACAACAAAAAAUAAAUUGAUUUUGAACAAAGAUGAAAUUAGAUAAGAUUUAGGGAUUUGAGAUUUAGGCCCGUUUGUUAUAGUUUUUUUUUUAUUUAAAAUAGAUUUUUUUAGUGUAAUAUGUUUUUGUUAUAAUUUUUUUAAUAAAGAAAUUUUUAAGGAAAGCUUCAAAUAAAAAAUUUAUUUGAAUAACUUAUUUUAAAAUGUCAUUCUAAUUAUUUCCUGAAUCUAUUACCUUGCUAGUCAUAAUAACCAUUUACUCUAAAUAAAUUUACAAAAACAAUAUUUAAAUAAAUAUGACUAGCGGGAAUACUUUUUACUUUUCAUACCACCACCCUAAAUAGAAUAUACAUGUAAGUCAAGCAAGCAAGUCAUGAUCUAAGAGUACAGUGCUACCAUGAGUCAGAAUUGUUUUUUGUGUGUAUUUAAAGAGGACUGCCAUGCAUCGUGAUUCUUUAUGAACCAAACCCAAAUUACCAAGUGAAAUUGGGAGUAUGCAUGAAUGUGUAACAUGUUAAGUGGAAUGUCUUCUUAAUUGCCUUGGAUCCAUUAUUUGUCAAUAAAUGUGGUCUGAUUUAAGAAAUUAUUUGUCUAGCAGUCCCUAAAAUACAGAUUAAUUCAUCCGUCUUAAAUUAUAUUUCGUUUUGAAAAGAAAAAAAAUUGUUUUGAAUUAUAAAUUGUUUUACAAUAUCAAUGUAUUAAUGUUAUUUUUUCUAUUAUACAAUUAAUUAUUUAUUACUAUCUAACUUUUUAAUUUUUAAUUUAUCUUUUCCAUAACAUUUAUUAACAACAAUUUUAUAAAACAUCUCAUAAUUACAUUUCUUUACAUGUGUAAAAUGCACAAAACAUCAUAUAAUUUGAGACGGAAACGCAGAGAUUUCCAUAAAACCGCAAUAAAAUUUUCACGACACUAAGGCUGAAUCCCAAAUCUUUUUCACCUACCAAGUUGACAUGUCUUAACUUUCUCACUCGUAGUUUCUUACUACUACUACAACUGCAACUACGGUCAAAGUUUACCACUUCCACCAUUUUAUUUAUUUGUAUUAAUAAAAGUAAAGAAUUAUUAAUUUAUUCAAAAUAUCUUUUAUUGAAAUUUAUGUCAUAAAAAUAAAAGAAAUUUUUAAAAAGUAUCCCCUUUCAUUUAUUUUUAUUAAAAUUUAUGUAGUAAAAAAUAUCGCUAUUUUCCUUUUAUGGUUAUAUAAAAUUAUUAACGAAAUAUUCAUUUUAAUUUAAAUUAAUGUUGAGAAAAUUUGUUGACUAUGCAAGGUAAUUAUUUUUUUAGAAGUAAAUUCUUUAAUCUCAAAUCAUAUUUUCCUUGUAUGCAAGAUCACAGAUAGAUAAAAUCACCACAUUCAUUCACAGUGGCGGAGCCAGAUACUUUUAGUAGUGGGGGUAACAAUUUAAUCUCUAAAGUAUCGCAUUAUUUUCAAAUUUAAUCUUUAAUAUGUAAAUAUAAUAAGUGAUCCGAUUAAAUUGAUUGAUUUCAUAUACUUUUAGAGCUAAAUUGAUGGAUUUCAGGUUUUAUUUAUUGACAAAAACAGAAAUUGAUUUAAUUUUUUUAGGCACAAACGGAUUUUACAUAGUUUAAGAAAUAAAUUCAAGAAUUAUCUUCUUGAAUUUUGAAUUACUACGGUCUUCUUUUCCUGGUUAAAAAAAAUUGUAAGACAAAAUAUAUAACAAAUUAAUAUUCAACAUUGCCAAUCCCUUCUAAUUUAAACUUUUAAGUCUUACCAUAAUAUAGUAUAAUAAUCAUCAUAUCAUAAAAUUAAAGGGGAUAAAACCAACAACAACUAAGAUGUCAAGGGUAAUGUAGUUGGUCAAACUUAAAUAUAAGUAAUUAUUUGUAAUUUUGUGUAGGUGUGAGUUAUGAUUAUACUAUAUAUUUAUAUACCGAAUGAAAAGAUAGUGGGGGCACCAGCCCACAUAUACCACUGAACGUCGCUCCGCCCCUGUUCAUUCAUCAUAAAAGGUGAAUUUUCAAUUGAUAUACUACUUAAAGAAAAAAAAAUCACACAUAAAAUCUCUUAAAAGUUAGGCCACCACACUUGCUUAAUGUGUCUAGGUCUUUUACACCCACACAUUUAUAAGUUGGUUAAAAAUAUAAUAAAUCAAUCGAAGAAUAUUUUAAUAGUUGAUAUAUAAAAAUUAAUUAUUAUAUAUAAUUUCUAGUUUAGGUGUAUCACAUCAAAGUAGUCAUAUAUCUUGUCAACGAAGAUAGUGCAUCGAAACAGGUAAAAGAGACAAACUGAAGGUGAGAAAAACACAAAUGGAGAUUGAAUUUUGUUGACUUUUUAUGAAAAUCUUAUUUUAAGUGUUUAAAUAAAACAAAAUAAGUCGAUAAUCAAAGAGAGAACAGAGACAACAUAAGUAAAUUAUCCUGUUUCACAUCACAAUUCGAGGUUAGUUCAGUCCCCUUACACUUUCAAUGGAUUUUUCACUAUAAUUACACAAAAUUACAAUUGCUCAAACACACAAGUUUUAGACUUCCUUGCCUCACAUAAGAAGACUUUUACAAUCAAAGUUUUACAAAAGAAUUUAUAUGUGUGUACACUUUGUAUGUACUUAGAGAGCGGUAAACCAGCUUAAGUUCAAGAAACACUAUGAAAUAAACGAAAGAGCGGUUGUUUAAAGAGUGCCAACACAUCAGAUUCUUCCUUAAAAAGCUUUGAUCAAAUUUGAAAACUUGCCUCAAAUGGAUUAUGUCGUUGAAUGGUACUAUAUGAGUUCUUUGCUUCUUAGGGAAUGAUAUGUUACAUUCUCUUUGUCAUUGAAGUUCUUUGUUUAUUUUUGCACAAGGUCAAAAGAAGACAAACAUACUAUCAGAACUUUAAAAGUGAUGUUCCUUUAGAAGAAGACAAAACUGGUUAAAGCUCAUGUGUCCUUUAGAACUUGUUCUCGUUAGAGUCUUCAAGACACCUUCCGAUCAUAACUUUGAUGUUAUGUUGACCUUUCUUCUAAUCAUCUUCUAAGUAUUAAGACAUUUCCGAUGCUUCUCUAGAGCAAGAAAUUGUUUUCCUUUGUGUUCAGAAUUUGAUGUAUCAGAACCAAAAACUUGACUUUGAAGUCAAAAUUUACUUAUACGGCCAUGCACAAUUGAACACACAUUAGAGUUUCAAAUUAUUUUUUCAUACGUUAUUAUCAUUAAAACUUUAGAGACAUUGUUUUAAAACUCACUUUGGUUCAACACUAACAUCAUCAAACAUAUCUAGAACAAGCAACCAGAAAACAUAAAUUAAUUAUAGAUCACAAAAAUAACAUUCACAGUCCUAAUUAGCAACUGAAAAUUGAUUAACAACUAAAAAUAAGGUUACGACAUUUCAUUGGACUGGAUACCGAAUUUUAAAAAGAAAGUUUCAACAUUCACAUGCACAUUGCAAUCUUUCUUGGACAUGUCCGAUGAAACUUGAAGUGUGUUAUAAUUAGUCGAGUGACACGUUUUAACACUUCUAAACACAACGUGUGAUGUGAUUACAUGCAAUCACACACAUCAGAACGGUCUAAUAUUUAUCAUUAGAUCGUGAUCGGAGGGUUCAAAUGUGAACUUGCAUACAACCCAAAUCCACCUAUGGUUUACCAUAAAGCCACUAGGGUGGACUCCACUAUCAAUUUCCGAAAGUGAUUUUUCACUUUUCUCAAACACCAAACAACACCUUACACUACUACUAGUAGGUACGUAGACUCUCUUCAGUUUCUUUCUCACUCUCUAUAUUCUUUCUCCCUCUUUCUUCGCCGUGUAUCAAAUUCCAAUAAAUUCAUACCAUAAAAGCGUUUUUUCUUUCUCUUUCACUUUAUUCCCUUUUAGUAGAAUCCUUAUCACAAGUCACAACCGCGUAAGUGAUUACUGAUUAAGCGAUUUUUCUUCUUCUUAUUCUUACAGCAUUAUUCUCUCUUCUCUAAUUCCUCUGUUUUUUUCUUCUCUUUUUCCUUAUUAAACCCUUCACUCAAAAUCAAAACCCAUUUUCAUAUCAACAAAAAGAUAAGAUUUUUACAACAAUUCUAACAAAAUUCAAAAUGGGUUUUGGAGUUUCCAUCAAUCUUCACCUUGUUUUGCUCUUUUCCAUGAUCUUUGUUUCUGCAUGGUCACAAGAUGAUGCUGCAAUGCAAAAGCUGAAAACUUCAAUCAAAUCAUCAAGCAGUAAUCUUGAUUGGUCAAACUCAGAUUAUUGCAAAUGGGAGAAAGUUACCUGUAAUGGAAAUCGUGUCACUGCAAUUCAAAUUGCAGAUACAAACAUUCAAGGUUCUUUACCAAAAGAAUUGAUGCAACUCACUGAGUUAACUCGGUUUGAAUGCAAUGGAAACAGUUUAUCUGGUGAUUUUCCUUACAUGCCAAUUUCACUUCAGCAUUUGUCUAUUGGUAACAACAAUUUCGCUUCGAUGCCGAGUGAUUUCUUCGCCAACAUGAGUAAUUUGAUUGAUGUGAGUAUUGGUUAUAACCCUUUUCCUCAAUGGCAAAUUCCUUCUAGUCUUAAGAAUUGUUUGGCCCUUCAGACAUUUUCUGCUAUAAAUGCUAGUUUUGUUGGUAUAAUCCCUGAAUUCUUUGGAAAAGAAACUUUUCCAGCUUUAACUGAUUUGUCUCUGUCUUUCAAUUCUCUUGAAGGGAAUUUGCCUAAUAGUUUAUCUGGUAGUUCUAUAUUGAAUCUUUGGGUAAAUGGUCAAAAGAGUAAUAAUAAACUCAAUGGCACACUUUCUGUUUUGCAAAAUAUGACAUCGUUGAAACAAAUUUGGGUUCAUGGUAAUUCGUUUACUGGUCCAAUACCUGAUUUAUCGAAUCAUGAUCAAUUGUUUGAUGUUAGUUUGAGAGAUAAUCAGUUAACCGGUGUUGUUCCACCGUCUUUAACUUCGCUUCAAAGUUUAACAGUUGUUAAUUUGACAAACAAUUAUCUUCAAGGGUCAGUUCCGAAGUUUCAAAAUAGUGUUCGUGUUGAUAAUGAUAUUGAUAGAGGGAUUAAUAGCUUUUGUACUAAGGUUGUUGGUCAACCAUGUAGUCCGGUUGUUAAUGCGUUGCUUUCGGUUGUUGAACCUUUUGGUUAUCCUCUUGAACUUGCUAAAAGCUGGAAAGGUAAUGACCCUUGUGGUGGUGAUAGUUGGAAAGGGAUUAUUUGUUCUGCUGGUAAUGUUUCAGUUAUCAACUUUCAAAACAUGGGUUUUUCUGGCAGUAUAUCUCCUAGUUUUGCUAGUCUUAGUUCUGUGACAAGGUUACUUCUUAGUAAUAAUCAUCUCACCGGCACUAUACCUAAGGAGCUUGCUAGUAUGCCGGCUUUGAAAGAGAUAGAUGUUUCGAGUAAUGCGUUGUAUGGUCAGAUACCAUUGUUUCGCGGAGAUGUUGUUGUUAAAACCAGUGGAAAUCCUGAUAUUGGAAAAGAUAAACCUCAUGACUCGCCCAACAGCCCUGGCUCUACUUCUGGAGGUAAAGAUAAGAAGAAAGUUAGUGUUGGAGUCAUUGUGGGGAUUGUGAUGGGAAUUGUUGGCUUUAUAAUUGCUGUAGGGGUUUUCGUAUUUAUUAUGUAUUGUAGAAGACAUAAUAAGCGUGAUGGCAAAAUUCAAACUCCGAAUGCGAUAGUGAUACAUCCUCAUCAUUCUGGAGAAGGAAAUGGUGUGAAAAUAAGUGUUGCAGCAGCUGAAAGUUCUGGUGCCGGUGUUACAGGAGGAACUGGUGGAUUUAGUCCAUCAAGGAGUGUUAAAAAUGUGGAAGCUGGUAGUAUGGUGAUUUCAAUUCAAGUGUUGAGAGAAGUUACAGACAAUUUUAGUGAAAAGAACAUAUUGGGAAAAGGCGGUUUUGCCACUGUAUACAAAGGAGAGUUGGACGAUGGAACAAAGAUUGCAGUUAAAAGGAUGAAAUCUGAAAUGGUUGGUGACCAAGGGCUGAAUGAGAUCAAGUCCGAAAUCGCGGUUCUCACUAAGGUUCGACACAGGCAUUUGGUUGCACUCCUUGGCUAUUGCUUGGACGAAAAUGAGAAACUUCUUGUCUUCGAAUACAUGCCUCAGGGAACUCUUAGUCAACAUCUCUUUGAUUGGAAAGACGACGGGUUGAAACCGCUUGGAUGGAAGAGAAGGCUUUCCAUUGCCUUAGAUGUUGCUAGAGGUGUUGAAUAUCUUCAUGGUCUGGCUCAGCAAAUUUUCAUCCACAGGGAUCUGAAACCAUCGAAUAUCUUGCUUGGAGAUGAUAUGCGUGCUAAAGUAGCCGACUUUGGAUUAGUUCGACUUGCUCCAGAAGGACAAGCUUCAUUCCAGACUAAACUUGCAGGAACCUUUGGAUAUAUGGCACCAGAGUAUGCAGGUAACACAUUUUAAUUAUAAUUUAGAAUUUUUUUUGUUGGAUAUGACUUUUUUGGUUAUAAUGUUAGUGUCAGCUUGGCUGAACUGCAGACAGUGUGAAUUUAGUUUGCAUAAACAAUUUUUUGCCGCAAUCUCAAAUACUAUGCCUUUUUUAUCAAAUUUUGUCAGUAAUUAUGGUUUUAGCUUGUACAAUCGUUCACUGUGUUUAUAUAGUGAUAAAGGCUGAUUAAAACUUGUCUAUACCUAGUGAAAUUAAGAUUCAGAUGAGGAAGAACCGAAGAAACAAUGAAUUAUCCUUUUUGUGAUUGUAACAGCUACUUCAUACAUAACAAGUUAUGAUGGUAACUAUACAUUGCAUAUACAUUAUUUCUUUUUGACUGAUAGCAUGUCCACACAUAACAGGGUAUAUAGUGUUACUAACAAAAUUCUGUUAAAGCAGAACGGUAUAAUAAGUUCACAAUCAAAUUUAUAACAACGUUUAAAUUUUCAUUUUAUUUAAGGCUAAGGGCUUGUCUGAGCCUGUGACAAUCAAGAAAGUAACCAAAACCAUAAACCAUGUUUUUCAAAGUAGCCUCAUGAAAAUCUAUAUCAGAUGUGGUAGUGGCAUUACCGGAGAAGAACACCCUGAAGCCUCUCAUAAAGGCCUCACAAAUUAGUCAUAUCGCCCGUCACUAUAAUAGUCACAUAUACCAUAUAGAAAUGAUUUAUAACGAUGGUGAAAAUUUGUUUUAUUAAAUGUACUAGUCUAAGAAAAAGACUGACGUUUGAUUAUAAUGAAGAGUUAUGUUGAGUCUGCUGAAAAACAAUCUGAAUGAGUGUGAUAGAUGAGAAAAAAUACUACAAAAGUGAUUUUUAUGAUUGCAAAGAAACACAAACAAAUAUAUGCAUUGCAAAAAAAUCUCUUUAUGGCAUUCAAAUUUAUUACAAUUUUAAAUCACUUUUUUUAUUGGGUCACUGUUUAGUAUUUCCCUUUUUUAUUUCUAAACAAACUGUCCCUUAUCACUUUCUUGUUCGAUUCCCUAAUUUAUUAAAAUGUUAUGAUAUGUCACAGUCACUGGCCGAGUCACCACAAAGGUAGACGUAUACAGCUAUGGUGUGAUUCUUAUGGAGAUGAUAACCGGAAAGAAGGCAAUUGAUAAUAGCCGACAAGAUGAGAAUAUCCACCUUGUUACAUGGUUCCGCAGGAUGCUACUGAACAAAGACUCAUUUGAAAAGGUCAUUGAUCCAGCAAUGGACAUCGACGAGGAAGGCUUGGAGAGUUUCAGGACUAUUGCAGGAUUGGCUAGCCACUGUUGUGCAAGGGAGCCUAAUCAGCGUCCUGACAUGGGACACGUAGUGAAUGUGCUAGCACCCCUUGUCGAGAUUUGGAAGCCGGCUGAACCUGAUGUUGAUGAUAUAUAUGGGAUUGACUUGGAUAUGAGUUUGCCUCAAGCACUGAUUAAGUGGCAGAAUCAUGAAGGAAUGAGCAACACACUUGAUGUUUCGUAUACUUCGUCAAUGGCUGCUAGUUGUGAGAAUACACAGUCAAGUAUACCACCUAGGUCUCCUGGAUUUGCAGAUUCCUUUACAUCUAAUGAUGCAAGAUAAAGUUUGAUAUGUAUGUAUGCAAAUGUUAACAUGUGCCCUUAUGGUACAUGUUAAGGAACUCAAUAUAGGAUAUUCAUCUUAAACAUUUUUAUAGUCAAAAGAUGUUUUUUUUUUUUUUUUUUCGAUGCAAAAUUAGGACAACCCUUGUAAUACUACCCUUAUGGCUAUGAUGGUUGAGUUUCCAUACUACCCUUGGUUUUUUACUACUAUUGCUACCUUUUACUACUUUCUGCAUUUUAUUUAACUUUUUGGUAAUAACGAAAAAAUAUGAUUAUUUCAAAAUAUCUAUGUCAAAACUUAUAUCAUAAUAAUAAUAAAAAAAAUUAAACAUUUUCUAUUUUGAUGCAAAAGACCAGUGUUACAUAAAGUACAAACUAAAGUAGUAUAUAUCUUUUUUAAAAUGCAAAAGUAUGAUUCAGAUCACUCCCACUUCUUUAAGUUGUCUAAAUCUCUUAAAACUGAUUUUGUUAGAAAUAGAAAAUUGAUGAUAAAAGAGUUUUCUAGUGUUAAUUGAUAAAACCAGGACACGAUUACAUUGGUGAUUCUAACUACUGUAAAUCACUCGACAAUGCUUGGAUGCUGGUAAUUCUGAAAAAGUGGCAAAUGCAUAUACUUUGAAGGUGGCGUGGGAUGUUCUUGUGAAGAAUUACGUGGGUGGAGCCAAAUUGAAUAAAGUAAAGCUUCAAUUCCAACGUGCCAGUACAAUACUUGGAUUGAUGGCCAUUACUAAUCAAAUGAAGAAUUGUGAAGAGACUGUAUCUGAUCAAAUGGGGGUUGAAAAGGUACUUAGAAUUGGUAGCAAUAUAAGAAACUAAGGACAUUAGUGAAAAUGAUUGUAGAAGAGCUUCAAAGUUCUUUAGAGGCUCAUGUGCUCAGGGUAAUUGGCAGAGGUGCUGAGAGGAAAGUAGAUCAAGCCUUACAAGGAGUUCUUUGGAUGUGGCUCGAUGUUGGGGAUGAGGAUUGAGUUCUCUUUUACAAGAUGUUCUUUUGGGGUGAGUGGUGGCAAAGAGUGUUAUGGAUGUUGUUUUUUAGUGGUCGGUAAGUUUAGGAAUCAGUUUUAGGAGAUGAUGUUUAUUUUGAUGGGUGUUGAUCGCAGGAAUGUAUUUGUUGGGAUUUGUUUUUGGGUGUUCCGCUUUUAUACGACGCCUUUAGUUUGUACUUUCUGUAACACAGGUCUUUGUUCGUCUUGUGCAGAGACCUGAUUUUUAAUAAAAUUUUGCUGAUUAAAAAAAAACCUUACAAGCUCAUGUGUCUAAAAAGAAUUUUCAUGAUAGUAAGAAAAGAAAUUUUGUAAAUGGGAAGUUUAACAAGAACAGGUCUUGUAACAAAGAUAAAGGAAGGUUGGUUCAUGAUAAACCUAAAACUUAAAAGAAAGGUAGAGGAUCUAAUGUCAAUCAAGAAAAGAAAAAGAAAUGGAGGUCCUUCAUAACUGAUUGGAUCAAGGGGUGUGACUGUUUAAGAAAAAUCGACAGAACUAAAAACUCAAACCAAACCAAAAAAUUACUCGACCUUCUCUAGUUUGGUUUAAAACUGAACUGAAUUGAUUUAGUUUGAUUUUUGUUAUUCAUUUUGAUAUCCAUUGAACCGACACAAAUAUCACCCCCAAAUUUUACUAACUAUCUCUCUAACACCCUUACUCACACUUAACUUAAGCUGAACAUUUUAUGAUUUUUUACUCAUCGGUCCAAUGCUCAUCAGUCCAAUUCGAUUAGUCAUCACGAUUCAUUAGUCAAGUUCUUCACUCACCCAAAAAAAAAAACCUCAAUCAUCGCUCACCUCAUCGGUGCUAAUAUGUCAUUGAUGGAUAAUUUGGUAAGUGUACCAAAUUGUAUAAGUAAUAAAUUAGUAUGUAAAUUGUCUCCACAUGGAUUGUUGCUUCUACUUGACGAUUAAAUAAUGCUUAAUUAAAACAUUAAAUAGGGGGAGUUUCAAGAGUUGGUUGCAAUUGAAAAUUAAAUAAAGAAUUUGAUCAGAAUGAUGAAAGACGGUUAAGAUUGUCUGAAUCCUCUCUAUGUUCUUGUUAGGUGAUACUAGUUCUUAAGUCAAUAUUAAUUUAAUAUCUAUGUUCACGACAUUUACAAAAUAUACCGAGACCAGUUUCUUGGUUCAAGGUCUUGUUCAUCUAAUAUAGAACCCUAAUGUCUUAGGUUAAACUCAUAUUAUAAAAAUCUUUGUUGAUCGUUAAACAAUAGCCACAAAACAUAGCAUAUUGAAAGAAUGGAAAUUUAUCAGUAAAGCAUGUAAACAUGUACCUGUCAUUGUUGAAUCUAUCGAUUCUUCUUAAACGGUUGAUAGAGAAGUUGUAACUGCCUUCUUGUGCCAUCAUAGUUUGUCUUGUCAAACAGUGAUAAAUACUCACAUUUCUUGGCUUUGUCAAAGCGGGUGAACUUUUCACCAAUGGACUUCAGAAAUCUUUAGCAUUGUCACUUUCUGAAAUGCUUUGCCUAAUGGAUUCUCAAUGGUAUAAGUUAUGAUCUUAAGACACACCCUAUUAGAAGUUUCCUACUUUUCAUAAAGGGCUUUAUAGGAAUCUGUAGAUGCAUUGGUAAGGGCAACAUGCUUGUCAGUUUUUAAGGAUAAGUCAAAAUUAUUAAUAACUAAGUAGUGAUUUAGAGAAUCUUUCCAGUCCUCAUAGUUAAUCCCAUUCAGAGUUUUCACAGAGCUAGGAAAAGAGUCUGUCAUUGAACAAUAAGGAAUCAUCAAAAAUAUUAUGCAAAAAAUGAUUCCACAUAUAUGUAGCCAAAAGUAUCCUUAUGAAAAAACUCUACAUCAUUAUGAUCUUACAUCCCAAAGUACAAUAAUAACCAAAACUUAUAACACAAAAUUCCAACAUCGAUAGGAUAUUGGAAUAUAAUAAGCAUAAAUGAAACAAGAUAUUGUACCAUAAUAAUUACACAAAUAAUAAUACAUCGAUAGGAUGUAAUUAUUAUUAAUAUAAUAUAGCUCAUAAUUACUAAUAAACAAAAUUUACAUCCAUAAUAAUACACCAAUAGGAUGUAAUUACUACUAAUAUAAACAAUUAAUUUUUACGGAAUUUGUAUCAAUAAUAAUACAACGAUAUGAUGUAAUUACUAAUGUAAAUAAUUGACUUCGUUAAUAAAUUGAUUCUACAAUAAAAAACAAAAUUCACAUAGUUGGUCUUACCAUGGGUGAGAUUACAACUACACAAACAAACAACUUAUACUUAUACAAAAUUCAGAUAAACAAUAUUACAUCGAUAUGAUGUAAUUACUAUUAGUAUGAAUAUUAAUAGCUACCAAAUAAUUAUCAAUUAUGCAAAUGGCCCAAAUCAGCUUAAGCAAUAAAACAAAUAAUGAGCCAGUCCAAAAAAGUGACCCAAAAGGCCCUGAAAAAAAUUGAGGGACCUACAAAUAGAGCUAGUGUGUGCGUCACACACGCAGACUCGAUUUGAGUCGUCCACAACAAAUAAACACGUGGUUGGAGUUUUUUUUUUAUUUUUUAAAUCACCUUUCUCACACAUAUGUCACAUAAACGGGUCAAAACGACCCGUGAUUAUAUCCAGAUGAAUCUACAGUUUCAGUCAUUGAAAAUCAACGGUUUUUACAGGGUUUUGAUCGCGAGACAAUAACAAACAAUUUCCCAAAAUCAAUUUCAUGAAAAACGUUGAACCAAAUCAAUUUGUAAAUCAAUUUUAUUUUAUUUUGCAUGGAUGAACAAAAUCAAUUUUCAUGAAAAAACAGAUAUCACAAACAGGGAAAGCUUAUCCAUGGUAUAAAAUAAUAUUUGUUGAAAACAUGUUUUCUUGAUCAUGUAUCCAAAUAAUUAUCAAAAAAGGAACUGUAAAAAAAAUAGAAAUCGUAUGCACAUGGAUAAUAGAAAAUUGGAAUCACAUGCAUCCAACAUAUAUAAACAUAAUCGUACAAUAAAAAUUAGUAAUAUUCAUGCAAUCGUUACAUUCAAAACAAUAACCAUACAAUGUGUCUAAUUGGCUUUGAUACCAAUUGAAGUAAAUUGUGAUCUUUUAAGCAAUUAUAGACACAAAACAUAGCAUAUUGAAUGAAUGCAAAUUUAUCAUUAAAGCAUGUAAACAUACUUGUCAUUGUUGGAUCCAUUGAUUCUUCAUAAACGGUUGAUAGAGAAGUUGUAAUUGCCCUCUUGCUGAUGGAAUAACGACAUAAUGAUAACUGACCUAAUGAGAUAGUCAGGUUAUAUAUCCAUCAGAUGAGGGUAGAGACCUCUCAACAGGCUAUCAGUAAGAAUGGCCCAACCCAUCACGGGUUAUUCUCAAUUAAGCCCAAGACAAAUAUUUAUUAUAUUUAUUUAACCAAGUGCAUUAACAAUUAAUAAUAAUUGAUUUUUAUUUUACUAGCAAAAAGACGGGAACUCACGUGCCGUCUUUCCGCUCUUUUUAUUGCGUUAACGUUUGAAAAUUAUGAACGGUGUUUUUUUAAUGAAAUUUUAAUUUAGAUUAAAACUAAAAAAAAUAUAUAAAUGUUUGUUGCUUUCAAGUUAUAAAAAAUCAAACCAACCAUGAUUAUCUAUUUCAACGACAUCGACAAUAAUACAAUAUAACAAAAAAAUAUAAUCUAAAUUCUUUUCUUAGUGACACCAACAACAAUUUUAUUAUAGAAAAAGUUGAUUAAAGGUAUAAUUAGAAUAGAUAUAUCAACGUAAUUAAAGUUAUCCAUAAAUUCCAACAUACUAAAUUGUACAAGUUAUAAAGUAGCAUGUAAAUCGUCUCUAUAACACUUUAAACCCUUUAACACAAUAAAUCAUGCAAAUAAUACAUUAUUCAAAAGAGUUUAAAUGUUACAUCUUCAAUUAUCUAAAAACAUACAUAACUAUGCUUUCAAAAGCUCGCAGCGGAAAAUCAUCAUACAAAAUAUCUCGACAACAAAUAAAAUCUCAACAACCAUGUGUCAUAAUACAUCACUAAAUAAAUCUCAAAUCUCAUGCAUAAGUGAGCAACAAGUCUCAAAAAGGCAUAAAUAAAUAAGUCCGACACCUUAAUCAGAGUCCUAAACUAGACCCCGAGCAAAAAGAAAAGAGGUAGCUCCAAAGCUAGUCCUCAAGCAACUCACAAGCAAUAAGAGAGUCAGUCUUGUAUGUCGUCUACCCAUUAAUACAAAUAGGCAGGGGGUCAACCAAACGACCACUAGGGGUUAGAUUAUAUUCCACAUAAUAAACAUAUAAUCCAAUAAAUGCAUAACAACAUAUUCAUUUUUCAUUGUUCAAUAAAUAACUCUUAAUCAAAUCAUACAACAUCGAAUCAACACAUCAACAUUAUUAUACAAGUGUACAAGCAUAAUCAAACAACAUAUACAAGUUCACAUUUCCACAUAGUCACAACCAGUGGUGGAGCCAGGAAUUUUAUAGAGCCUGAGCAAUUAUCGCAAAUUCGCAUGUAACAUAAUAUAUAUAAAUAGUCAUAAAUUGAAAUAAAAAAGGUUCGUCAUUUUUUUUUAACAAAAGUACAAUUUGAAAUAAGAUAGAUGAAAUAUAACCUACCAAUAGUGUGCUAAAUAAAAUUAGGAGGUAAAUGUCCUUUCAGAGACCUAUUUGCGUGCUAAAUAUAGUGGAACGGAGAAGGAAUGAAAAUGGAGGCAGACUGAGAGUUGAGAGAGGGUGAGGCGCAAGUUGAGAUAGGGAGAGGCAAAUGAAAGUGAAACACGACUAAGAGACUGAGAAUUGAGAGGUCAGCCGCGAGUUGAGAGAAGGAGAAGCAGAGCAGAUUAUAUGCGCCUCAAAGCAAAGAGUUUUCUAUCAAUUUUUUUUUUACUAUUAAUUUUCUCACCCUAUCUCAAUCUCGUGUGCCCUGUAAAUUUUCUAAAAAUGCCCCUGUGAUUUUUAGAUUUUAAAAUCCGAACUAUGUUUUUCCUUUGUUAUUGGGUGAAAAUAAAGAGUUUUUCACCAAUUCGGAUUUUAUAAUCCGAAAACCUCAAAAACACCAUAUGUUUCCGAUUUAUGGAAUCCGAACAUGCCCUAAACACCCUAUUUCAAUUCUGAACAUGCUUAUAACAUGUAUAAUCAUUUUAAGGAGCAUAUUAAUCUUCCUUACUAUCACCCUCCUGUUUUAGGUCAUUGUUAGCUAUUCCCAUUAAAAAAAAUGAUAUUUGGGGUACUUGAUCCGAUUGUACCGAAACUUUCACAGAAAAUCAGAAGAAGAAAAAAAUCAAGGAUCAAGACUCAUUUUUCAUAUCUAAGAAAAAUUCGAAAAAAAUUUGCAUUAGUUUUAUUUGAUUUUUAGAAAUUUUUGGUGGUAUUUUUAUAUUUUUAUGAUUUUAUUUGAUAGGUUUUUAGCUUUUUUUACUUUGUUUUUUGGUUGUUUUUAAAAGCAAAAUUCAUAAUUGCGGAAAUGGAAGAGAUUCUGAUUGCUGAUUAUACAUAAGCAUAUUUCAGAUUUUAUAAUCCGAAUUAGCGAAAAAUUAUUUUGGAUUUUAAAAUCCGAAUUACUCAUAGGCAUUUUUGUAAAACAUACUGGGCGCGCGAGAAAUGGGUAGGUGGAAAAGGUAAUAGUCGUUUUUAUUUAAGUGGUUAAUGGGCUAUUGGGUUGGACUUGCUACAAAGAAAAUGAGUGUUGAUCCCGGGCUAGUGUCAAGGCUAGCUGGGGGGUGUAUCCGCCCAUGGUCACAACGUUGACCAAGUUUCACCAAUGCACAUAAUCACCAAAUCACAUAGUCAAGUACGACACAUUUCACCAAUCUCAAGUGCAUGCAAUAUUCUAGACACUUCUACAUGCAUGUGGUACCAAUUGAAUUUGGGAGAUAAUUUUACCGUAUGAAUCCACCAACGUAACGAACACCGGAAACUACUGAUGACAGAUCAUCUUACGUUAUUCUUAGCAUAUUUUUCAGUUAUUUUUAGUAGGUUUUAUGUGUAAAGCAUUAAGCACAAGGUAUAAUGAACAAAUUUAGUUCAAAUUGCAUUAAUAUAAGAUAUCAUAGAUUACAUGGUUCAAACAAUAUUAUAUAUGUUGAUCAUUCAACCCUAAUCUAAAGUGUCUAGCUACUCAUAGAGUGACUAUGAUCUUCAAUCUUGUUUCAAAAGGGUAAAACCGCCAGUUGUGUUGCAUAGAUCGCGCCUUUAGCCUUCAAAGUUAUAAAAAUUAGAACCCUUGCUUCUCGCUUGACGCUUAGAAAAUCAAUAUAUAGGCAUAUUUUUUUAAUCACGUACGAGCGUCACAUACACCUUUAUGUACGUUAUGCUUUCCAUUUCAAAUCCAAUGUGGUCUGAACUUUAAUAUCUUCAAUGUUUUUACGUUCGUACCUUUGUAACUUCCACAAUGUGUCUUUUCCUCAAAUCAACCCAUUAACCUAUACCUAACACUAUGACACUGUAUAAAGUUGUCUGGUUAGACAAAUGCAUCGACUUACAAUGACUCAAUUUAAUAUAUUGCAUAACCUUUACCAAACUAUCAAUAACUCAUUGUAAUCCUAUAAAAAUCUAAAAAUACAUAUACUCACGAUGACUCAAUUUAAUAUAUUGCAUGACAUUUCCCAAACUAUCAAUAACUCACUGCAAUCCUCCAAAAAAUCUAAAAAUAAAAGACAAAAAGACUCGAGAAAACACUAAAAUACAUGUUAUGCCGAGUAGUAGGGGUGGGCAUGGUUUGGUUUUUGAAGAUAACUGAACCGAACCGUUUAAACGGUUCGAAAAACUGAACCAAACAGUUUGAAGUUUGCGAGUAACCAAACCGAACCAAAGUUAUGGAGUUUAGUUAACAGUUUUGUUGUCUACGAACCGAACGAAACAAAACCCAAAGUAAUAUUUUGAACCAAAAUGUGUUUUCUUAUCCUUUUGUAAACUAAAUUUUUUUUUUUUGUUCUUUUUCAUAAAUUUGAAUUAUGUGACAGGUGUUAAGAAUUUUGGUUUUCUCAAAAUUGUAUUAAGACAUUUUAUUAAUUAUAUUUAAACUAUGACCAAAUGUAUUAAUCCUUUUUAAGAAUUAAAUCACACUAUUUAUUAAUUUUUUGUGGUUUUACUAUUUGUAUUUUAGGAAUAUCAACAAAAACAUCAACAAUUCCAAUGAUAAUGCAUGAUGAAAGGGAAAAUAAAACUUCAUUGUUAAAAUAUGAAGUUUGUGUUUUGCUGAUGGUUUGGUUCGGUUUAAAAUGGUUCGAUUCGGUUCAAAACAUAUCAGUUAUGGUUCAAUAAUCGUUAUUAAAUUACCGGUUUGGUUCACAAGCUACUUAAAUGGUUCAGUUAAUUAUUAUUCGGUUCAGUUUGGUUCGUAGUUCGGUUCAGUUUUUGGAUCUUUUUAACUAGCAAACUAAUCUAAUACCAUUUCUCAUAUCACUGUAUGAUUUGAUUUUAAAAAUUUCUAUAUAAGUAGCAAGGUUAAUUAUGGUGGCUUGGAAGGAUGAAUGAUGAAAGCAGUCUAAGGUAAACAUUAAUUUGAUAUAAUAAAUUGGAAAUAAAUUAUGUUCUGCAUUCUAAUUAUGUGUAUAGUUCAUUUCAGGAUGGUGAGUUGGUGAUGCAAGUCAAUGAAGAUGUUUUUUUUUUCUUUCCUUUUUCCAAUAAGUGUGAAGAUGUUUGUAGUUGAAACUUACCUUUUUUAUCAAGUCAUUUGAGGGAACAACCAUUUUAAUCUGUAUUUGAAAUUGAUUUAGUAUCAUUUUAAGUAAACUAUCUCGUUUAUAAUAUGAGAUUUGAAGAUGUGUGUGCUAAAAUUUGUAAUUUACAAUUUAAUAUGCAAUAUGUUGUAAUUUGAGAUUAAACGCGUGCCGCGUACACCCUUAGUCCCUUACAACUGCUACGCGUGCUGUUUAAAAUCAUGCAUUGCAAUUUUUCAUCAAGACGCGUGACGCGUAACAUGUCACACGCAUAAAACAAGAUAGAGUAGUUUAGUAUGCAUAUACUCCAUCCGCUCUCAUUAUUAAAAAAAAAAAUAUAUCAAAGUCAAUUUAAAAGUAAUUGUUGUAACUUUUUUAAAUAUUUUACAAAUAUACCCUUACAUAAUAAUAUGAGAUUUAAAGUUGUGUGCUAAAAUUUGUAAUUUACAAUAUAAUAUGCAAUAUGCUGUAAUAUGAGAUUUAACGCGUGCCGCAUACACCCUUACGCCCGCGGUUUAAAAUCCAUUUUUGCAAUUUUCCAUCAAGACGCGUGACGCGCAACAUGUCACACACAUAAAACAAUAUAGAGUAUGGUUUUAGUAUGCAUGAUACGCCAUCCGCUCUUUAUUAUAAAAAAAAUAAAAAAUCAAAACCAAUAUAAUUAUUGAUUGUUAUAACUUUUUUUUAAAUAUUUUUACAAAUAUAACUCUUUAGUGUCUCUUUCUUCCUCAUUCCCCGCCAUGUAUUUAUUCCAAUUCAUUCAUCCCAUAAAAGCGUUUUUUCUUUCUUUCUCUUUCAAUUGAUUCUCCCUUAAAAACAUUCCCUUUUUCAGUCCAAUCCUUAUCAAUGCCAGCUUGAUUAAGUGUUUUUUGUUCUCAUUCUUGCUACAUUAUUCUCUGUUCUCUUACGCUACCUUCCUUUGUUUUUUUUCUCUCUUUUUCUUCUUAUUAAACCCUUCCCUCAAAACUCAUUUCCAUCAACAACAAAAAAAACUUGAGAAAAAACUUGCACAAAACACAAAAUGAGUUUUGGAGUUUCCUAUGUUCUUCACCUUGUUUUACUGUUUUUUAUGAUGUUUAUUGCUGCAUGGUCUCAAGAUGACGUUGUUAUGCAAAAGCUGAAAAGUUCUAUAACAUCAUCAAGCAAUGAUCUUGAUUGGUCAGACAAAGAUUGUUGCAAAUGGAAGGGAGUUUCAUGCAGCGGAACGACGGUCACUGAAAUUAAUUUAGGACAACUCAAUAUUCAAGGUUCUUUACCAAAAGAAUUAAUGCAACUCACUGCUUUAACUCGUUUCGAUUGCAGUGAAAAUGAGUUUUCUGGAGGUUUUCCAUACAUGCCAAAUUCACUUCAGAACUUGUAUAUCAGAAACAACAGUUUCACUUCCAUGCCUAGUGAUUUCUUCACCAACAUGAGUAAUUUGAUAGAGGUGGUAAUUGAUUCUAACCCUUUUUCUCAGUGGCAAAUUCCUUCUAGUCUUAAGAAUUGUUUAGCCCUUAAGCUUUUUUCUGCUAAUAGUGCUGGUUUAGUUGGUGUAAUCCCUGAAUUCUUUGGAAAUGACACUUUUCCAAGUUUGACAGAUUUGAAGGUGUCUUUUAAUUCUCUUGGAGGUAAUUUGCCUAAUAGUUUAUCUGGUAGUUCUAUAGAGAACCUUUGGGUGAAUAAUCAAAAUGGUAAUAAACUCAAUGGUACACUUUCUGUUUUGCAAAAUAUGACGUCGUUGAAAGUAAUUUGGGUUCAAAGUAAUGCUUUUACUGGUCCAAUACCAGAUUUUUCAAAUCAUGAUCAAUUGUCUGAAGUUAGUUUCAGAGAUAAUCAGUUAACCGGUGUUGUUCCGCAGUCUUUAAUUUCGCUUCAAAGUUUGAAAGCUGUGGCUUUGACGAACAAUCGUCUUCAAGGGUCACCUCCUAAGUUUAAAGAUGAUGUUAAGGUUGAUAAUGAUAUGGAUAAAGGGAUUAAUAGCUUUUGUACUAAGGUUGUUGGUCAACCAUGUAGUCCACUUGUUAAUGCUUUGCUUUCUGUUGUUGAACCUUUUGGUUAUCCUCUUAAACUUGCUCAAAGUUGGCAAGGUAAUGACCCUUGUCAAGGUGGUUGGUUAGGGAUUGUUUGUUCUAGUGGGAACAUUUCAGUUAUCGCCUUCGAGAAAAUGGGUUUUUCCGGUAGUAUAUCAUCUAGUUUUGCAAGUCUUAGUUCUGUGACGAAGUUGCUUCUUGAUAACAAUCAUCUCACCGGCACUAUACCUAAGGAGCUUGCUAGUAUGCCGGCUUUGAAAGAGCUAGAUGUUUCGAAUAAUGCAUUGUAUGGUCAGAUACCAUCGUUUCGCGGAGAUGUGGUUGUUAAAACCGGUGGAAAUCCUGAUAUUGGAAAGGACAAACCUCCUGGCUCGCCCGGCUCUAGUUCUGGAGGUGAAUAUAAGAAGAAAAUUAGUGUUGGAGCAAUUGUUGGGAUUGUGAUGGGGAUUGUUUGUUUACUUGGUGUAGUAGGGGUUUUGGUAUUUGUUAUGCGCGGUAGAAGACAUAAUAAGUGUGCUGGUAAAGUUCAAACUCCAAAUGCAAUAGUGGUACAUCCUCGUCAUUCAGGUGAUGGAAAUGGCGUGAAAAUAAGUGUUGCAGCAGCCGGAAGUUCCAGUGUCGGCGUUGCACGAGGAACUGGUGGAUUUAGUCCAUCGAGUAGUGUUCGAAAUGUGGAAGCUGGUAAUAUGGUGAUUUCAAUUCAAGUUCUAAGAGAAGUUACAAACAAUUUUAGUGAAAAAAACAUAUUGGGGAAAGGUGGUUUCGCUACUGUAUACAAAGGAGAAUUGGACGAUGGAACAAAGAUUGCAGUGAAAAGGAUGAAAUCUGAAAUGGUUGGUGACGAAGGGUUAAAUGAGAUCAAGUCUGAAAUCGCGGUUCUCACUAGGGUUCGACACAGGCAUUUGGUUGCACUCCAUGGCUAUUGCUUGGACGACAACGAGAAACUUCUUGUCUUUGAAUACAUGCCUCAGGGAACUCUUAGUCAACAUAUCUUUGACUGGAAAGACGAUGGGUCGAAACCGCUCGGAUGGAAAUGUAGGCUUUCCAUUGCCUUGGAUGUUGCUAGAGGUGUUGAAUAUCUUCAUGGUCUGGCUCAGCAAAUUUUCAUCCACAGGGAUCUGAAGCCAUCAAAUAUCUUGCUUGGAGAUGAUAUGCGCGCUAAAGUAGCCGACUUUGGAUUAGUUCGGCUUGCUCCAGAAGGACAAACUUCAUUUGCGACUAGACUUGCAGGAACUUUUGGUUAUUUGGCACCAGAGUAUGCAGGUAAUCACAUGUUAAUUAUAAUUUAGAAUAAUUUUUGUUGCAUUACUGUUUUUUAUUGCACAUGUUAAUUGUGUAGGUUUCUACUUUAGUCUCAGAUGAACUAUAGAGUAUAGAGACAAAUUUUUGCAACAUUCUCAAAUACUAUGCUUUUUAUUUUUAUUUUUAUUUUUUUUUAUCAAAUUUUAUCUUGAAAGAACUGUAUUGAGAAAACAGGCAAACAUGAUUCAUAUUGUUCGUGUGAUUCUCUGUCUCUGUGUGUCUAUAUUUUGUUGUUAAAUGUUAUAUAAAUUCUAGCAUAUUUGUAAUUUUUCUCCUUUCUUGUUCAACUCGCUAACUAGUUUAAAUGGUAUGAUAUGUCACAGUCACCGGUCGAGUCACCACAAAGGUAGACGUAUACAGCUAUGGCGUGAUUCUUAUGGAGAUGAUAACCGGAAGAAAAGUAAUUGAGAACAGCCAAUCGGACGAGAACAUACACCUCGUUACAUGGUUCCGAAGGAUGCUACUAAACAAAGACUCAUUCGAAAAGGUCAUUGAUCCAGCAAUGGACAUAGACGAGGAAGGCCUGGAGAGUUUCAGGACUAUGGCAGGAUUGGCAAGCCAAUGUUGUGCAAGGGAGCCUCAUCAGCGUCCUGACAUGGGACAUGUAGUGAAUGUGCUAGCACCUCUUGUCGAGAUUUGGAAGCCGGCUGAACCUGAAGCUGAUGACAUGUAUGGGAUUGACUUGGAUAUAAGUUUUCCUCAAGGACUUAGUAAGUGGCCGAAUCUUGAAGGAACGAGCAACACACUUGAUGUUUCGAAAUCUUCUUCGAUGGCUGCUGGUUGUGAGUAUACACAGUCAAGUAUCCCUCCUCGGUCUCCUGGAUUUGCCAAUUCUUUUACAUCUGCUGAUGCGCGAUGAAAUUUGAUGUACAUUAUUUAAUUAUUUCCGCUUUUGCCAACCGUUUGGAGUUUCCUUUCAAGUUUGUUUCAUGACAUAUAUUACACCCUAAUUGAUUCUUUUAACUUGUCCUUUUUUAUUUGUCUUUUUUCUAGAGUUUUUUCAAAUUCCUAGUACUUAAGAAACAAUUAAACUUUUUAGUUCUAUUGAUCAAGAAAAAUAGGACUUAGUUACUCAUAUCAAAUGUUAUUUUACUAUUUUUCUACUUUUUUUUCCUCUGGCAAGUUUUUUGCUAAAGUAUGGAAUGAGUUUUGUUAUUGGACCACCAAAAGAAGUAUCAAUCCACACCCUCAACAUAUUGGUGAACUAUCCUCAACAUAUUGUUGAACUAUCCCGGACCUUGCAUACAUCAUGCAUUGUCCCUACCAACUCACGAGGACUUUGUUUAACUCCCUAUAAACAACACACACACAAACUCAGCAUUUUUUUUCAUUUAAAUAUGGAUAUUUUUUGAACGGAAAUAUUAGUACUGAACUGUUUUUAUGGUCACACUCUAUUAAUUGUUGGAAAAUGCUUAAGGGAUAGUAGCCUAUUUCUGUAUCUUUGAUGAACUUGAGCAUUUGAUGGCCAUGUAUUUUCCGAGAAUUUCUUAUCACUCCCACUUUUCUCGCACCAUCUACGGAAUUCUCAUUUUGUCUCGUUUAGGUUAUACAAACCGAAGUGUAUUUAUGAAAUUUGGGGACAUUGAAUCUAAAUUCUAUCAUAACACAUAAGACCAAGUAUUUUGCCAAUCAAUAAACAAAAUAGUGUUGAGGAAUGCUAGCAACAUUCACUUUUGAACACUCUCUAACACUGGAAUGAACAUUACUCAUCAAAUAUUUUCUUGCCACCUCUUCUUCUAUUGUUAUUUCCACUUAUAUAUUUCCAUUAAAACGACCAGGAUUGCUAUUAAUGUUCUCCGGUUUUCAAGAACUGCUUUCACUUUGUGAGUCUCUUCCAUUUGAAUUGUCAACAGUCACACAUUUAUAAAUAAUGAACAAAGCCUUGUAAUCUUUCUUCUUCUCUUUAUGCGCAACUUUUUUUCAUCAGUGGCACGAUCACCAAUGGGUUAUAUUCCAUUCUGCACCAAAUCCCAUAAAUCUUGGAAACCAAACACCACAUUCAUUUGUUUGCUCCGGUUGUCAUAAUUCUUCCCAUUGAGAAUUGGAAGGUUUUGCAGGAAAGUUUCCAUCUGUAUGUGUCGUGCCAUUGACGACUCUUUUCACUUAGAACUAGGCUCUUGAUGCCAGAUGUUUGAAAUUGAACUGCUUACUUAGUUCACACACACACGCACACAUACACGCAUUCGCGCGCACGCAUGCAUAUGCGCCCAUACACAUCUUCUUAAUUAACCCGAUCUUUAUGUAGACAAAUACUAUAAUGAACUUAUAUUAGUAAUUGAGUCUUGCUAACAAGUACCCCUUAGGGCAUUGUUUAAGGAAUCCAUUAAAAGAAAUUUUAUCUUGACCUCUUCGCGUAGUAGAGAUUCAUGACCUCUGCUGCAUGGUUCCAUUUUAAGUCGGGUAAGAAACAUGCUCCAUUUGGUUGUCCAUUAGCUGCAAAAAUUCAAAAUCAAAAUAACAAAUUAUAUAGACUCAAGAAUGAGAUCAUAAUAUAAACUAGAUAGCUAAUGAAUAUGAAUAGUAGAAAAAUUUAAUAAAUUAAUUAAGUACCUCCUGCUGCUAGCAUCUUAAUAAGAAAGAUCAUAAUUGAGCAAGAGUAUUUGAAGAACUUCAUAGGGAGAUUCCUAUAGCAAUUUUUAUCUUAAGAAACUAAAUGGUUGGUGAUAAGAUAAUGUUGAGUGAGUGAAUUAGGAGGCAGGCAAGCACAUUAUAUAUAUAGCAUGAAUGAACGUGUAUACAAUUUAAACAUUCAUUCAUCACUUUUCUUAAGUGUAUGGAAUUGACACCUUUCUAAAGAAAAUGGUUGCCGUUUUUCUCUCUAAUUUUACCAUUUACAAAAUUUACUUAACCAUUAAGUAGUAUAGUAAUUUGUAUAUUUGCAACCAAUGUAAUUAUCAGUAAAUUGGUCAGUGCAUAUUCUAAAUAAACCAUGUUAAUGAAUUCAAGCACUCUAUGAAGAAGUUUGAUAUGACUGAUCUGGGCAAAAUGAUGAACUUUCUGGGUGUUGAAAUUAAGCAGGACUGAACAACGAUGGAAUAUUCAUUUAUCAUCAAAAAUAUGCUAAAGAUAUCCUGCAAAGACAUGGCAUGGAAAGCUGCAACUUAGUGUGCAAUCCCAUAGUGCCUAGCUGCAAGUUGGCUAAAGAUCAGUUUAGAAAAGGAGCGGACUCGACAACACACAAGCAAAUGGAACAAUGUCUCAUGUAUUUUCUUGCAACCAGGCCUGAUCUUGCAUAUUCAGCGUGCUUGAUUGCAAGAUACAUGGAAAGACCAACUGAAAUUCACAUGGCAGCCGUGAAGAGAAUUCUGAGAUACUUGAAAGGAAAAACUAGCUAUGGUUUGAUGAUGUAUAAGAAGGGAAAAAGAGAAGAACUUAUGACCAAGCCUUUGAGUUUAGAAACAUUCUCCAGAUUGAGAGACAAGCUUGGACUGUGCAAACUGGAAUUGCUAAAUAGACUUGUUAUAAGUUCAGUUUAGGGGAGGAUAUGUUAGGAAGUAUUAACUUUGUCCGUUGUUAGUUAAUUGUUAGUUGAAUCAUUCUGUUUGUUAGUUAGUUUGGUAAUGGUAGAUGGCUUGCAUCACAAGCAAGUUAGUUAGAUGGUAGUUUCUCUUGUACAAUAAGCCUAUAUAAGGCAUUACUUGAUCAGUAAUAUUCAGUUGAACCCUUUCACCAAAAUCUCCUUUCUACCUUCUUAUUCUAAACCCUCAAAAUUAUAGGAGAAAUUCGUUAAUUUCUCACCCUCAUUUCUUUGUUAGUAAAGAAAUGGGAGUGAAAGUAGUGAUAAAAGAAGAAAUUCGUUGAUUUCUCACCCUAAAGCUGAUAAAUUUAACUACAAUGUUGUCAGCAAUGAUUAAGAACGUUUGGCUUUGUAUGGUAGUUGCAUGGUCAUCCAAGUAAAAUCUCAUGAAAAGGUCUUCAUUGAUUGAGUGAAGAAUGAUUAGAAUGCUUCUACAAUGAUAUUGAUCCAGCUUAUAUAGGAUCUGAAUCAGUGAUGUGAACAGAAAUAAUUAUCUAAUUAAAAGUAACAUCUAACUGAAUUUCUUUCUAACUAAUUAUGGUUAACUGUAACCAAAUUCCUUCAACUUAAAAAAAGAGUUUGGUCUAGCUAGAAUAAUAUCAUCGACAUAAAAAAAUAAGACAACUAACGAGGACUCAGAACCUGAAGUGAAAAGAGAGUAAACAUUUUUAGAGUACAUAAAACCAUGUGUCACCAAGGAGGUGGAAAAUUUGAAAAACCACUGUCAUGAAGCUUGUCUAAGUCCAUAUAAAGACCUGUUCAAUUUUCAAACUAAGCUCUUAUGAGGAGGGUGAUAUCCCAAGGGAAGAGUCGUAUAAACUUUUUAAGAGAGCUCACCAUUAAGAAAAACAUUUUUGAUAUCUAGUUGCAAUAAAUGACAUUGUUUUGCUACAAGAACAGUGAACAAUACAUAUAUAGAGUAAGUUUGGAACAGGAGAAAAUGUAUCAGAAAAAUUAAUAUCAUCCAUUUGAAUGUAGCCUUUAGCUACUAGUCGAGCUUUGUGUCAAUCAACAUUUGCCGUCAGACUUAAAUUUCACCAUGUAAAACCAUUUGAUGCCAACAAUGUUUUCUAGGUGGAAGUGGUCCAAGAGACCAUGUAUUGUUUGUUUCCAAAGCCUUGAUUUCCUCAUUCAAUUCCUUCCUUAAUUCAGGAUAUCAGUUCUUUGCGUUAAAAUUCAGGUUGAAAAAUAGAAUUUACUGCACAGAUAAAGGCAUUGUAGGAUGGAUUGUGUUUGGAAUAUGACCAGAAGUUUUGUAUAGGAUAAAUGGAGGAUUGAGAGGCCAGAUUUUAAUCACUCAAGUAAGAGGUGGAUAGGAAAUUAUCCUGAAUUAAUUUUUUUUUUGUUGAAAAAGACAAUAGAAAAUUGAUUCACUUAGUAAUUGAAUAACAAACAUCAAAUUAGUAUAAAAUUGGGGGAUGUAUAAUAUAUUUUGUAGAAGAAAAUUAGGGGACAAUCUAAUAGUUCCAACUGCUGCAAUCGAAACAAACAUCGUAUUUAUGAGUGACUUUUUGACAAUAAUGAAAUAACACACAAGUUAGUCUAAGAGAAUCCCCUAAUCUCAAUCCCCUAAAUUGUAUACUCGACCGUGUAUUCUCAAAAUUCAUCGUGCAUCAGAAGAUGUAAAGGAAUCAACAAAUCCAGGAGACUGGGGUGGUAUACUCGACUGCGUAUUCUCAGAACUAGCAGCCUUCGACGAACAAUACGAAACAUCGAGUGUGUUGCUCAUUCCUUCAAGAUUCUGCAACUUACUCGGUGCUUGAGGCAAACCCAUAUACAAGUCAAUCCCAUACAUGUCAUCAGCAUUAGGUUCAGCCGGCUUCCAAAUCUCAACAAGAGGUGCUAACACAUUCACUACGUAUCCCAUAUCGGGACGCUGAUGAGGCUCCCUUGCACAGCAGUGGCUUGCCAAUUCUGAAAUGAUCCUGAAACUCUCCAAGCCUUCCUCGUUGAUGUCCAUUGCUGGAUCAAUGACCUUUUCGUACGAGCCUUUGUUAAGUAUAAUUCUGCGGAACCAAGUAACAAGGUGGAUGUUCUCGUCUGGUUGGUUGUUGUCGAUUACUCUCUUUCCGGUUAUCAUCUCCAUAAGAAUCACGCCAUAGCUGUACACGUCUAACUUUGUGGUGACUCGGCCGGUGACUGUGACAUAUCAUACCAUUUUAACGAGUUAGGGAAAUGAACAAGAACGGAGAAGAAUUACCAAUAUGCUAGGAUGCGAGUUGCUACACAUAGGUACAGGGCAUGUCAUGAAAAAUAUAAGAUGCUAGCACCAAAAAUUCUUUCUAAUCGACUAAAAACUAAAUAUCAAUUGGCGAAGUAGAGGGAAGAUCACAAGGUAUGCAAAUUGGCUGUAGAUGACAAGGGCCUGUUUGUUUACGAAUGAAAAAAAAGUAAUUUAACAUUGUAUAAAAAUUGAAUUCCAUAUAGACUAUAGAGAUUUUUAUGCAAUGCAUAAAUUUGUUGUGUUUCUAAGUGUUUCUUUACAAUCAUGAAAAUCACUUUUUUGAUAUUUUCUCACACUCAUUAAGAUUGUUAUUCACUAGCCAGUCAACAUAGCUUUUCCUUAUAAUCAAAUUUCAAUUUUUUCAUAAUCGUAUUUAUUUUCAAAAGUUUAAACAAGGGAAAAUAACAUUUACCUCCCUUAAAGUAGGUUGAAAUGUCACUCACACGUAUUGUAUUGGUGAAGUGUGAAGCGAUUCACUAUGAAUUUCGCUUCUUUUUUUUUUUUUUUUCCCUUUUCUUUCUAUAACUCCAUUAUUUCAUUAACAUAAUAAAUCGAAUAUAUGUGUAGUGCAGUACCUCGAAGCACAUCAAACAAAACUCAUCUAAAGAAUGAAUUGGAUCCCAAAAAAAGAUAUUAACUUGGAAUGAAGGAUCUAAAUUGUCAUCAUUGCUUUCUCAAAGCACUUUUUCUAGACCAAAAUUUGAUCAUAUAAAAAAGGGCAUAGUAUUUGAGAAUGUUGCAAAAAAUUGUUUCUGCAUAACUAAAUUUACUAUCUGCAGCUCAUCUGACACAAAGUAGGAACCUAGAUAGUUAAUAUGUGCAACAAAUAAAAAGUCAUAUGCAACAAAAAAAAAUCUAAAUUAUAAUUAAAAUGUGAUUACCUGCAUACUCUGGUGCCAUAUAUCCAAAAGUUCCUGCAAAUCUAGUCUGGAUUAAUGAAGCUUUUCCUUCUGGAGCUAGCCGAACUAAUCCAAAGUCGGCAACUUUAGCGCGCAUAUCAUCUCCAAGCAAAAUAUUUGUUGGUUUCAGAUCUCUAUGAAUGAAAAUUUGUUGUGCCAGACCAUGGAGAUAUUCAACACCUCGGGCAACAUCCAAGGCAAUGGAAAGCCUACUCUUCCAUCCGAGCGGUUUCAACCCGUCGUCUUUCCACUCAAAGAGAUGUUGACUAAGAGUUCCCUGAGGCAUGUAUUCAAAAACAAGAAGUUUCUCAUUGUCGUCCAAGCAAUAGCCAUGGAGUGCAACCAAAUGCCUGUGUCGAACCUUAGUGAGAACCGCGAUUUCGGACUUGAUCUCAUUCAACCCUUCAUCACCAACCAUUUCAGAUUUCAUCCUUUUCACUGCAAUCGUUGUUCCAUCGUCCAAUUCUCCUUUGUAUACAGUAGCGAAACCGCCUCUCCCCAAUAUGUUUUUUUCGCUAAAAUUGCCUGUAACUUCUCUUAAAACUUGAAUUGAAAUCACCAUAUUACCAGCUUCCACAUUUUGAACACUACUCGAUUGACUAAAUCCAGCAGUUCCUCCUGAAACGCCGGCACCAGAACUUCCAGAUGCUGCAACACUUAUUUUCACGCCAUUUCCAUCUCCAGAGUGACGAGGAUGUACCACGAUCGCAUUCGGAGUUUCAAUUUUGUCAUCACGCUUAUUUUGUCUUCUAUGGCACAUAACAAAUACCACAACCAGUGUACCAAUUAAGCAUAAAAUUCCUAUCACAAUCCCAACAAUUGCUCCAACACUCAAUUUCUUCUUAUCUUCACCUCCAGAACUAGAGUCGGAACUAGAUUUGGGGCUGUCAGGCGAGUCAUGAGGUUUAUCCUUUCCAAUAUCAGGAUUUCCACCUGUUUUAACAACCACAUCGCCGCGAAACGACGGUAUAUGACCAUACAACAAAUUAUUCGAAACAUCUAGCUCUUUCAAUUGAGGCAUACUAGCAAGCUCCUUAGGUAGAGUACCGGUGAGAUUAUUGUUAGCAAGAAGCAACUUCGUCAAAGAACUAAGACUUGCAAAAUUAGGAGAAAUACUGCCAGUAAAACCCUUGUUUUGAAAGUCGAUAAUGGUAAUGUUGCCACUAGAACAAACAACCCCCAACCAACCACCUUGACAAGGGUCAUUACCUUGCCAACUUUGAGCAAGUUUAAGAGGAUAACCAAAAGGUUCAACAACAGAAAGCAAAGCAUUAACAAGUGGACUACAUGGUUGACCAAUAGCCUUAGUGCAAAAGCUAUGAGUCCCUCUAUCAAUAUCAUUAUCAACACGAACACGAUUUUGAAACUUAGGAAGUGACCCUUGAAGAUAAUUGUUUGUCAAAUUAACAACUGUUAAACUUUGAAGCGAAGUUAAAGACGGUGGAACAACACCGGUUAACUGAUUAUCUCUCAAACUAACAUCAAACAAUUGAUCAUGAUUUGAUAAAUCAGGUAUACGACCAGUAAACGAAUUACCAUGUACCCAAAUUUGUUUCAAUGAUGUCAAAUUUUGCAAAACAGAAAGUGUGCCAUUGAGUCUAUUAAUACUACUUUGACCAUUUACCCAAAGUUUCUCUAUAGAACUACCAGAUAAACUAUUAGGCAAAUUACCUUCAAGAAAAUUGAAAGACAGAUACAAAUUAGUCAAACCUGGAAAAGUUUCUUUUCCAAAGAAUUCAGGGAUUACACCAACUAAACUAGCAUUCAUAGCAGAAAAAACUUUAAGGGCUAAACAAUUCUUAAGACUAGAAGGAAUUUGCCACUGAGGAAAAGGGUUAUAACCAAUACUCACCUCUAUCAAAUUACUCAUGUUUGUGAAGAAAUCACUUGGCAUGGAAGUGAAAUUGUUGUUGUUAAUAUACAAAAACUGAAGUGAACUUGGCAUGUAAGGAAAAUCACCAGAUAAAGCGUUUCCAUUGCACUCAAAACGAUUUAACUGAGUGAGUUGCACCAAUUCUUUUGGUAAAGAACCUUGAAUAUUCAGACCUGCAAUUUGAAUUGCAGUGACUGUGUUUCCAUUAAUCUGAACACGAUUCCAUUUGCGAAAAUCUGAGUCUGACCAAUCAAGAUCAUUGCUUGAUGAUUUUAUAGAACUUUUCAGCUUUUGCAUAACAACAUCAUCUUGAGACCAUGCAGAAACAAACAUCAUAGAAAACAACACAACAAGGUGAAGAACGUAGGAAACUCUGAAACCCAUUAGGGUUUUUUGUUGUUGAAAAAAUAGGGUUUAUUUAGAAAAAAACUGUGGAAAGUGGCGUAACAGAAGAGAGAAUAAUUUUGCAAGAUUGAAGGAAUAAAUCUCUUAAUAACGCUGAAUUGUAGGGUUAUGAAUGACAAUGAUUCUGCUAAAAAAGGGAAUAUUUUUGAAGAGAGAAUCAAGUGAAAGAGAAAGGAAAAAAUAAUGCUUUUUUUGGUAUGAAAAUCCUUUUGAUACGGCGGAGAAAGAGUAAGAAGAAUAAAGAGUUAAGAGACUAGACAUUAACUGAAGUUUUUUUUUGAAAGAAGACAUUAACUGAAGUUUAUGUGUACUUUUUGUGUUUGGUUUUAUUUUGUAGAGGUGAUUUUUUUAUGUUUUUUUUUUUUUUUGGUGUACUUUUAUGUUUGUUGUUGAAUGUGUGUUAAUCUCUCCUAUCAUAAAAUUAAAUAAUUUUUUUUUUUUAUUUUCAAAAUUAAAUUAUAACUUUUUUUUAGACAAAAAUUAAAUUAAAACUUAAACUUGAUAAUUUUUGUUUUUAUGGUAUAAUUAAUAGUCACUCCCUUCAAAAAAAAAAAAAAAUAGUCACUCAUACCCUAUUAUCGUAUCAUAUUUAUUAAAUUUUUUUUUUUAUCAGAAACAAAGGUUGGGCCCUUUUAUUUUAGGAAUCAAAUCAAUAGUAUAACAAAAAAAAACCUUUUACAUUAUUAUCUACCAUACUUAUUAAAUUACUUUUUUGGGAAAAAAGAGUUUACUAUGCCCUUUUCUCUCUAAAUCAAAUAGUUUUAACAAAAAAACAUUCUGUCAAAAACAAAAAACUUAUUAAAAAUCUUUGAUAAAUUAUAAUCAUUAGUGACAAAUAUUUGUCACGUAGUCCCCGUGAGCUUAGCUCAGUUGGCAGAAACAUUGCAUAAUUUAUAUAGGGGUCGGGGUUCGAACCCCGGACACCCCACUUCUCCACAUUUAAUUGUGUGAGGUCCGGCCACUAGACUACUAGACAAAAAAAAAUAUUUGUCACGUAUUUUUUAAGUAUUAGUGACAAUUAUUUGUCAUAUCCUCUCCCCAUCAGACGAGUCUGAGGCUUGAUAGCAAUACUAUUGUUGAAAUGGAAGGCACCGAUGAGGCGGAAAAUGUGGCUUAUAAGCAUACUUCUCCCCAACUAGACAAGCAUGAGGGGAGGGUAAAACUUGAAAGGAAUAAAACCAUUCUAGAGACACAUGAAGGAAUGAUGUCUUAGUCUAAGAUAGAGAAUAUAUUCGAGUUCAAAAAACUCGUAGAAAAAUAUACAUCUUUAUCUCCAUCUAAAGACCUUAACAGAACUCGAACUCGGGAUCUCCUAAUCUAAAACAUAUCCUUUUAUUAUAGAAGCGUAAAUUGAUAUUAUUAUUCGUAUUUAUUUACAAUUUCCAUAAGGUUAUAAUGGUUCGUACAUUGCAUCAGUGGAUGACUUUGCAAAUGUAGGAUGCUUUUUGCAUGACCACGAGAUUGGAUUUGAGCCAAAGUAUACCAAUGUUUCAUGCCCAAUCUGAAGCACAGAAUCCUUGAAUAGAAGGAGUAGAAUCACACGAUCCAAUCCAUGAUCAAUAGUUCCCUUGAGAUGGCGAAGACCACAUUUGGAAGUCAACAAAUUUGACAAGUGUUCGAAAUUGUUCUAAGUAAUACAUUAGUAAGUUCUCGUUUUCAUACGAAUUGUCAUUUGUUACUAGUCAAUUUAUAAUGAAAAAUUUAUGUAUGAUCGUAUCUUUAGGGACAAACCAUUUUUUUUUUUUUUGUAAAUGAUCUUACAACGAAGCGAGUAAAAUACAAUCAGUAUUAAAUUCACUUGUGAGAAAUUAAAGUAAAGGGUAUUCGACCCAUCAAAUAUCCUUUUUCAUAGUUAAAGUGAAGUUGUUUUACAUCCAUAAGCUAAAUUUCUGAAGCUAUCUUAAGCCAUCCUUCAUUAUCAACAAAACUGUCACUCGCCAUUAUAUUAACGGUUGUCCAAUCCAACUUCUUCAACCAUUUCACUCGUUUGUUUGUUUUAGAACCAGCUCCAAUAUUUCCAUACUCUGCAAAUUGUAUGUAGUUCCUGUAAAAACGAGUGUAGAUAUAAUGACGAUGAUGGAAGACACGAGUUCUAUUCACCAAUUAUAUAAUGACGAUGAUGAACAAAAAAAUAAUGGAUGUAAAUUAGGGAUCUUACUCGUGAUCGGCGAAAUACCAUGGCGCCCAACCAGUAGGUACUACAAUGUCGGACAUAUUGGUAUUGUAGAAUAGAACUCUAGCAUAAGCUCUCCAUGGUCUUCCCAAGUAUGUUGUUCCAUCUCCAUACACAUUACAAUUCUUAAAAACAAAACCAUUUGCAUCAUUUUCACCUGUUCUCCCUUGUGCUGUAAUAAAACCAGCAAUCCCUUGACCUAGAGCAGAAGCAAUUACAGAUAUAGAACACUCCUGCAUAAUUUUUAUUUUUUUUUUGGUUACAUUUUUUAUAAUAAGUAAAUAAACUAUAAACAUCCAAAUAUACUUCGAUAAUCACUUUUUAAACUAAAUAAGAAGUUCUAUAAUUUUAACCAAUACUCUAGAGCACACUGGUUAGCAAGACGCUGUAAUUUUGAAUCAUUUAUUCGAUACAACCAUAAGAAUUAUUACCUCAUAUAUAGACUGGCCAGCACCAAAUAUGAAAUCAACAGCACCUUGAAUCAAACAAUUCUUGUAGUAAUGUCUUCCUUGAUCAUCCCACAAAGUGUCUUGAAAACCAAAGAAGCCGACAUUAUAGAAGUAAGUCUUGUCACCACUUACCAUCGCAGCUACGGCAGGGGCCCAUGGGUUACUAUUUCUUGGAUUAUUGUAUGAAUUCUGAUUCCAGAGAUAUAAAGAGUCAAAUUUAUUGCAUGUUCAGCUCAAAGGAGAUACAAAUCAAGAUAAAACAAAUAUUCAAUUCUAGGCAAGACACGACAUAUACUAGCAAAAAAGAAACGUAAGGGGAAAAUAUGGUGAUUAGUAUAAAUAUGAUUAUCUUUGACAGGAAACUUUAGUUAGGAAUUUCAUUAUAAAAAUCUACAUGUAAAUGUAAAUGCAUAUUACACUAUAUAUUAAAACUAAUUGAUUAUAUUUGUUGAGAAAAAACUUUUCUUCUAAUCUAUUUAUAUGAAAAAAAAAAAAAAUUAUACGAAAAAACUGCUCUAAGCUCACUAACCUUACUACCUACUUGAGACUAUUUAGUUGCAAGUAAAUGUGAGAAUAUGUUAAAUCGAACUAGGCUUUGUAAUAAGACCUAAGUCUGAUCUGUCAAUAAUUUUAAUGCCUAAGCUAAGCCUAAGACUUGUCAUAAACUUAUUUUUUUAGGCAUAUUACUAAUCGUUCGAAAGUCUGAUCUGGUCUACUAACAUUUCUAAAAACUUGUUUUAUAUGAGCAUAUUCAAAUAAUUAAUGUGAUAUAAAUUUAAAUAGACUAACAAACUAAUAUAUCAAUUAUAUUAAUCUCCCUUUUCAUAUUUAACAUGAAUUUCUACAAAAUUUGACUAUAUAUUAAGAAAUAUUUCAAUUCUAGUUUAUGAUAAUACAUUUGCAUAUGGGAAAAAUUAAUGUAUACUAAUAAACUUAAAUAACAUUAAAGAUUAACAAAUUUAUAUUUUGAUUCAAAGUAAAAAAUAUAAUAAUAUUUGUAAUAAAUAAUAAUAAUAUUUCAUUCGAUAUCAUGCCCUCUAAACUCUAAAAAACUAAAAGAGUUAUUGAAAAUGUAAUUAAAUUAUACUAAGUAACAAUAAGUGAAUGAAUGGGAAUGAGUAACUAUUAUGUAAGAAGAGAAGUCCACAAUAGGCAUUAAAAUGAAAAAGCAAGGUAUUAUUUCUCACCCUAAAGCUAAUAAACCUGACCACAAUAUUGUCAGCCAUGGUGAAGAACGUAGGGCUCUGUAAAGUAGUUGCAUGGUCAUUCCAUUCAACUAUUGUCUUGCUCAUCCCCGCUCCUUGUAUAAUAAUGUAGGGUUUAUCAUAAGGAAUCUUCAACUUCUCCCUAUACAAAAUAAACCACCACAAAAUUCAACAAUUUUUCAUUUAAAUAUCGAUAUUAAUUUGUUGUAAGGAAAUAUUAGUAUACAACUGUUCUAUGAUAUCCCACAUAGUUCUACUUAAUCUGGUAGGUGCAACUCAGUUUUUAGCUACUCGAGACAUUUUUUUACAAGGGAUCGGGGUUUGAACACAGAAUUACAGACUUAUAGUGUGUAAACCUAGCCAUCAGACUAAUUAAUAAAAAAAAUUAUCAUUUAAAUGUAAUGAUGACACUAGAAAUACAAUAUGGUUCAACAAUCGAUUUCGAUAUAUAAAUUAAUGAAUUUGUCUCCAAGAAAAAUAAUGAUGAAAACUACUUAUAAUUUUACCUGUAGAUGCCUUCUUUAAUAUUGAUGGAAGUCCAAUACCUAUUGUUUGAAGGUAUGGAAUCAAUAGCAGAUUGUAUGGUAGAGAAACAUCCAUGGUGCCCCUUGGGAUCAACUGUUAUUUUCUUGGUAGAGUAACCUAUUUUCUUGUAUGGUAGAGAAACAUCCAUGGUGCCCCUUCGGUGAAUUUGAGCAUUUGAUAGCUCUACUCCCAAACCAACCAGGAGAAAUAGACAAGUAAAAUAACACCAAUGAAAAGACAUAAUUAUUGGUACAAAAGGGAUUUUCAAUACCCUAAAAAAAUCAAGAGAUUUUCAAAGUAGAAAAAUUUGGUUCUUAGCUUGAACAAGAAAAAAAUUACAAUAAAACGAAUUGAAAGGUGAAGUAUGUAUUUAAAGAGUUACUAGUAAGAGGAUUUUUUUUUAUUUUUUUUUAUUUUAAGGAAGCUAGUAAGAGUUUUUUUGAGGGAAUGAAGACAGUCAACUUAAUCAAGGUUUACUAAGGAAAGUGUUCCACUAAUGGUAUGUCAUAUUUAUGAUUCUCAAAAAUCAUAGUCAAUUUUUGUUUCCAAUUGUAAAUAUAAUAAUGCAAUAAUAAUAAAUAUUCUGAAUGUCAAGAGAAUUAUUAUGUUUUUUACAAUACAAUGAUGGUAACUUUAUUUUGAUAUCGUCAAAUUAAUUGCAAUUUAUUUUAUUUUUUUGAAAGAAAAUUAAUAUCACUUCUUCUUUUGUUUGACCUUUGGUUGAACUAAUUAAAUGUCAUGAUAAUUUUCCAAAUCAAAAUCACAGCCUAGACCUAUAAAACUAACUAUGUACAUAUGGGGUCAUAGCCUUGAGUUUUAGUUUUAUUAUUGGGACUAUUGAUGGCCUCCACUCCACAUACCAUUUUUUCCUUUAAAAUUUGUUAAAAAAAUAGUUUUCAUCAAUUAAUGUGCAUUUUAAUUACUUUUUUUGUUCGGAUUGGUUACAAUGAUUCCAUGAAUUUGUCAAAAAGAAUUAUUCAUUUUAGGAAUAUUUUAUAUGCUAUAUGUGCAAUUAAUUGUCCUUGUCAUAGUACAUUUAAGAAAAAUGUUAUUAUUUAAUAUUUAUCGUAUAUUUAUUUUAUGUUUGAAAUUUUUCAAAUAAAAUGCAUCAUUUAUACUCCUCCCGGUCUUAAUUAUAUGCAAAAGUUUAUUUUUUGAAUUCAUUCAAUGAUUAAUGUAUUUGGUCUGUAAUACAUAACAAAUACAUUAGUCAUAUACUCUUUCAAAAAAAAAAAAAAUACAUUAGUCAUAUACUCUUUCAAAAAACAAAAAAAUACAUUAGUCAUAUUAAAUGAAUCUAAAGAGUGAUUUUUUUUUUUUUUUGAAAGAUACAGAAAGAGUGAAUUUUUGUUUAUGAUAAAUGUUACUUAUUUUUUUUAAAAGAAAAAGAGAAAGAGGGAAGACUAAAGCCAAGACCCUAGAGGAAAAACAAAAUAAAUAAAAAUAAAGAAAGACAACAAAAAAUACACCAAAGGACUAGACAUGGCAACGAGGUGGGGCGGGGCUGGGUUUUAACAUACCCGGCCCCGCCCCCACCCCCAAACCCGACGGAAAAAGAAACUUUACCCCCGUCACCCCCACCAGCGAAAAGUGUAGCAAAAUAAAUAAAAAAUAUUCACAGUAAGCCUGUUAAAAUUCGCGGUUUAUGUUGACUAAAAUGGUUCAUUAAUUGCACCUUAACAAGUCUACAACAUUGCAUAAAUUUGAAAAAACGGUUUAACAAAAUCAAUUAUAUACACCUAGUAUGACCAUAGUAUUUUGUGUUAUUUAUUCCUGUUGAUUUAAACCAUAUUCUUAUGGAAAAGUGUCAAAAAGACCACAUAUGUUAAGAAGUCUUAAAAUAAAUGUUGAAUUUGAUUCUCUAUUUCACUUUCAUAUUUUGGAAUUUUGAAUUUCUACAAACAAUAUAGAUUGAAAUCAAAAUUAAUGAAAAUAAAUCCAAUUUUUCGGAGAAAAACAAUACGAGUGCGGGGCGGGGGUGGGUGUGAGUAUCCCUCGACCCUGGCCCCGCAUUAAAACUCCGGGUUUUUAGCCCAUUAUUCACUUAGAAACUCCUUAGCUUGUUAGGUUUUUGUAGGAACUAACCCUAAAACUUUCAUGUCAUGAAUAACAUUUACAUUAAAUCUGACAAGUUAGAGUCUGUCGCCACCAUGACUCGACCAAAAGGCUCCUGGGUUGACGUGUGGGUGACAUGAUCUCCCAAAGGAAGAGAGUCUGCUACUACUUCAACAAAGGAAGUCAUGCAAUUCCAAGAAGUGGUAUUAUUUAUAUAGUAGAGAUCAGUGAUUGCAUCACUCCAAAGACCAACUAUACGCAUAUCCAAAUAUUGGUUGCUCUAAUGAGCCUCCCUCUUUUCAACUGUAUAUGAUAUUCACUGUAUUUAAUUGAGUACAUUACAGUCUUCUUCGCUAAGAGAGGUUGAAAUUACAAUACCCUUUAAUCUUAUGUUAAAAUAAACAACCCCUCCUUUCUAACUCAAAAUAUAUUAGAGAAAUCCGCUCCUAUGCCCUAAAUGAUGAUUUUUUUUUUAACACCAAAAUUUAUUAGAUAGUGAGAGAAGUUAAAAGAGUAUUUAACCCAUAAUUUUAAAAAAGUACAAGGGGUACUCGCCUCGAAGGGAAAAAAAAACCCAACAUCAAGAAAUAAGACAGUAUAUGGUUCGAAAACCAUUUGUAAAACAAACAAAGACUCCCUAAUUUCCUAGAAAUAAACCAUCUCCAAGAGGUGACAUUGAUCGCGUCUACAAUCUCGUCCAAGUCCCAAUUUUUAGCAGAAAAAAUAACCUAUUAUUAGCUUCCCAAGUUUUCCAAAUUGUUGCAUGCCAAAUGAGUGAAAGCCGCUUUCAAUUUUUUUAGCCAAAGAAGAUGACGAAAAAUAGUCAAGGAGUAAAACAAUAUUACGUGUAAAUUCACCCAAUUCCGAUCCAUUUAAAAAUGGGAGCUUCUAUGAUGUCGUCUUAAAAAAUAAUUAAUAUGUCGCUUUUGAGAAAAACACUUAAAAUCACCUUAAAAAACUUUUUUUUUUAAACGUUUUUGAAGGAAAAGUAAAAAUGAAUUAAAUUAAUACUAACUGCAUUUUUUCCCUCUUAAAAAUCACAUUUUUUUUUAAUAUCCAAUAAAAGAAACUUCAUAAAAAUAAAUUCUUUGGAAAUUUUCCUAUUUGGUAAAAUAAAAUUUAAAGUGUUGAAUAAAAAACUUUAAUCAAUAUUUUUCAUUUGCACAUAAUUUUUAUGUAUUUUACCAUAAUAAGCACAAUAAAUUCAAAACAAAUGCUCCCUAAAAAAAAAAAUAAUCAAAACAAAUGUUAAAAAUGAUAAAUUAGAAAUGUAGAUUUCAUUCUUACUUUUCCGUUUGAUUUUUUUUUUUUUUUUAACAAUAAAAAAUGGAACUUAUAUUAACAAACCACGGACACCUCCAACUACAAGAUGUACCAAGGAGGCUCAGAGUAUUUACAAAUAUACAGAGUCAAACAAAAAUUAGCCUAGUCCCAAACAAGUCAAAGGACUUGACCACCACAAUUGGAACCCAAAAACAAAAACAACAUUAUGAGCUUUUAGCCACCAAAGAGAGUUCUGCUUUACUUUAUCCGUUUGAAAUUUUUUAAAUAAUAUAAUAUUUAAAUUGGUUUUUAGUUCAUUUUCUUAAAUGACGGUUUUAAAAUCGUCAAAUAUGCAACAACAUGGUAGAAUUUUCCUUUAAAAAUUACAUACCAAAUCCUUCCAACAAAGCUACAUCUACAAAAACAAGUGAUCCUCUACAUCUUGAAUAUAUACAUGGGUACGAAAUACAAUCCGAAGUCACACCAACGACAAAACUCCUUUACAAGAAUACUCGGGAACCACACAUAGUCUAAAGUCAUACCAAUCUGCAUAGUUUCUCUACUAGAUAAGCUUGAUCGAUUCGCAAGUCUACCAACACCAAGAGAUGAUUAAAUUACUCUCCUUUCCCUUGUUAAGUUAAAAUUUACAUUCUCCUCCUUUCAUUUUAAACUUCUUAGACAAUUUUAAUACAAUUAAAUAUCUAUUAUGCUUAUUUUUUUCACAAUUUCGUUAAUAUCAUAUUAUAGCUUUGAAGUAAAAUAAGAUAAAAUAUAAAUAUUGAAUUUCAUCAAAUAUAAAAAAGUAUUGGACACGUGAUUAAAAUUGAUAAAGAAAAGGCUUAUUAAAUUUUAUAUUCUAAAAUCAUAAAAUUAAUAAUGAAUAUUUAAAUUUAAUUAUUAUUAACAUUUGGAGUUAUAAAUAAAGGGUCUUGUUAACAAAGAAAUUAUUUCUAAUGCAAUAAAUGCACAAACUUUCAUAAAAUAUUACCACUUUGGAUGCUUAAAGAGUAUCCUAGGGACACUCGUUAGCAUUUCUCAUUAAUAAAUUAAAGUUCAUUUCUUAAAUGGUUCCUUGAAUCUUUUUUUGACAGAAAAUGAUGAUUCCAAGUUAAUUAUUAUUAUAAAAAUGUUUAUUUAAAUGAAAAUGGGUUAACAUAUAAUCCAUAUUUAAUUCUCAAGAGAGUGAAGUGUAAUCCAAACAUCUCAUAAGAGAUGAGAGUAUGAUUUUCUUUACGUAUUUAUUUUUAAAGAGAACAAUGAAAUUCAAACAUCUCAGAAAGAUGAGAGUGUAAUUUUCUCUAUUUAAUUUAUUUAAGUAUCAGAACAUGACUUGGGUUUAAGGAUGUUAAAGGGGUAAAGUCGGGUGCGGUGCUCCUCAAUUCCAAGUUGCACUACACAGGGAGAUUUUUAUUAUUAUUUUAUGUACACAUGCAAUCAACGUAAAAUAAAUGUUUUUUUUUUUUUAUUAUUUUAUAUCAAAACUCGUGGACUUUGAAAACCUAUUUUUUUUAUAGGCAAAAAUAGAGAGGUUAAGCAUCAGGGAGAAGCUUAAACAUCCCAACUAGGUUGGCAUCCAACAGCAACUCUCAUCCUUUGUCGCCUUCCUAAUACGUAAUAAUAUUAUUAAAGUAAGGAAAUAUUUGUACAAAAGAGGGGGGACUAGGCCAAUACCCUCAAAAAAAGAAAAUGGAACGACAAAACAGAAACUAAAAAGACUAUAAAUGGCUACGAGAAUCUAUAAUUAGGAAGCCCAUUUAUGUCUUUAGUAAAAUCAAUCGUCAAUGAUACUAUCAUAGGUCGGAACCAAGUAGUAUUAGGCAUGUCAUGCCCCAAUGCAGCCAAAGUGUCUGCACAACAGUUUUCUUCCCUUCAUUGAGAUGAUGGGAGGGGACCCUAUGAACGGGUUUGUAUGCUCCAAGUGCUGCACAAAUGGUACAUUCGCAGUGGCCGAGCGUGAUUGCUCCUGUUCCACUGCAAUAAUUUUGUGAUUCACUGCCUCUUAUGGAAUAUCUUGUUGUUGUACCGUAAUGGUAUGUGCCUCUGCUUCAGCAAUUACCGGGUCCUUAUUUGUCUGAGGUGCUGCAAAAGCAAUAGAGGAACCAAUACCCGACAGGUUGUCUUUGAUAGGUGCCCAAGUUUGCUUUGGUACUGGUGCUGGUUUUUUUGCCUUGGACAAUAUUUUUUUGUGAACAAUAUUGCCCUUCUUUGGAUAUAGCCACCGACAUGAGGAUAUGUCAUGGCCUAUGGUAUGACAAUGUGUACAGUAAUCCGGAAGCCACUCAUAGGCCACCUCCACCUGAAACGCAUACCCUUCUCUCUGAACCCCGUAAUUUCAUGAAAUAUUUGUCUUGAAAAGUCCAUGUCGACAAGUAUGUGUGCGUACUGCCAGUAGAUGCGCUUGGAAGUUGCACUGUCAAUAAGGAGUGGGGUGCCCAAAGCACUAUCCAUCCAUCCAAUACUCUUGAGGUAAUUCCAAAAGUCGGAUCCACACUUGUGCAUGAGUGUUACGAUGUUUGUUCAUAUUAAAAUAUUUUUGCCAUUCAAACAAACGGAGAACACCUGGUUUCAAAUUAAUCGCCCCCAUCGCCCAUGUCAUGCGCAUAUCCUCUUCAGAUGAAAAAAAGAACUCGUAGUAACCCCUGCCUAAUGACGUGAUGGACCAUGCCCCUUUUGUUUUCCAGUGAUUAUGAAGUUUAGAAUAGAUGUCUUUUGUAGUAUAGGGUUUGUCGCCCUUAUUCAGAACCAGACGUCCACGAAGGUUGCGUUUACAGAAAUCCAUACAUAUCUCAUAUAUGUCAUGUGUAAUAUGUAUGCUAACGGUAUCGCCACAGAUCAAGGGUUGCGGUAGACUAUCAUUGCUUGCGGUAGUUAUUGUCGAGGCGGUCAGCGCUUGAGCAAAAGAAAUUUUCUGCACUGGUUUGGGAGGAGGAGGAACCGUCGCAGCUGAUGAGGUAUGAUUCACAAUGGUCCUUCCCAAUGGUGCGGCCAGCUCAGCCUGCCAAUCAAAGGCCAUGGCCAGGCUGAACUCGGCAACGGUCAGAAACGCGAUCAGAUAUCAGAGGUCUAAUCGAAAUUGCAAUUCAAUGGAUGAAGAAAGCAACACGUAACCUGAUUCGGUAAUUUAAUUCUGGAUGAAUUUCCCAACUAACCUCACGUGAAUUAAAUUGAAGAGUGGAGUUAAUUGUAACAUAGCAAUUUCAUGAAUUUCUCUUUAACUUGGUUGCUAUAACCUAUAUACAUAUAAUAAGUAGUCCCUAGAGUAUGUAAACUCUAUCAAUUUAGUUCUCAAAUAUAUACCUCAGUAACAUCACAUUUUGCUAGUUUUGUUCUCAUGUAGGAGAACAAGUUAGUCUUACCAAAUGAAAGGUUUAUUUCUCUAAAAAUACUUCUAAAUCCAUUGUAAAGUAUAUCAGCAAUAUUUUAAAUAUUGAAGUCACUAAUGAUUUUGGGAAGUAUCUUGGUAUCCCUGUUAUCAAUGGAAGAAAUGAUAAAUCCUCUUAUCCCCGUUAUCAUGGAUUAUUAGGAAUGGUCAUUCAAUCAUAAUCAGUGCCUUCCUUUGGAAGCUCGAUCAUGGGAAGCUCGAUGUAUGCUAUGCUAUAUACUGAUGUUUGCCAAAGACGCUCUCAAGCCCUAGUUAGAUAUCAUAUUUGAUUUAGUUAAAAAUAUGUGAGAUAAUUUUAUAUUAAUGGAUGAUGAAAAGUAAGCUCUUUUUUAGUCUUAGUUUAUUCCAAUGGACCGACUUUAAUAUUAGUACGUCUAAUAUUGGCUCGAUUCGUGGGCAAUGGCAAUCGGUUCUAGGUGUCAUGGUUUUGAUUGGAACCAAUUCGUUUUCUCAUAGCAUGUCGAUGAUAGAUUCAGAAUUUUAAUCUGUAUGGAAAAGUUUUUAUACCGUGAUUUUUUUUUUUUUUAUUAUCUCUUAGAGGUAAUUGAAACAUAAAAGAGAUGGAAUUUCUAAAUUGUCAUCUAAAGGCUCCACUUCGUCUAUAAAUCUUAGAAGGAAAUCAACAUACCUCAUCUUACCUUAGUAGUUCUACAAAUGGACAUCCCUAUCUCGUCUAUAUUACCAAGAGAAAAAGAGUAAUAAAAUUCAUAUGCAAUGUCCACAGUAGUGUCGCUCUAUUUCUAAGUUCAAACAUCAUCCCUAGGAAUGUUACCUUCCUGUUCAUCUAUCGUGGCCAGCUUUGCGUCGCCGUGUUUUGACGUUGUGAGGAUGGUUUUAUUCAGAUUUGUGUUUUCUUGUGUUGGUUCGUGGAUUCUUGAGUGGUGAGUCAGUGUGUGGUUCUUUGUUGGGUCGGUGGUUGUUCUCUCUGUGCCUUCCUUCUUGGUUUCGGUCAUCCUCACAGUUUAAAGCCUUUGAUUUCUGGUUCCUUUCUGAUGUUUGGAGAUCUGCUGAUUUCUUGGUUUCCGAUUCGCCGCCUUUACGACGGUGGUCUUGGGGAAGUUUUGGUGUUCCUAUUCGCUUUGGUUGUUAAUGUACCGUGCGUUGGUUUUUUACGAUGGUUCAGUAAACCUGAAAGGGUCUGUUACAAAAACCCGAAAGAAUCUGAUUCGUUUAACCCGAAAGGGUCUGGUUACGGGCGUACUGAACUCAUACCAUGAUCUGAGUUCUUACGCGUUGUUUUCUCGAAAGAGCUUUUAUUCUUGAUGUUGUUCAGGGAGUUGUUGGCACUUGGAUUUUGUUACCGUGUUAGCGGUCGAUCCAUUCGCCAUAAUUACACUCCAACUAUUCUUUGCAGAUGUUCACUUUUCAUUCUUUUUUGUAACAUGGUUUCACGCCUGUACGUGGGUUCGUUGGGUUGCGCCAGUGAUUAUUGAAUUUUUGUUAGGAUAGAUUAGAGUAUAUCCACUUAGGUUGAUUUAUCACGAUAUAUUCACAUUUGAGUUUUCUUGGGUCAUGUCCUAUGCCCCCCACAAUCUUUCUAUCUUUCCUUUUUAUUAAAAUUGAUCCAACAGAUAAAAUAGAGAGAACCAUACCCAUUUUUUAAUUGCAUAUAUUAUGGAUUGUCCCUAACAAUUGAGCUAAGCUCACGAAGACGAACCAUGUCCACUUAGAGUUUAGUUACUCAUGGUAGCUAAAGACCAAAUUACAAAAGAACAGAACACACCUUAAAGACUAAGGAUGAGGAGGGAAACUCCUUCAUUGAAGCUCACAAUGUUUGCCUUAAAGUGAGUUUUGCGUGAAAAACUGUGCUUUUUCUUCAAGCCUGUAGAAGAAAAACAACAAAAAUUGUUUUUCACCUGAAGGUGUACGCCCCUCGUGUGUGAGAGGGCACGCCUUGUGGGGUGGCACUUCAGACUUUGUAUUUGGUGACUUUGUUGAUUUUAGUGUAUUUUAGAUGAAAGAGAAUGAUGAUUGAAUGAUUAUAAUAAAUUAUUUUGAUGAGAGAGAAUUAUUGGUUAUGAGAGAUAUAGAAACAAAGACAUCCAAAGACACCAAAGUACUACCCCGCCUUGUGCUCUAGUGCAAUUUUUGUACGACAUGGGCGCGCAACAGCUUACCCGAGGCGCACCAGUACAUUUUUUUCUUUUUGGUGGGGUGCGACGGCCUAUGCAGUAGUGCAACACAUAAGCUACACUUGAAAAGCUCAAUAGCAAGCUAUCGAAAUGGCCUCUCCCCCUUAAAAAAAGUAAUUUAAUAUCGUGUGACCCAUUGAACCACAUAUCAUAUAUUAAACUGAUAAGAACAGAUAGUACACUUGAUCUUAGUCAAAAGGCCGAGAAAGGUAAAGGCGCACCAGCACAUUGAAUCAAUAAUUAGCUAUAAAAAAUGGAUGAUAAAGCUUUGAAUAAAAAAUAAAUUAGAUUGAAUCAAAAUAUCAUUGAUGCAAGUAAAAGCUUCCAUUUGCAACACAUUCGGAAAGAACCAACAAAUUUGUAUGCGUUGUAUCGUAGAUCUACGUUGGAUUACCGCCGGCACCAGCACAUGCAUUGGGGACAGUACGUAGUAAUUUUUUUGAGUCUCGGACGUCGAUAUAGUUAGUACUCUCCAGAUUUAAAUAUAAGAAGAAAAAAAAAGUCAUAUUCACCUUUUAAGAUUCACAAGUGAACGUCCUCGUGAGCGCUUAGCUCAGCUGAUAUGGACAAUGUAUAAAAAUAUGUAACAUCUGUGUUCGAACCCCAACCACCAUCAAAAAAAGAUAUAUAAGUGAACUUUUCAACAACAAAAAAAAGAGUGAACUUUUCAAAUAUAUAAGUGAAAUUUAAUUAACUUCACUAUAUUUAACGUUAUUCUUGAGAAAAAUGUUUAAUUUUUAGAGAAGAAUUAUUGGUCAGAUUUUACUUACUUCUAAACCCAACUGUGGAUUAUCAUAAUUAUUUUCCCGUGAAAAUUGGAGGUUUACAAAAAUAAAAAUCUCAAAAAAGCUAGUCUAGAAAUACAAUUAUAUUCUUGAUCACAUCAACAAAAUUAAAUGAGAUUAAUUAUAUUUACUUUUUAUCAAAUAGUCUACUAACAAGAAUUUUACACUUAAUGUGUGGAGAAUGGUCUCUACAACCAUCAUCUAAAUUAUACUUACGAAACAAAUUAACAUUCAUAAUUGCUGUAUAAUUAAUAGUAACUUUUUCAACAUUAUUCACCUAGAAUUUAAUUCACCCCUCUCUUUUUUGUCUCUUUUUCAAUAGUGAAUUUUAUCCCAUCAUCUUUUAUAGUAUCACCUUUUUUUUUCUUUUACAUUUACCUAUUUUAGUCAACAUAUCCAUUUGUGACAAACAUGCACCUGUCAUUUCGGUGGAACAUAUAAGUAAAUUUCCAUGUUCUUUCAUAAUUGAUGUACUAUAUUGUCAUAUAUUAUAUAUAACUUGCUAGGUUUGCUUUCCUUAUUUUUUGACCCCUAUAAAAAAUAAAAAUUUAGUUUAUCCAUUUUGAUGAAUAUUUAACUACAGCUAGGGAGCUAACAACCCUUAAAUUAUGGCUUUGCACAUUGUACACUAGCCAUGAUUUCCCAUUUUAUUUUUAAUAAUUUAAAGACCAAAACAAAGUCAAUUAUAAUGUUUUACUUUUAUAAAAGUGCACACAUAUAUGGUCUUGAUAUUAUAAUGCUCUUUAUAUAAAGCAUUCAGUACAAUGUCUCUUUUGCAAAACAGGUAGAUGAUUGAUAAAAGGACUACAUGAUUUCAUGUUUAUUAAUUUAAAUUAUUUUUUAAUUUUAUUUAUCUUUCCCCAUUAUAUAAAUUAUAAAGUCAUCGUCACAAUAGUUGUUAAAUCCAGAGGUGUAUGUAAUUAUUAAUUAAACAAAUGCUAUGAAAACUAUCCUUAUAUAAAACAAGUUGCUAUAUGAUAUAAAUUGUUCUAUAUAUUUUAUUUAAAUUCAAAGAUAUAGAACCAAAAACAGAAUGUUCUAAUAUAGCUAGAGUAGUCUAGAAUUAACAUCAUAUACAAUACAUGUAUGAGCUAGGUAAAAAAUGGGAAAUAAAUAUCAUAUUCAUAGUUGGAAAAGACACCCUAAGAUAGCUUCAAUCUGAAAAAAUUGAACAACUUACACUACACCUAAACUCAAUAAUUUUAGGUCCAAAGAGGUUGGUGGUGUGGUCAUCCAUUCAAAUAACUUUAACAUAAUUAGUUGUCCAAAAAUGGAAAAAAAUAACUUUAAUUCUUUUAUCUUAUAUUUUUACUAUAUGCUUUAAUUGUAUAUUUCUUACAUUAUAAGAAUCCAAAGGCACUCUCUUUUUUCCAUCUUAUUUCUCACAUCCUCUCUAAUCUUUUCACCUCAUCAAUAUGAUUACAAACAAAUUCAAAUUAAACGACUCCAAUUUACAUUUGUAUUUUCUACUAAAUUUAUCAAAAUGGGGACUAUUAUUUAACCUCAAGGAAUAUGAAUAUAUUACCACAUUUCAUAUAAUGGAACUAAUAAUGCACGAGUAGAUCUCAAAAUUAUCAUCUCAUUUCAUGUUUAAAAUGGUCUAAUCAAAUGUGAUAAGUUAUUUUUCUUUAAUUCAAAAACCAUCACGAAUUUGAUGUAAUAUUUAUACAUAAUAAUUCAGAUGCGUUAUAUAACACGGCAUUGACAAAUCUUCAAGAAAGUGUUAGAGAGGUGCACGAUGGCAUAUUGAUCAAUUUAAAUAUUAUUAAUUAGUAGGAAUAUCCACAUUUGGGACACAAAUAUUAUAUUAAUGCACACAUUAUAAUAUGGUAAUUUUGUUAAAUGGCAUAUGCACCGCAAUUCAAGUCACUGCCACUGCCAGCUUUGCCCUAAGAUAGAGCUGUAAAUAAAGAAAUAAAGCUAUUGCAUAAAAUCAAAAGGUUACAAUAUUUCUCUUCAAAUAACUAGCACAUCAACUAUGACGAUAGUGCCAGCCUUUUUUGUUCCAAGAGAAAAAUAUAUUAAGAGUGUCCUUUCCACUUUUCUUUUGUAUCUCCUUAACAUGCGGUUUAACAACAAAAAUCGGCAAUAUUAGGAGAAAUGAUAGUAUUAAACAAAGACUUUUUCAAAAUAGAGUUAUUAAAGUGGUUCAUAAUUAAACUUCGGUUAAAAAUAAUAGUCUAAAAGAAUCUGUCUUAAGAGCCUUAUAGUAAGUGAUAUAUGAUCUAACAAUGUGUUCAUAAGUAAAUACCGUUGUUGAGCGAUGAUUACAAAGAAAGUAGAUGUCUUAUGUGAAAAAUAAUACCUAAUUCAAUUCAUCGCGAAUGUUGGAUGCGUAAGCAAUUAAAAAAAAAAAAAGUAAAUACCGUUGUCAAAUUAGAAAUCAAUUUUGUAAGGUUAAGUUAGGUACAACCCAAAAUUUUAAUAAGGCAUCGGAGUCUAUCCUAUAUCAGUUUGGCCACCACCUAUAAGGUCAUCACUAUUGGAUCACACUCCAAACACGUGAGGAGGUGUUAAGAUUCUCGUUUCUUUAUAUCAAUAAAACGUAAAUAAAGUUUAUAAGUAUGGACGAUCGUCACUUGCAAAUAAGUUUUGUAAGAUUGAGAUAGGAUCAACUCCAAUUCUAAAAUCCCGAGUUUAAAUUCUAGUAUUUGGUCAAACAUUACUUACCACUCCACUGAACUGUAAAUCAUCAUAUCUUCUCUCUUAAAAAUCCAAGAGUUAAGACAAACCGUAGAUUAAUUCGUGUAUAUGUAAGUGUUCAAUUUUUGAAAAAAAAAAUGUUGAAAAGAAACAAACAAACGGUUGAGUAAAAAUAAAACAGAUAAAAGGGUACUGAUAAUUUUAAUCUGGAAUAUAUGACUAUUCAAACAUAGCAAAACCAGAUUUUAGAACAUUAUCGACCAACCUACUCAUAUCUCUCUCUUGAACUGUAAGUAAGAUUAUUUUAAUUGCCAAAUGCUAAGUUGUCAAGUUAUUAUUAUUAAUAUUAUCCAACAUCACAAAACCCAAUCUCAUAACGGUAGUUUGCACGUUUCAUUCAUCAAUUGAUUCCAUAGUUUUGUGUUACAAGACGACAUUGAUCAGUUGCUAAACCCUAUGCAACGAGCAAAAUUAACUACUAUUAACUACUCCUAUUUUAAUUUUAAUCCUAUGAAAUUCACCAAAGGGACAUAUCUAUAGGCAAAUCAAAUAAAGGUCAAUUUAAGUCAGAAUUGUACUUUGAUUCAAAAAAAUAAAUAACGUAGUCAGAAUAGUACUACUACUAGUAGUAGGUUUAUUUUGCAAAAUAGGACCACAUGCAUGCAACUGGGUUUCAGACCCUACUAAUAACAAAACAUCAAACACAUUAAUUAUGUUGAAUUUAGCAAGAGAAAAAGAAUCUUACAUAAUUUUGUGUGCAAAUAAAAUUACAACAAUUAAUCAUUAUAAUUUUGAUUUUUGAAUGUUUGAUUCUCUGUGUGUAUCUCAUUUUUUAAAUCGAGCACAAAUAUUUAAAGUAUUUUUUUUUUAGAAAAAUUUGUUCAUUUGAUACUGAAGUAACUGCUUCUUGAUACUAUAUAAGACAAAACCGAUAUUUAGUGUACAAAAUAUAUGCAUUGGACAAAUAUAGCCGUUUGGGAAGUGUUUAAAAAAAAAUUCUAUGGCCAAAUAAAGAAACGUGAUUGUUUUGGUUUGAAGGUGGAGAGAGUUCAAAGUGAUUUUGCUAUGUUUGAAUUAAUGUUUUUGUUGAUUGUAAUUGAUUUUGACUUACAUUUACUUCUAGCUCUUUUUUGACUACUACAUCUAACUUAAAAGUUAUAAUUUAAAGUUUUCGAUUCCAAACAUAAUUUUUAGUCUCAUAAAUUUCUCAACUCAUUAAUUUAUACUUGAAAAUAUUUAAACAUAAGUUUAAAAGGGAUACACUAUCGGUGUUAAUCAACUCUGCAACCAAUGAGAAUCCACAAUUUGUUUUACAAAAAUAAACGAUAUUAAUUCAUUCAUGUUGAUAGAAUACGUCGAUACAACACAUAUUCAAAGUUGUUAAAAACAAAAAGAAUGAACUUGCGAACAAACUCACAGCAUCCAUGUUAAUAACAUAAAACGGCAAUGUAACUACGCCAACAAAUAUGACUAUAUAUAUUUAAGUCUCUGGAAUAUUCAUGUAUCUGGAUCUACAACUUUGAUGGCGCCAAAGUCAUUGAUUGGAUCUGCACCUGCUCAAUGACGGAAAAUAAAAACACAUUACAUAAAGACGAGAAAUAAAAAAACAAACAUGGUCGUGUUAAGACGACGAAAUCACCAUAACAAACAAAAACAUAAAAUAAAAAUAUGUAAAAAUCACUUAUUUAAUUAAAAAAUAAGAAAAUCAAUUCGAAUGAAUGAUUUUAAAUCAAAAUUAACCAUAAAUCAUUCUUCUUUAAUAGAUAAGAAGAAGAAAGGUGGUGAUGGCUAUAAAAAGAAGAGAAGGGAGAACAAAAUAUAUGUUUCCUGCUUUUUAGAGAUUCCACAAUUUUUACAUGUCAUCCUACUCUAGUAUGUUAAUCUUAUCUUACAAUAAAUGCAAUAAAGUGCAAAAUAAAAGACACUCAUUAGAUGUCGCUAGUGUUAAUUUUUUAAUCUAAGAACUUGAUUUUAUAUUUCUCCAAUGAGCAAAAUAUAAGCACAGUUCGUAAAAAGACUCUUUGGAAAAACACUUUUCCUGGUGUUAAUAUAUAUAUUUUGCAUAUUUCAAGAUAUGCAAAUUUGAUCUUCGUAAAAUAUAAGCACAUUCCAACAAAAUUUCAAGAUAAGAAAAACUCGAAUAAUUAUUUUUAAAACUAAUCUUAAAAUCUGCAUAUUUCUUUCAAAAACAUUUCUUAGAUAUAGUUUUAUAUAUACUUUUCUCCAUCAAAAGCUGCAAUGUUAAUCUCAUUAUUGCACUUUUUCCGGGCAUUGUUGACAACAUUAUAUCUCACAUGUUAAUCUCAUUAUUGAGAAGUCACAUGGCUUGAAAAUUCUUAAAGAAAAUUAAAGGAAAAAUGGAAUAAAAGAUGAACCAAAAUGGUGAUGAACUUCCACUAUUGGCAUAGUAAUAACUCCUCAUUCUGUCUUCUUCCCCCCACAUAUUGCCCACACCAGUUCAUACAUUAUAUACAUUUACAUAAUUAAGUUGUAUAAUUAAGGGUAUCAUGUUUUUAAUAUUGAUUUUGGUUAGAUAUUUGUACCAUAUUCUAUAAUUCAUGCUCAUAACCCCACAAAUACGUGGACAUGUAGUAGGAAAUACAAAGCUAAAUUUGGAUUAUUCUUUAUCACAAACUACCAAAAGGUUAUGUUCAAAAACAUCAUAAAAGAAAUGAUUAAAAAUCAAAUAUAUAUCUUCAUUCUUAAACCUCAAAAAGAAAAAGAAUCAAUUAGUGGAACAAAAUCUCACAAUGUUACAAUAGCUACAAUCAAAGGAUUUGAAGAAAUAUCAUAAACCACUUUGGAUCCAUAAUGCAUAAUACUCAAAAUACAAUAUAUAUUCACUUUCCAUUCCCUCUAAAAACAACUUGAAAUUAAAAUGAAAAUAAAUGCAAAAAGCAUUUUGGAGUUACUUUUGUCAAAUGAGGCAACUCAGCUAGGGCUGCUAAGAGGAAAUGACAUAGGAAUAGGACACAACAUUUUACCCUACCCAUCUCUUCUAAUCAUUCAAAAUUUGUCAAGAUGCUUCUAACCAUUUUGCGUAUAUUUUAAUUAGUGGUUGAAGAUUGAAACAGUGACUGAUUCUAACUAUUUGGAGUAAAACAAAGUAAUGGGAGAGAAGUGGCCAGCUGGGAAACAUAAUAUAAUGCAAUUACAUCAAAAUGAAACCAAUUGAAUAUUUGAAUUGGUCCUUCAUGAUGGCUACCCUUUAACAAUUCAAUCACAUUAUAAAUACUUAGUCUCUCAUUUAGCUUUUCACAAUAAUCACUUACACCAAAACAUCUUCUUUUCUUCCAAACUUUUCUUCUACUUCUAAGAAUAUUAGGGAGGUUAAGUAAUAACAUAAGCAUUGGAGGUGCCAAGUUUUUUCUUUCUACCCAUGACUGUUAAGGCCAGUAGCCCCAAAAGGGGUCAUAACUGGCCACCAAUGGCAAUGGCAUUGGCCAUUGUUUUGAUUUCAACUAGUGUGGUUUCUGCUGCUGCAGAUAGUUAUAUUUACUCUUCUCCUCCACCACCUUACGAGUAUAAGUCGCCACCGCCACCAUCACCUUCACCACCACCUCCUUAUGUUUACAAAUCGCCACCUCCUCCAUCCCCAUCACCUCCACCACCUUAUGAGCACAAGGCUCCUGCUUAUGAGUACAAGUCACCACCACCACCAACUCCUUCACCACCACCUCCUUAUGUGUACAAGUCACCACCACCGCCAUCUCCUUCACCACCACCUCCUUAUGUGUACAAGUCACCACCACCACCCUCACCUUCCCCACCACCACCAUACUACUACAAGAGUCCUCCACCACCUUCUCCUUCACCUCCACCUCCUUACUACUACAAAUCUCCUCCACCACCCUCACCUUCCCCACCACCACCAUACUAUUACAAGUCUCCUCCACCACCAUCUCCCUCACCUCCACCACCAUAUUACUACAAGUCUCCCCCACCACCCUCACCCUCCCCUCCACCCCCAUAUAUACACAAGGAUCCACCAUACUAUUACAAGUCCCCACCACCACCUUCACCAUCUCCUCCACCACCAUACUACUACAAAUCUCCCCCACCCCCUUCACCGUCUCCUCCACCACCAUACUACUACAAAUCUCCUCCUCCUCCAUCUCCUAUUCCCAAAACACCUUACUACUACAAAUCUCCCCCACCCCCUUCACCAUCUCCUCCACCACCAUACUACUACAAAUCUCCCCCACCCCCUUCACCGUCUCCUCCACCACCAUACUACUAUAAAUCUCCCCCACCACCGUCACCCUCUCCACCACCACCUUACUAUUACAAGUCUCCUCCCCCACCUUCACCAUCUCCUCCACCACCAUACUACUACAAAUCUCCUCCUCCUCCAUCUCCUAUUCCCCAUACACCUUACUAUUACAAAUCUCCCCCACCACCUUCACCAUCUCCUCCACCACCAUACUACUACAAAUCUCCUCCUCCUCCAUCUCCUAUUCCCCGUACACCUUACUAUUACAAAUCUCCCCCACCACCUUCACCAUCUCCUCCACCACCAUACUACUACAAAUCCCCUCCUCAUCCAUCUCCCAUUCCCCAUACACCUUACUAUUACACAUCUCCCCCACCACCUUCACCGUCUCCUCCACCACCAUAUUACUACAAAUCUCCUCCCCCUCCGUCUCCUAUUCCCCACACACCUUACUACUACAAGUCCCCACCACCACCAAAGGUCCUUCCACCACCAUACUAUUACAAUUCUCCUCCUCCACCUGUUGUGUAUCCUCACCCAUAUCCCUACCACCACUCACUUAUUGUGAGGGUAGUCGGUAAAGUCUACAGCUUCAGAUGUUAUGAUUGGAAUUAUCCUGCAAAGUCUCAUAACAAGAAACAUCUCAAAGGUACAUUACAUUUCUUAGGACCGGACCUCUUUAGAGUAAUGUGUUUAGAGAUAAUGCACAAUUUUUUAUUUUUUUAUCUCGUAAAGGUUUAUUUAUUAUAAUCACAAUUUCACUUUUGUCAAAAAGAAAAACAAUUUUACUAUAUAUAGUUUUAAUCAUUAACAUUUUGAUGUAAAAAGAAUACAAUUCUCUAUUACCUUUUUACUAUGAUAUAUAUACAAAGAUUAUUCAAAUCUAUAUAUCCAACCUAAUUUCCAUCCAAAAAAAUAGAAAACAUAGGGUGCUUUGAACGCCUGCAGCAUCACAUGAAUAAAUAAAAACAAUCAAUAAUCAACCUUGUUCUAAUUUAUUUUAGACAGCGAUUGUUAAGCAUACUGCUCUUUUAAUUACAUUUUUUUUAAAGAUGCUCUUUUAAUUAUAUUGUCCUAAUAUAAUAUGUGUCUUUAUAUAUUACUUGUCGUAAACUAAUUUUAUUAUGGGUGCAGGAGCUGUUGUUGAGGUGACAUGCAAAGCCGGGAGCAAAAUUGUCAAGGCUUAUGGAAAAACUAAGAACAAUGGAAAGUAUGCCAUCACAGUUAAGGACUUUGACUAUGUCAAAUAUGGUUCGACAGUGUGCAAGGCUGCCCUAUAUGCUCCACCUAAGGGUUCACCCUUCAACAUACCUACAAAGCUAAAUCAAGGAACAAAGUUGUACUUGAAAUCCAAAGACAAGUACGAGGUUGUGCUCAAGGCUAAGCCAUUUGCUUAUGCUUCAAAGAAACAUUUCAAAGAAUGUGAGAAGCCUAAGCCUUCACCAACUCCUUACUACUACAAAUCACCUCCACCUCCCUCACCAGUUUACAAAUACAACUCACCACCUCCACCGGUCCAUUAUUAUUCACCUCCAUACACCUACAAGUCACCUCCUCCCCCUGUGAAAGCGGCACCAACUCCUUACUACUACAAAUCACCUCCACCACCCGCACCGGUUUACAAGUACAACUCACCCCCUCCACCGGUCCAUUAUUAUUCACCACCAUAUACCUAUAAGUCACCUCCUCCCCCUGUGAAAGCGGCACCAACUCCUUACUACUACAAAUCACCUCCACCUCCCGCACCGGUUUACAAGUACAACUCCCCACCUCCACCGGUCCAUUAUUAUUCACCUCCAUAUACCUACAAGUCACCUCCUCCCCCUGUGAAAGUGGCACCAACUCCUUACUACUACAAAUCACCUCCACCACCCGCACCGGUUUACAAGUACAACUCACCACCUCCACCGGUCCAUUAUUAUUCUCCACCAUACUACUACAAGUCACCACCCCCACCAUCUCCAUCACCUCCUCCACCAUACUAUUUCAAAUACUAUUACAAGUCCCCACCUCCACCAUCACCAUCCCCUCCUCCACCUUAUUAUUACAAAUCUCCUCCUCCACCAAAACAAAUUUCACACCCUCCAUACUACUAUAAGUCACCACCCCCACCAUCACCAUCACCUCCUCCACCAUACUAUUAUAAGUCUCCACCUCCACCAUCACCAUCUCCCCCACCACCUUAUUAUUAUAAGUCACCACCCCCACCAUCCCCGUCCCCUCCUCCACCAUACUACUACAAGUCUCCACCUCCACCUAAAGAAAUAUCACAUCCUCCAUAUAACUAUAAGUCACCACCCCCACCAUCACCAUCCCCUCCCCCUCCAUACUAUUACAAAUCUCCUCCACCACCAUCACCAUCACCACCACCUCCCUACUAUUACAAAUCACCUCCACCACCAUCACCAUCACCUCCCCCUCCAUACUAUUACAAAUCUCCUCCACCACCAUCACCAUCACCACCACCUCCUUACUAUUACAAAUCACCUCCACCACCAUCCCCAUCACCACCACCUCCAUACUACUACAAAAGUCCCCCUCCACCAUCUCCAUCUCCUCCAUCCCCAUAUUACUACAAAUCUCCACCACCACCAUCACCAUCCCCACCCCCUCCCUACUAUUACAAAUCACCUCCACCUCCCUCACCAUCACCGCCACCUCCUUACUAUUACAAAUCACCUCCACCUCCCUCACCAUCACCGCCACCUCCUUACUAUUACAAAUCUCCCCCACCUCCAUCUCCAUCUCCACCACCUCCUUACCACUAUCAAAGUCCUCCUCCACCAUCUCCCAUUUCUCAUCCUCCCUACUACUACAAAUCCCCUCCACCACCAUCGCCGUCUCCUCCACCUCCUUACCACUAUGUGAGUCCUCCCCCACCAGUAAAGUCACCUCCACCACCAACUUAUAUCUAUGCUUCACCACCACCACCUCACUACAACUAAGCUCAAAGAGCAGAAGCUCCGUUCAUUAUAAAUCAUGUAAGUUUAUCAUCUUCAAUUUUCUGAAUGUGUGCGUGUGUAUUUGUUUUUUUGUUACAAGAUACUAACAAAAUUCUUUUCUUAUUUAUGU